rnacentral:lncRNA from 1 species
CUGUAAAUCUAAACAGGUUUAGGGUUUAUUAAAUCAUAUACUUAGGUGAGAUUCCAAAAGAACUUUGAAAGCUAAUUAAUCUAAUGGAACUCAUUUUUUAGGGCGAAAGGAAUCAACUUACAGGACAUAUACCUUCAAAAAUUAGAUCACUUAUUAAUUGAACUCAUUUUUUGUGUGGACUGACUCCAUCAGUUGCCCCACAAAAGUCAAUGCAGUCCGCAGUAGUUGUACCCUAAAGCAUUAUAAUUUUUCUAUUGCCAUUUAAAUUGUUGUACCCUAAAGCAUUAUAAUUUUUCUAUUGCCAUUUAAAUUGGUAGUUGCGAAUGAGAACUCGAAAAUGACAUACGUAAUUUUAUGAGCCACCAAUACUAAUGGAGGAUCUUAUGUUGAGUUUUAUUAGAGUCUCAAAAUUCUAACUUUCUAAAAAAAAAAAAAAAAAAAAAAAGUCCUGUUCGCUGAUGGCUUAUGUAUUUUACGAUCUGGGAUUCAUACAUAUAAGGCAUUUAGUGACAGAAUAAAUUCAAAUUAGACUCGGACCACACCAUUUUAUCCUGAGCCCACACUCUUAUAAGGUAAAAUCAAUAAUUUUUAUAUCAAGAAGUGACAUUAAAUUUGUUUCCCAACUUUUUAAAUAUAUUAUUUAUUCAAGGAAAACUUCACGUGAAGUGAUUUAAUUUGUAUAAAAUGAGCUAACUUACUGCUUAUUUUUUUGCUAUAAUUUGUGAGUAAUAACGUCUGCACUAAUGAAAAGUUUCAAUUAGAUAUACAAGUUCCAAUAUAUUAUGCUAGUCAUUAAACAAUAAAUAAACAAAACAUCAUUUACUGUUUAUUUCAUGGAAACCAAAUGUUUAAAGUAACUUGAUUUAAAAGAACCCGGUUCGCGAGUCCAUGUUUUGUCUGGGAAGCCUCAGUAGCCUUGCGUUAUCACAUCACAAUUAGUAGAAGCAUAAAAAAUAGCUUUUGUUUUGAUAUAAUAAAGAUUUGUACUUCUAAACUCAGCAUUUGAGUUCGUUAAUUACGAUGAAGUUUCUGAGUUUCUUAAUGAACUAAAAUAACAUCCUUUAUUAGCCGAGUCAAGAAUAAAAGGUGUGUCAAAGCAGAGUGAUUCGCGACAAUCACAAAUGUGAUCUUAACUAGCUCUCUGUGAAAAGCUCGUCUUUGUAAUCUUUUUAAUACUCUCUAUAUAUAAAUAUACUCUAUUCUGAGAUCAACUGAUUAAAUUUGUCUUUCACCUUGCAGAGCUUGCUUAGACAUAUUGGAUAUUUGUCCUCUUUUUUUUAAAGGGCAAUUAGCACGACAUUAUUAAGAUUAGAUACGAUUCCUAAUCAACUAAAAAUUUUAAAGCAUGAAUUUAUUGUCAAAGUAUUAUUCUUUGCUUUUUACGCUUAAUUCAUCAUGAUUUGAUCUCAGAUAAGUAAAUUAAUUUGUUGUGCUCAAUGUGUUAUAGACAUUCUCCUAAUAUUAAUUAUAAGCAUUCUAUCUAAAUGAAUAUGAUCGAACUGUUACAUGGUCCAAAUUAAAAUUAUGGCCACAAUGCUAGUAAAUUGGAAAGCUAAGCUAGCAUCGCUAAAUUGAACUUAAGUUUUCUUUGUUAAACUGGUUGAUUCAUAUGAAUAUGACAAGAAAUUGUAAUUCAACUUUUAAAGUCUCUCUGUCUCAACCAUUUUAAUAUCUUAACAAAAAGGUACAUUUUAUGGCAAAAAAUAUUUAGACUUUCCAUUCUCUAUCUGCCAUAAUUUUGGGGAGAUAAAUGCCCAGUAAGCAAGUUUGAUCAGUCGCUGUUAGGAUCCAAAUAAAUGUUACUUAGUCAAUUAAUUUGUCCAUUAAUCUAGACCACAAAUGUUUAUUCUAUUUUCAUAAGUCAACCCCAGACCUUGGGCAUGGAUUUUUUAAAAAAAAAUUGUCAUAAUAUGAGAAUCUAAAAAUUUAGAUUUAUGGUGUGUUUACUUGUGAAAUCAGGAAAUCGAAAUUCACAGUGAGAAUGAUUUUUAAAUUGUUAUUUUCUACUUGUUAAAAUGGAAUGGAGAAUCAGAAUGAAAUAUGCAGGAUCCACAUAUUUUUUAGUCAAGGAAAAGAAAUUUGAUUCACAUGGGAUUGAGAAUCAAGUUUCCAUUCCUUGAACUCACCAUUUUACCCCCCCCCCCCCACAUUUCAUAAUUUCAAUUUUGUGCUCAAUUAAAAUGUUAUUAUAUUAAUGUAAUAAUAAUAAUUUCUAAAAUAACAAUAAUAAUCAUAAUAAUGAUAAUAUAAUAAUAAUGAAAACAACAACAACAACAAUAAUAAUAAUGAAAAGUAAUAAUAUUAAUAAUCACAAUAAUAAUAAUGAAAAUAUAAUACUACUAUAAAUAACUAUUAUAAUGAUAGUAAUAAUACUUUGCAGUUACUAAUUUCAUCAUUUUACAAGCCACCUCCAGUGGCGGAUCUUAGAUACCUUGCGGAUCUUGUCGUUUAUCAUACCCACCUUUUAAAAGAAGAAGAUGAGGAUGACGAUGAUGUGGUGUGUGUGCGUGUUUAGAAAUGUACCUUUAGGUAGCAUUUCGUUUUCAGAUAGAGGAGGAGAGGAGGGGUAAAAAAUGGAGAGGAGAGGUAAUGAGAGGAUAGGAGUGUAAAAAUUGAUAUUUAUUGUUUGGUUUCAAAAAAAAAAUUUUAAAGGGAAAGGAAUUACAUGUUUUUUUAAUUUGGACAAGUAUACCCAUUGGAAUUUAGUGUUAAAAUGUUAAUAUUAGCAGUAAAUAUAAUAGAAAUAAUUAAACUAUAAGUUAAAUUAAUCUAUAAUAUAAACUAAUAAGAAAACAUUUGAUUUUAUAUUAUAUUUUUAAUUAACUCGUUUGUUGUGCGAGAUUCUGGUUUUUUGCUCGUCAACGACCAGGAUCUCUCCUCAACUAACUCGACCACGAUCAGGGUCUCUCCUCGUAAAACGUCUUCUCUACAGACUCCUGCGUACACAGAAGCAAGUUAGAGCACGCCGGGAUCCGACGCUCAAGUCAGAAACGUAGGUUUCGGGUUCCUGGGAAAAUCAGCCACUAAUCUUAUGGCUCGUUUUCAGUAUUAAUUAUCCAGAGCUCUUUUUAUCUCCGUUUCCAUGUCAAAAAAUCUAACCCUUUUACCUUCGUUGGCUACUUUUAUAUAGGCUUCCUCUGAAUCUAGGCCUUCCACAAUCCACGUCCAUCACUUCCCCCACUCUCGGAAGUGGAUGCCCCAUUAUCGUCAUUAUGGCUGAAUGGAGAUGGACUUCGUGCCUUGAUUUUUGGGCAGGAGUGCACGUCUUGCCAACUGUCAUUGACCGGGUCUCCCCACCUCAACCUCUAGCAGGAAUGGCCUUAUGCUCCUAGUAGGAGGCCGGCUCCCGCAGUGACCCCGUGAAGGGUGUGCUCGUGAACGAGCAGAAUAUUCCUGCUCGUGCUAUCCUGCUACCAGAUACCUGCUCACCAUAUCUCGUCUUGUCGGCGUCUGUCCCCUACACACCGGUCCCCCAGUUUCUGGUGUCAGGUAACACAGUGAACCAACAGUAGAAAUUCAACAGUCAUGACUAGCGCAGGAUAGGAAAAGGCUUUGAGGAGUCGUGUCACAUUUAAUUGCGGACGAGGUGAUGUGGCAGAAAUCUAUCCCUCCAUUUGAAUUUCAAACCGAUGGUUAUGAAACCCUUGGAAUUUGUGCCGUUAAAUGCUGGCAGCCCAAGAGUUUGUUCCUCAUUAGGGAACCUAAAACCCCCAAAAGAGAAACUCGUCUUUUAUCCCAUUUCUGUCUCUCCGGGGACUGAGUCACUCCUUUCCCUCGGCGUAAAAGCUUCCAUCUUUGUCUCUAUCCGGCUAGGCCACAACUUCAGGUAUUAUUUUUAUUUCCUCAGUCUUGGAUAAUUGUAAAAAAUUUCUCUUCUCUCUGUUUUGCUUGGGUAGUGUUUGGUGAUAUUGCUCUGGUCAUAGUUUAAGAAAUGUCGAAAGGCAAAGAGAAGAUCAUCGAGAUUGAUGACGACGAGUUAGACUUCUUGCCUAGUCUACUCGCUGAUCCUGCUUUUGACCCCGGGAUCCCCUUAGAACCCUUUAGAUCUCGUGUUGAGACUAGUGCUAGGAGGAUGUCCCUCCAAAUAACAUCCUCAACCGGCAAUAACGGCGACGAGGGUACUUCUGGUUCGAAAGACACAUUGAGUGAGGACUAGGGAGAUGAUUCUAGUGAAAUGUCCUCACCAGGAACAUCGCGACCAAAUAGGAAGAGCAAAGUAGGAGGUAGGGCUCUAUCGGAGCAUUACGCUAUUGACUUCAUCACAUGCACGACCACAGUAGACGAGCUCGAUAACCUCCGGGCUAGGUAUGACAUUUUUGAUGAUAUACCCCUUAGGAUCCCAGGAAAAAAAGAUACUCCUAGCCGGCCUCCUAGGGGAUACGUUACUCUGUUUCUGGAGAGUUUUAAGCUUGGGCUGGGGUGCCCCCUACAACCCUAUUUUGCCCGAAUACUUAAUGGGUUAAAUUUAGCUCCUGGUCAGCUGAACCCCAACGGGUGGAGGGUACUUUCUGGUUUGUCCAUAUUGUGGGAUAGAUGUUGUCAAAGCGAGCCCACAGUUGAUGAGGUGAAGCACCUGUACCAGCUAAAGAGCAGCCCCAAAGACGCCGACUGGUAUUACUUCCAAUCAAGUACCAAGACGAAGAAACCUAUAACUGAUCUUCCAACUGGUGGUGGUGGGAAUUGGAAGAAAAAAUUCUUUUUUGCUGGGGGUCUCUGGGGUCAAGUUGCACAGAUUGACUGGAAGGAUUAUAGCGUCCCACCCCGUUUCGUGGUCCCAGGUUGCCUGCUCGCUUUAGAUGUUUUGUCUCCAUAGUUGUUCUUAUAUUGCUGAUUUAUCUCUAAUCCAGUAUCUGCUUGAAUUGCAGGUUCUUGGGGUGUGCACUACCAGCUUAAACCUGAGCUACUCAAGCAGGUCGAGACUGCGUUGGCCAAUUCCUGUUCGAACCAAGAGUUGCUAGCCACUUACAACUUGUUCAAAUCUCAUUUGGUGUCUACUGACCUUAAGAUGGAGGAUGCUGUGAUCGGGGUUCUAAAUCGAAAAUGUCCUCAACCUCAUACUGCUAAGCGGGACCAAAAUAAGGACGUUCCCAUUACGAAGCAGGUGAACAUCGUGGAGCAAGUCCCCCCUUUGAGGACUCUACCACCUCCUCCUACCAAAGCCGGAGAAACUAGUGGAGCAGCCACUGACCCCGCUUCCUCUUCUCCAUCAGCUGGGCCGAAACCUCGUUUAUCUGACAAUUGAGCAGAGCAUCUAGUGCCCUACAUCAGUGAGUUUUCUAGGCUCGUGAGCAAGAAGGACUUGGAGGAUUUUGAUGGCAGCACUCUGGGCGAGCUGGUGGGGGUUAUGCAGUAGAGUGCUUUUCACCUCGGCUACAUGGUCACCUACUAUAAGGCGAAUGUCAGCCGCUAUGACCAUAAGAUGAAAGAGGACAUUCAAUCGGCCAAAACCAAAGCUGAUGCUGCCAAGAAGAAAGCAUGAGACCUGAAUCUCGAGAAUCUGAAGUUGAUAGAGCGAGAAUCUCUCACUCAAGCAAAGACCAUUACUCUUGAGGAAGAGCUAACUAAGGUCAAGGAGGAUCUGCAAAGGGAGAAGGCUAUUUACGAGGCUCAGCUCGAAUCUCUCAAGGAUUCCCACCAGGUUCAGGUCGAGAACCUUGAGAAGGAAGCUGAAAAUCAAUAUGACCAGGGGCUUCGGCAUUCUUAUCGCUGUAUCAUGGCUGUCCUUGGAAAGCAGCAUCCUGAUGUUGCUCAAUAAAUGGAUGAGGAGGCAGCCAAAGAAGAUGUUGAAGAGUUGAAGCCAAAUGCCACCGAGGAGGGAACCUCUCCUCCUCAUGCAGUCCUUGCUGAUGUUGCCGAGGCGAGUACCCCCUUGGGGCAACUGGAGAAACCCCCUUGCUCCUGAGGUGGAGCAGCCAGUAGAGGGAACCCAGCUUACUGACCCGCCGUCCUCUUAAGCUUGUUUUAUGUUGUAGUUGCUUUUUUCGAACAUUGUAUGCUAGGAUCAGCAGCUUUGCAAACUAUUGGCAAAUUAAUAAGAAUGCUCUUACAUGCCUUCUCGUAUUGUAGUUGCAAAUUUUUUAUUUUAUUUUUACGUUUGAGAGUCUGCUUGCCUUCGCUGGGUCGAGCAGAUGCUGGCACACUUGGCUUUUGGUCUCGCCAUAAAACAGGCUUUGAGACAUAGCCUUUGCAUGCCUUAGAAAUUUUACAAAGCUUGGGAGUCUGCUCGCCAUCGCUUGGUCGAGCAGAUCCUGGCACGCUUGGCUUUUGGUCUUGCCAUAAAACAGGCUUUGAGACUUAGCCUUUGUAUGUCAUACAGAUUUUACAACGCUUGGGAGUCAGCACGCCUUCGCUUGGUUGAGCGGAACCUGGCACGUUUGGCUUUUGGUCUCGCCAUAAAACAGGCUUUGAGAUUUAGCCUUUGCAAGUCUUAGAAAUUUUACAACGCUUGGGAGUCUGCUCGCCUUCGCUUGGUCUAGUAGAUCCUGGCACGCUUGGCUUUUGGUCUCGCCAUAAUUGAGGCUUUGAGACUUAGCCUUUGCAUGCCUUAGAAAUUUUUCAACGCUUGGGAGUCUGCUCGCCUUCGCUUGGUCGAGCAGAUCCUUGCACGCUUGGGUUUUGGUCUCGCCAUAAAACAUGCUUUGAGACUUAGCCUUUGCAUGUCUCAGAAAUUUUUCAACCCUUGGGAGUAUGCUUGCCUUCGCUUGGUCGAGCAGAUCCUGGCAUACUUGGCUUUUGGUCUCGCCAUAAAACAGGCUUUGAGAUUCAGCCUUUACAUGCCUUAGAAAUUUUACAACGCUUGGGAGUCUGCUCGCCUUCGUUUGGUCGAGCAGAUCCUAACACGCUUGGCUUUUGGUCUUGCCAUAAAACAGGCUUUGAGACUUAGCCUUUGCAUGCCUUAGAAAUUUUUCAACGCUUGGGAGUCUGCUCGCCUUCGCUUGGUCGAGCAGAUCUUGGCAUGCUUGGUUUUGGUCUCGCCAUAAAACAGGCUUUGAGACUUAGCCUUUGCAUGCCUUAGAAAUUUUACAACGCUUGGGAGUCUGCUCGCCUUCGCUUGGUCGAGCAGAUCCUGACACGCUUGGCUUUUGGUCCCGCCAUAAAACAGGCUUUGAGACUUAGCUUUUGCAUGCCUUAGAAAUUUUUCAACGCUUGGGAGUCUGUUCGCCUUCGUUUGGUCGAGCAGAUCCUGACACGCUUGGCUUUUGGUCUCGUCAUAAAACAGGCUUUGAGACUUAGCCUUUGCAUGCCUUAGAAAUUUUUCAAGGCUUGGGAGUCUGCUCGCCUUCGCUUGGUCGAACAGAUCUUGGCACGCUUGGCUUUUGGUCUCGCCAUAAAAUAGGCUUUGAGACUUAGCCUUUGCAUGCCUUAGAAAUUUUUCAACGCUUGGGAGUCUGCUCGCCUUCGCUUGGUCGAGCAAAUCUUGGCACGCUUGGCUUUUGGUCUCGCCAUAAAACAAGCUUUGAGACUUAGCGUUUGCAUGCCUUAGAAAUUUUUCAACGUUACAAGUAACUGAAAUUCCUCGACGUUUCAUUAAUUGCUGAAUUCAACUUACAUAAGAAUGCAUAACAACAAGAACAAAUAGAAAUAACUUUAAAACAUGAUAAGGUCUUACUGGAAAUAUUUCUUGGGGUGCGUUGCGUUCCAGGGGCGUUUCAUCUCGUGGCCAUCCGCGCGAACAAGCUUGUAAGCUCUGGGUCCAACUAUCUGCUUGACCCUGUAUGGCCCCUCCCAGUUUGGUCCAAGUACUCCUUGUGUCGAGUCUUUCGUAUUCUGGUUCACCUUCCUUAGUACCUAAUCGCCGACUUUAAACUGUCAUAUACACACCUUCUGGUUGUAAUAUCGAGCAACUCUUUGUUGGUAAACGGCUGAUCUCUUCGAUGCUUGCUCCUUCUUCUCGGUCAACAGGUCCAGAUUUAAGCACAUCUAGUCGUUGUUUUCAUGCUCAUCGAAGUGGUCGGUCCGGUGUGUGGUCGAUCUUAUCUCGAUUGGUACAACUGCUUCAUGCCCGAAGGCCAAAGCGAAUGGAGUUUUGCCGGUUGCUGUUUUGUGGGUUGUCCUGCAUGCCUACAAUACCCCAUGUACCCUUUUUUGCUCCAAGCCUGGUCUUCAGAAGUCUCUUUAUUAUCUUGUUGGCUGCUUAUACUUGCUCGUUAGAUUGAGGGUGAGCAGGCGAGCAAUACUUCAGCUCUAUCCCCAGGUUUUGGCAGAAAUCCCUGAAGUUAUGGUUGUCAAAAUGCCUGCCAUUGUCUGUUAUCAAGGCACAAAGGAUCUCGUACUUACAGACCAAGUUUCUCUAUACGAAGUCAGUUGCCUUUUUCUCUGUGAUCCUGCUGAGGGCUUCCACCUCUAUGCAUUUCAUAAAGUAGUCUAUCACUACUAGUGCAUGUGUUGCUGCCCCUCGUCCCUUUGGCAACAGCCCAAUCAAAUCAAUUCCCCAUUGAGCAAAUGGCCAUGGCGAGGCCAUAGAAGUGAGCUUCUCUGGUGGUUGGGUAGAGAAAUUUGCAAAACUCUGGCAGCUCAUACAACUCCUGGUUUUCUCCUGCGCAUUCUGGUGCAUCGUCGGCCAGAUAUAUCCAUGCCGUAGAGCCUUGUAGGCAAGGGAUCUCGCGCCAGAAUGGUUUCCGCAAACCCGAUCAUGUACUUCUCUCAGUACAUAAUCCGCGUUAUCCUCAUCCAAACACCGAAGGAACAGUAGAGUGUAUCCCCGCCGAUAUAGCACCCCAUCAAUCAUUGUGUACCUCGAGGCCUGGGCUCUGAUCUUUUGAGAUCGUAGCUUGUCUGGUGGUAAUACCUCGUCUCUAAUGUAUGAGAUUAUCGGGUCCAUCCACGAGUAUUUCUGUUCUAUCUGCAUCACCUCCAAAUUCUGCUCGAUGCUAGGGCUGGACUUCACCUCCAAAGGGAUUGACUUAGGCAUUUUAGGAUCUGCUACAGCUGCUAUCCUAGCCAGAAUAUCUGCUCGACUAUUCUCCUCCUUUGGGGAUUUGUAUCACCUCAACCGCUUCAAACUUCCCAAUCAUCUGCCUGACUUUCUUCAGGUACUGCUCAAUCUUCCCAUCUCUCGGUUGAAAUCUUUCACUGACAUGAUUUGCAACCAGUUGAGAAUCAGUUCGGAUUUUCCCUAUCCGCUUUCACUGCCUUAACCAAUUCCAAGCCCGCUAUUAAAGCUUCAUAUUCUGCCUGGUUAUUUAUGGCUGUAAACUCCAACUUUACAGUAUAAGAGAUUUCCUCCCCUUCUGGGCUUUCCAAGACAAUCCCUGCUCCAGACCCCUACUCCCCUGAUGAUCCAUCCACAGACACCUGCCAUACCAUAUCUUCGUUGUUGGCUGUAGCAGUAUCCAAUUGGUCGAUCUUGGGUAAGGGAAAGCUAUCUUUCGGACACGCCUUAUUGAGGUCUGUGAAAUCUACACACAUCCUCCAUUUGCCAUUAGCCUUUUUUACUAACACCACAUUUGAUAUCCACUAUGGGUAGUUAACUUCCCGAAUGAACCCUGCCUUCAAGAGCUUCUCCAUCUCACCAUUUAUAGCCUCGUACCUCUCCUGGUUGAAGCACCUUCUUUUUUGCCUUACUGCCCGAGCACCUUUUCUUAUUGCCAGCCUAUGACAUGCGACCUCAGGGUCGAUUCCCGGCAUGUCUUCAUGUGUCCAAGCAAACACAUCUGCAUGAGCCCCCAGGCAUUGCACCAACUCCCACUUCUACUAUUCUUUAAAUCUCGACCCGAUUCGGAUCGUUUUUCCUGGAUCAUCUUGCUCCAAGCUUACUGUCUCCAGUUCCUCUACAGGCUCUUGUCUACCAUUCUUGGCCCUCACUCGAGUAUCAAGGGAUGUAAUCUGCAUUGCUUCCUUUGCUGCUGUGGAGUAGCAGCUUCGGGCGAUUCUCUGGUCUCCUCGCACCACUCCAACUACCCCAUUCACCCAGUACUUGAGAGCUAGGUAAUUGCUGGAAAGUACUGCUUUACUCAUCCUCAGAAAGGGACGGCCUAGGAUUAUCUGAUAAGGACCCUCUUUAUCGAUCACUACAAAAUCCAGUAUCAUAGUCUUUUUAGUCGGGGAGCUGCCGAUUAUGAUGGGUAGUUCGACCACGCCUAGAGGAACCAACUUUCCUUCUCCAAAUCCCUUCAAGGAGGUAUUGGUAUGCUCUAACCUCAGUUCUGCUAUUCUCAUCUCCUCCAUAGUUGACUUGAACAAAACAUCGACCGAGCUUCCCGUGUCUAUUAGAACUCGGUCAAACUUCUUGCUAGCAGUGGUGACUUUAAUGACUAAGGCAUCCUCAUGUGGAUAUAAAGUCCCUUCUUCGUCCUCAUCUGUCCACAUGAUCAGAACCUGCCUGAUUCUUGCUCGUUUGGCUGCUGGGGUGUUGAAGAACACUUCUCCUCUAGUCAUGGCAUACUUAGUGUAAUUCUUCCUCGAUCUGUUGGAAUCUCUCACCAAUGUUGGACCCCCAGUAAUUAUUCUUACCAUUGACUGCUCGUGGCUCAAGUUCCUAUCACUCUGCUCCCCUUCACCUAACGAGGCCACCAUCGGGAAAGUCUCAUCUCUAAACUCGUCCAGGUAUCGAUUUGUCACCAAAUCUUCAACCUGGGUCUUGAGGUCUUUGCAUUCAGUUGUGGUAUGACCGUGAGUGCUAUGGAACUCGCAAUAGCGUCCCCUAUCUCUCCUGCUGGGUAGCUUUGUUAUUGAGGUAGGGAGAUACAGUAAUCCUCGUUCCUUUAUGGCCUCAUACACCUCGUCUAGGGGCAUCUUCAAGGAAGUAUAUCGCCCAUAGUCUUGGUUCUGGUUGAUCAUGUGCACUGCCCUUUCUUUGUUGCUGCCGUUCUAAACUGGAGGGGGCAGCGGUGCUUCUGGUCUGCUUCCUCUACCACUGUGUGGGUGUGGAUGAGGAUAACCAUAUGUCGGGUCAUGCCUUCUCCAUGAAUCUCUGGCUGGUGAAUGAGGAGGUCGCGCCCUGCUGCGCUGAUAUGGGGAUGGCCUCUGAUGAGGCUGGUAAGAGGUGAAACGGCCUCCUACUCACUACAUGAGCCAUGAUGGUCCUUCCUCUUAAUCAGCCCAUUUCCUGGUAGAGCUCUCUUAUCUUUCCUCAUAAACCCUUCCAGCUAAUCUAUCUUAAUCCGUGCGGCCUUUUCCUCCUCGAUCUCUAUGUCUCUCUUAGCCUACUCAUAAGCGGCUGAAUAUGUCUGAAUAGCUAGGCUUCUCAAAUUGUACUACAGCUGUCCUAUCUUCACCUCUUCUUUUAAUCCCCUUAAUGCCUGAGGAUGGUUGAAGGCUUCUAAGUCGAGGACAGCAUAAUGGAACCUUUCGAUGAAUUCCCGAAGGGUUUCUUCCUCCCCUGCUUCAUGCUCGUCAGUUCCAUCAUAUCAUCUUCUGGUGCCAUUGCCCCAAGAAAGUGCUCUGUAAAUUCCUGGCACAUCUGCUCGAAGGAUUUAACACUCCAUCGAGGAAGUUUCCUGUACCACUCACGUGCUCGUCCCUCUAGAGAUUGUGGGAACACUUUACAUCUUUGAGCUUAGGAUAAUCCUUGGACCUCAGUCAUGUCGUUAAAGCACUCUAUGUGCACCAACGGCUUAGUUCGUCCCGAAUAUCUGAGGUUUCGGAGGCGAAAAUCCCUCGGAAUGACUGCCCUCUUGAUUUCUGCCGAGAGCGGGGAUUCUCCAUCCAGCAUUAUUCUCCACCCUGGUGCUCUGCUUCGUCCUUGCAUGUCAUCUAUUAUCUGUGCUAAUCUGCGCACUUCUUCUUCCAGUUGUAUAGCACGACCAGGGUCACGUGCUGCAACCUGAUCUCGCUCUUGCUCAACAUCAUGCGGGUGUUGUCGGAGUUCUCUUUCCUCCGUAUUUACCACUCCGCCAUCGUUAUCAAAGAUCUGUCUUCCUGGGAUUGAUCUUCUCCUCUAUAGAUUUCUCCCCGUAGAGAUGAGUUACCUCCCUCACUACUAAAUCUUCUGGUGGCCCGACCUCUCAUCAUAUUAUCGUGCCCUGGUGCUAUUCCGCCACUUCUAACCCUUUCCUCAUGGACUCCCCUUCGUUCACUCCUCAGCUCGUGUAGGAUGGUUGUCAGGGUCUCCAUAUAUUUUUCCAUUCGUUCCAUCCGCUCAUACAUUACUUUUUCUCGUGCUUCGUUGGCUAUCUCUCUCAACGUCAUAGACUUGUUAAGCCUCAAGUCACCUCCUUGUGCACUACUUCCUCCUAUAUCUAUUGUUUCCUCACUUCAUUUCCUCUUCUUCUCUCUAUCAACGGAAGCUUUUUACUCAGCUCCCCAUAGACGGCGCCAAAAUAUUGAUGCGAGAUUCUGGUUUUCUACCAGUCUACGAUCAUGAUCUCUCCUCAACUAACUCGACCACGACCAGGGUCUCUCCUCAUAAGACUUCUUCUCUAUAGACUCCUGCGUACACAGAAAUAAGUCAGAGCACGCCGGGUGUUUUUCCGGCGUAAACCCUCCAACGCUCAAGUCAGAAAUGUAGGUUUCGGGUUCCUGGGAAAAUCAACCACUAAUCUUAUGGCUCGUUUUCAGUAUUAAUUAUCCAGAGCUCUUUUUAUCUCCAUUUCAAUGUAAAAAAAUCUAACCCUUUUACCUUUGUUGGCAACCUUUAUAUAGGCUUCCUCUGAAUCUAGGCCUUCCACAAUCUACGUCCAUCACUUCCCCCACUCUCGGAAGUGGAUGCCCCAUUAUCGUCAUUAUGGCUGAAUGGAGAUGGACUUCGUGCCUUGAUUUUCGGGUAGGAGUGCACGUCUUGCCAACUGUCAUUGACCGGGUCUUCCCACCUCAACCUCUAGCAGGAAUGGCCUUAUGCUCCUAGUAGGAGGCCGGCUCCCGCUGUGACCCCGUGAAGGGUGUGUUCGUGAACGAGCAGAAUAUUCCUGCUAGUGCUAUCCUGCUACGAGAUACCUGCUCACCAUAUCUGGUCUUGUCGGCAUAUGUCCCCUAAACGUCGUUAUUAUUUUAUAAUCAAAAUAACUAACCAACAAGUAGUGGAUGGACAACUACAAGUCGUAUAUCGACGUAGAAGAACAUGACAUUCGGCUCAAACGGUGAUUGAUUUACUGAACUGUAACCAAAGGAACCAUUUUUGGGAUAAUUUCAGAGCAAUAAUAUUCAGCCUACUAUGUAAAAAAAUCCAAAUCUUCGAAAACUUUUCCACCUUAUGAAACAUUGGAAAAAUCUUCCCAACUUGAUGCAUCGACUUGUUGACCUCUCAAUUGCUCUUGUGUGUGCCUUCUAUAAAUUUGGCGUCCAACGUGCUCAUUUUCUGCGCCGGUAUAUGUUGAUGCGAGAUUCUGGUUACUCUUUCGACCACGACCAGGAUCUCUCCUCGUAUGCUUUCUUCUCCAAAAAUUCCUGCAUACACAGAAACAAGUCAGAGCACGCCGGUUGUUUUCCCAGCGUAAACCCUCUGACGCUCAAGUCAGAAAUGAAGGUUUUAUGCUCCUGGGAAUGUUAGCCACUAAUCUUAAGGCUUGUUUUUGGGAUUAUUAAAUGCUCUAUUUAUUUCAGUUUCAAUAUCAAAAGUUCCAACCCUUUUACCUUCGUUGGCCACCUUUUUAUAGGCUUCUCAUGAGUUCAGACAUUCCCUCAAUCCACGCCCAUUACCUUCCUAUCUCUCGAAAGUGGAUGCUCUGUUUCCGUAAUCGUGGGUGGUCGCGUGGUCAUCGUGCCUUGAUUCUCGGGUUGGAAUGCACGUCUCGCCAACUGCCAUUGACUGGGUCUCCUCGCCUCACCCAUUAGCAGGAGGCUCAACCAUUAGCAGGAGACCGGCCUCACCGAUGGCGUAUUCGUGGACGAACGGAAUAUUCCUGGUCCUAUUCUCCUACUAAUAGACUUCUGCAAGACAUACCUGUUCUUGGGAACCCUGCUAAUAGGUAUCUGCUAAUCACGGCUGGUCUCGUCGAAGUAUAUCCCCCAAACAUCAGUCCCCCAGUUUCUGAUGUUGGAUAAUGCAGUGGACCAGCAGUAGAAACUCAUCAGUUCUGGUUUGCGUGGGAUAGAAAGAGGUUUUGAGGAGUCGUGUCGCAUUAAAUUUCGGGUGAGGUGAUGUGGCAGAGAUCUAUCCCUCAAUUUGAAUUUCAAACCGGUGGCUAUGCGACCCUUGGAACUUGUGCCUUUAAAUGCUGACAGCUUGUGGGUUUAUUUCUCAUUAAGGAACCUAAAAAUCCCAAAGACGAAUUCAUCUCUCAACCCCCUUCUAAUUUUCCGGUGACUGAAAAACCUUCUUUCCUCGGUGUAGAAGCUAUCGCCCCUGUCUUUACUCCGCCGGGCCUCAACUGCAGGUAUUACCUCUAUUUUCUCAUUCCUACAUUACUAUAGAAAAUUUCCUUUCUCUUUGUUUUGUUUGGGUAGUGUUUGGUGAUAUUGUUCUGGUCGUAGUUUAGGAGAUGUCAAAAGGCAAAGAGAAGAUAGUUGAAAUCGAUGACGACAAGUUAGACUUCUUACCUAGUCUGCUCGCUGAUCCUGCCUUUGACCCUGGGCUCCCCUUAGAACCCUUUAGAUCUAGUGUUGGGACUAGUGCUAGGAGGAUGUCUCCCCAAACAACCUCCUCGGCCAACAAUAGUGGCGACGAGGGAUCUUCUGGUUCGGAAGACACUUUGAGUGAAGACCAGGGUGAAGAUGCUGGUGAAAUGUCCCCACCAGGAACGUCGCAACCAGAUAAGAAAAGCACAGUAGGGGGUAGAGCUAUAUCACAACAUUAUGCUAUUGAUUUUAUAACGUGCACGACCACAGUAGAUGAGCUAGUUAGUCUCCGGGCUGGAUACGGUAUUCCUGAUGAAAUUCCCCUUAGGAUCCCAGGAAAAAAAGAUACUCCUAGCAGGCCUCCUAGGGGGUAUGUUACCCUGUUUCUAGAUAGUUUUAAACUUGGGCUGAGGUGCCCCAUUCAGCCCUACUUUGCCCGAAUACUCAAUGGAUUGAAUUUAGCUCCUGGUCAACUGAACCCCAAUGGGUGCCGGGUACUUUCUGGUCUGUUCAUAUUGUGGGAUAGAUGUUGCCAAAGCGAGCCCACAGUUGACGAGGUGAAACACCUGUACUAGCUAAAGAGCAGUCCCAAAGACGCCGGCUGAUACUACUUCCAAUCUAGUACCAAGACCAGGAAACCCAUAAUUGAUCUUUCAACUGGUGGUGGUGGGACUUGGAAGAAAAAAUUCUUUUUUGCUGGGGGUUCCUGGGUCAAGUUGUACAGAUUGACGGGAAGGAUUACCGCGUCCCACCCCGUUUCGUGGUCCCAGGUUGCCUGCUCGCUUCAAAUGUCUUGUCUCCAUAGUCGUUCCCAUUUUGUUGAUUUAUCUCUAACCCAAUAUCUGCUCGAAUUUCAAGUUCUUAGGGUGUGCACUACUCGCUUAAACCUGGGCCACUCAAGCGGGUCGAGGCUGUAUUGGCCAAUUUCUGCUCGCACCGAGAGUUGCUAACCACUUACAACUUGCUCGAAUCUGGUUUGGUGUCUACUGACUCUGGGAUGGAGGACGUUAUGAUCAGAGCUCUGAAUCGGAAACGUUCUCGACCUCAUUCUACUAAGCAGGACCAGAACAAGGACGCUCCCACUGCAAAGCGGGUGAACAUUGUGCAGCAGGCUCCUCCUCUGAAGACUCUACCACCUCCUCCUGCCAAAGUUGGAGAAACUAGUAGAGAAGCCACCGAUCCCGCUUCCUCUUCUCCUCCAGUCGGGCCGAGAUCUCAUUUAUCUGACGAUCGAGCAGAAUAUUUGGUCCCCUAUAUCAACGAGUUCUCUAAACUCGUGAGCAAGAGGGACCUGGAGGACUUUGACGGCAGCACCUUGGGUGAGCUGGUAGGGGCUAUGCAGUAUAGCGCUUUCCAUCUCGGCUGCAUGGCCACUUACUAUAAGGCCAAGGUUGGCCGUUAUGACCGAAAGAUGAAGGAGGACAUUCAGUCGGCGAUGACCAAGGCUGAUGCUGUCGAGAAGAAAGCAGGAGACUUGAAUCUCGAGAACUUGAAGCUGAUAGAGCGAGAAUCUCUUGCUCAGGCAAAGGCUAUUACUCUCGAGGAAGAGCUGACUAAGGUCAAGGAGGAUCUGCAAAGGCAGAAGGUUAUGUAUGAGGCUCAGCUCGGAUCUCUUCGUGAUUUCCACCAGGUUCAGGUCGAGAACUUGGAAAAGAAAGCCGACAACCAAUACGACCAGGGACUUCGACAUUCCUAUCAUUGCAUCAUGGCCGUCCUUGGGAAGUAGCACCCUGAUCUGAAGAUGGAUGACCUUGCAGCUGGUGUUGCUCAACACAUGGACGAGGAGGCAGCAAAAGAGGAUGUCGAAGGGGUGGAGCCAAUUGCGGUUGAGGAGGAAAACUCUCCUCCUCGUGCAAUCCCUGCUGAUGUUGGUGAGGCGAGUACCCCCCCGGAUGCAACUGGUGAUACCCCCCUGCACCUAAGGUGGACCAGCCAACCGAGGCUGCUCGGCUUACUGACCCGCCGUCCUCUUGAAUGUAUCUUGCGUUGUAAUAAACAUUGUAUGUGAAGGUUAUCAGCCUUGCAAGUUAUUGACAGCUUAAUAAAAAUGUUUUUAAUUGCUUUUUAGUGUUGUAGUUACAAGUUAUUUUUCGUUUGAGAGUCUGCUCGCCUUUGCUUGGUCGAGCAGAUCCUAGAAUGCUUAGCUUCUGGUAUCGCAUAAGACAGGCUUUGAGACUUAGUCUUUGCAUGCCUUAGAAAAUUUUUCAAUGCUUGGGAUUCUGCUCGCUUUCGCUUGGUCGAGCAGAUCCUGGCACGCUUGGAUUUCAGUCUCGCCAUAAGAUAGGCUUUGAGACUUAGUAUUUGCAUGCCUUAGAAACUUUUUCAAUGCUUGGGAUUCUGCUCGCCUUCGCUUGGUCGAGCAGAUCCUAGCACGCUCGGCUUCUGGUUUCGCCAUAAGACAGGCUUUGAGACCUAGCCUUGGGAUGCCUUAGAAACUUUUUCAAUAUUUGGGAUUCUACUCGCCUUCGCUUGGUCGAGCCGAUCCUGGCACGCUUGGCUUCUGGUCUCGCCAUAAGACAUGCUUUGAGACUUGGUGAUCCUUUGCAUGCCUUCGAAACUUUUUCAAUGUUUGGGAUUCUGCUCGCCUUCGCUUGGUCGAGCCGAUCCUGGCACGCUUGGCUUCUGGUCUCGCCAUAAGACAGGCUUUGAGACUUAGUGAGCCUUUGCAUGCCUUCGAAACUUUUUCAAUGUUUGGGAUUCUGCUCGCCUUCGCUUAGUCGAGCCGAUCCUGGAACGCUUGGCUUCUGGUCUCGCCAUAAGACAGGCUUUGAGACUUAGUCUUUGCAUGCGUUAGAAAAUUUUUCAAUGCUUGGGAUUCUGCUCGCCUUCGCUUGGUUGAGCAGAUCCUGGCACGCUUGGCUUCUGGUCUCGCCAUAAGACAGGCUUUGAGACCUAGCCUUGGGAUGCCUUAGAAACUUUUUCAAUGUUUGGGAUUCUACUCGCCUUCGCUUGGUCGAACCGAUGCUGGCACGCUUGGCUUCUGGUCUCGCCAUAAGACAGGCUAGACCUGGUGAGCCUUUGCAUGCUUUAGGAAAUUUUUCAAUGCUUGGGAUUCUGCUCGCUUUCGCUUGGUCGAGCAGAUCCUAGCACGUUUGGCUUCUGGUCUCGCCAUAAGACAAGCUUUGAGACUUAGUCUUUGCAUGCCUUAGAAACUUUUUACACAGUUAUAAGUGAAUGAAAUUCCUCGACGUUUCAUUAAUUGCAGAAUUUAACUUACAUAAGAAUGCAUAGCAACGAGAACAAAUUUGAGAUAACUUUAAAACAUGAGCAAGUCUUACUGGAAAUAUUUCCUGAGGUGUGCUGCAUUCCAUGGGCGUUUCACCUUGUGGCCAUCCGUGCGAACAAGCUUGUAAGCUCCGAGUCCCACUACUUGCUUGACCCUAUAUGGCCCCUCCCAAUUCGGUCCAAGCACUCCUUGAGUUGAGUCUUUAGUAUUCUGAUUCACUCUCCUUAGCACCCAAUCUCUGGCCUUGAACUACCGUACAUUCACCUUCUGGUUAUAAUACCGAGCAACCCUCUGCUGGUAAAUGGCUGAUCGCUUCGAUGCUUGCUCCCUCCUCUCAGUUAGCAAAUCCAGAUUCAGGCACAUCUGCUCGUUAUUCUCCUUCUCAUUGAAAUGAUCUGUCUAGUGCGUCGUCAUUCCUAUCUCGGCUGGUAGGACUGCUUCAUGUCCGAAGGCCAAGGCGAACGGUGUCUCCCCAGUUGCUGUUUUGUGGGUUGUCUUGUAUGCCUAUAGAACACCUGAUAACUCAUCAACCCAUGCACCCUUUUUUGCUCCAAGCCUGAUUUUCAAAAGCCUCUUGAUCGUCUUGUUGGCUGCUUCUACUUGUCCAUUAGACUGAGGGUGAGCAGGUGAGCAAUACAUCAACUCUAUCCCGAGGUUUUGGCAGAAAUCCCUGAAGCUGUGAUUAUCAAACUGCUUGCCAUUAUCCGUUAUCAAGGCAUAAAGGAUCCCGUACCGACAGACCAGGUUUCUUCGUACGAAGUCUGUUGUCUUCUUCUCUGUGAUCCUGCUAAGGGCUUCUACCUCUAUCCACUUCGUGAAGUAGUCUAUUGCUACUAUUGCAUGUGUUGCUGCUCCUCGUCCCUUUGGCAAUGGCCCGAUCAGAUCAAUUCCCCAUUGACCAAAUGGCCAAAGGGAGGCCAUAGAAGUGAGCUUCUCUGGUGGUUGGUUGGAGAAACUUACAAAACUCUGGCAGCAUACGCAGCUCCUGGUCUUCUCCUGCGCAUCCUGGUGCAUUGUCGGCCAGAAAUAUCUCUGCCUUAGAACCUUGUGGACAAGGGACCUCCAACCAGAAUGGUUUCCGUAAAUUCCUUCAUGUACUUCUCUCAGUACAUAGUCCGCGUCAUCCUCGUCCAAGCACCGAAGGAACGGUAGCGUAUAUCCUCGUCGAUAUAGCACCCCAUCAAUCAUUGUGUACCUUGAGGCCAGGGCUCUGAUCUUCCGUGCUCGUAGCUUAUCUAGUGGUAAUACCCCGUCUCUAAUGUAUGAAAUUAUCGAAUCCAUCCACGAGCAUUUUUGUUCUAUCUGCAUCACCUCCAAAUUCUGCUCGAUGCUAGGGCAGGUUUUCACCUCCAAAGGGACUGACUUAGGCAUUUUCGGGUCUGCUACAGCUGCCAUCCUGGCCAGAAUAUCUGCUCGACUGUUCUGUUCCCUUGGGAUUUGUAUCACCUUAACCGCUUCGAACUUCCCCAUCAUCUGCCUGACUUUCUUCAGGUACUGCUCCAUCUUCUUAUCUCUCGGUUGAAAUCUUUCACUGACAUGAUUUGCGACCAGCUGGGAAUUAGUUUUGAUCUUCACCCUAUCUGCUUUCACUGUCUUAGCCAAUUCCAAACCUGCUAUCAGGGCUUCGUAUUCUACUUGGUUAUUUAUGGCUGUGAACUCUAACUUUACAGCAUAAGAAAUCUCCUCCCCCUCUGGGCCUUCCAAGACAAUCCCUGCUCCCCUGAUGACCCAUCUAUAGACAUCUGCCACACUCGAGAUUUGCUGCUGUCUGUAGCAGUAUCCAGCUGGUCCAAACAUACUUCGGGCUCUGCGAAUUCUGCUAUGAAAUCGGCCAUUGCCUGAGCCUUUAUUGCUGUUCGGGAUUUGUAAUCUAUGUCGAACUCACUUAGCUCUAUAGCCCACUUUACGAGCCGACCAGAAGCAUCUGGCUUGUGCAAAGCUUGACGCAAUGGCUGGUUUGUUAUUACCGAGACGGGGAAUGCUUGAAAGUACGGCCUCAGCUUUCGAGCAGCAACCACAAGGGCGAGUGCCUAUUUAUCCAGCGGUGGGUAUCUGGUCUCGGCAUCGAGCAGGGCCUUGCUGGUGUAGUAUAAUGGGUACUGAACCCCUUCUUCCUCUCUCACUAGAACAGAACUUGUAGCAUGAUCUGAUACCGCCAAAUAUAAGAACAACCUAUCGCCAUCCCUUGGUGUGGACAGCAGAGGUGCUUCCUGCAAGUAUUGCUUCAAGUUUUGGAAGGCUUCUUCACAUUCUGGGGUCCAUUCUGUUUUCUUUCCUCUCCUUAUCACUUGAAAGAAUAGUUGACACUUAUCUGUAGCCUUGGAUAUGAAUCGGCUUAAUGCCGCCAACCUCCCCGUAAGGCUCUGUGUCUCCUUCAGGCUACGAGGAGACUUCAUCUGCACGAUCGCUUGGAUCUUUUCAGGAUUUGCCUCGAUCCCCCUAUGACUCACCAUGAACCCGAGGAAUUUCCCUGACUCGACCUUAAAAGCACACUUUUCCGGGUUGAGCUUCAUCUUGUACUUCCUCAAAAGUCCGAAUGUCUCCUCGAGGUGCUCGACAUGUUCCUUCGGGAUGUUUAACUUGGUUAUCAUGUCGUCAAUAUACACCUCCAUCGUUCUUCCAAUCAGUGGCUUAAAGAUUUUGUUCACCAGCCUCUGGUACGUGGCCUGAUGAGCAUAUAAUACAUACAUAUUUUACCAUUAAUUAAAUAAUUGUUAGUUAUAUUUAUUUGUUAUUUUUAAUUAAUUGUAUUGUUUUAUUGAAUAGGGAAUUAAUUAGAGAUUAUGGAUAAAAAGAGCAUAAAGAAAUUCAAUUUACAAAGAAGAUAAAAGGGGUGGAAAGCAAUAGAAAGGGACUCGCACUUGACUUUCAUGAGUGGAAAAGGAAUGAAAAUUCUUUUUGGAGUACACGUGAUAAAGCCAAAGUUAAAAGCUUUGCCAGCACAUGAAGGAUAAAAGGAAUUCUAAUUGGGCUUUGCAAGAGUGGGCUGAUUUUAGCUUGUGUGAGCAAUUCACUAGCUAUCAUUAUUUGACAAGGAUUCGGCUAGGGAUUAAAGCUAUAAAAGCCGAACUUUGGCUUUUGCAAAGAGAGGGCUGCCAGAAGAGAGAGCCGCCAGUGGAGUGAAAACGCAAGGCAGAAGAGGGGAGAAAAGGACGAGUGCAGCAGUUCGGCUUCAUGGCUGAUUUUAUUUCUUGUGUUGCUCUCAAUUCAAGUAUGUCUAGCUAAUUUUCUUAUACUGAGGUUAAGGAUGAAACCCUAUUCAAUGAAAUAAUUAUCUUUUUAUUUAAUUAAUUCUCUAUAUAUGUUCUUUAAUGAUUAUGGUUUUUAUUUCACAUGAUUAAUUGGAUGUUAAUAAAAUCUUUUCAUCAAUUCUGUCAUGCAUUAUUGAUUGUUAGGAUUAAUAUUCGAUUAAAUCUAUGCUUGGAUUUAUAAAGUUUAUACAUGAUUAUCUUUGACUCUAUGUCUUUCAUUAAAUUGUUUACAUGGAGUGCUUAGGAAACUUUGACUCUUUGUUAUUCAAUAUGUUUACAUGAGAUUCUUAGAUAUCAUAUUAUUAAGCAGAAAAAGAACCUACAUUAGAUUUAAUUACUUGGGCUUAAUUGUUAUAUCAAUGACAUAGAUUGAUUUCGAGUUGUCACUCUAAAAUUGGGGAUUAAUUAAUAAUUAGAUAAUUACUAGUUGAAUAGUGGUGGAUUCUGAAACCUUGGUAAUUCUUAUCUUAUUGAAUUCUCCUUUAUUUUAAUUGCUUCCUUAGUUUAAUUGGUUUAAUUUUCUUAAAAACUCAAUUUGCUCAACUAGGUUAGAAUUAAUAUUAAUUUUAGAUUUAAAUUAGACUUUUCAUAUAUAACAAUCCCUGUGGGAUCGACCUCGUUACCACUAUUCUAUUUCUAGACUCGUGCGCUUGCGAGUAUAUUAAAAUUUUCACAACAUGGCCCCCGUAUUUUUAAGACCGAAUGACAUUACCCUGUAAUAGAAAAGACCCUGGUUAGUAAUAAAUGUCGUGCUCUCCUCAUCCUGCUCGAACAUGGGGAUUUGGUUGUAUCCCGAGAAUGUGUCCAUGAAGUUGAGCAGGCCAUGUCUAGUUGUUGAGUCUACAAGCUGGUCGAUCUUUGGUAAGGGAAAACUGUUUUUCGGGCACGCCUUGUUGAGGUCCGUGAAAUCCACGCACAUCCUCCACUUGCCAUUAGCCUUUUUUACUAACACCACAUUCGAUAUCCACUCAAGAUAAUUGACUUCUCGAAUGAACCCUGCUUUCAAGAGCUUCUCCUCCUCGCCGUUUAUAGCCUCAUACCUCUCCUGGUUGAAGCACCUCCUUUUCUGUCUUACUGCCCGAGCACAUUUCUUUAUUGUCAGCUUAUGACAUGCGACCUCAAGGUCGAUCCCUGGCAUGUCUUCAUGUGUCCAAGCAAACACAUCUGCAUGAGCCCGCAAGCAUUGCACCAAUUCCUACUUCUGCUCUUCUUUAAGCCUCGACCCAAUUCGGAUCGUUUUUCACGGAUCCUCUGGUCCCAGGCUUACUGUCUCCAACUCCUCUACAGGUUCUUGUUUGCCAUUCUUGGCUCUCACUCAGGUAUCAAGGGAUGUUAUCUGCAUUGCUUCCCUUGCUGCCGAGGAGUAAUAGCUUCGUGCGAUUCUCUGGUCUCCUCGUACCACUCCAACUACCCCAUUCACCCGGUACUUGAGAGCUGGACAGCACCACUUUGCUCAUUCUCAGAAACGGUCGGCCUAGGAUCAUCUGGUAAGGACCCUCUUCAUCGACUACCACAAAAUCCAGUAUCAUAGUCCUUUCUGUCGGGGAUCUUCCAAUCGUGAUAGGCAGCUCGACCACGCCCAAGGGGACCAGCUUUUCUCCUCCAAAUCCCUUCAAGGAGGUAUUGGUGUGCUCUAACCUCAGGUCUGCUAUUUCCAUCUCCUCCAGAGUUGAGUUAAACAACACAUCAACUGAGCUUCGUGUGUCAACCAGUAUCCGGUCAAACUUCUUGCUAGCAACGGUGGCCUUGAUGACUAAGGCAUCCUCGUGUGGGUAUAAAAUCCCUUCUUCAUCCUCAUCUGUCCACACGAUUGGCACUUGCCUGACUCUUGCUCGUUUGGCUGCUUGGGUAUUGAAGAAUACCUCUUUACUAGUCAUGGCAUAUCUAGCAUAGUUCUUCCUCGAUCUGUUGGAAUCUCCGGCCAACGUUGGACCCCCAGCAAUCACUCUUACUAUAGGCUGCUCGUGACUCAAGUUCCUGUUACCCUGCUCCUCUUCACAUGUCGAGGCUACCGUUGGAAAAGUCCCAUCUAUAAACUCGUCCAGGUACGAUUUCUCACCAAAUCUUCAACGUGGGUCUUGAGGUCUCUGCAUUCUGUUGUGGUAUGGCCAUGAGUACCAUGGAACUUGCAAUAGCGCCCCUUAUCCCUCCUGCUAGGUAGCUUUGUUAUUGGGGCCGGGAGGUACAGUAAUCCCGGUCCUUUAUGGCCUCGUACACCUCGUCUAGGGAGAUUUUCAAGGAAGUAUACCGCCCAUAGUCUUGGUUCUGGUCGAUCAUGUGCACUGCCCUUUCUCUGUUUGUGCCAUUCUGAGUUGGAGGUGGUAGCAGCGCUUCUGGUAUGCUCCCUCUACUACCAUAGGGGUGUGGGUGAAGAUGACUAUAUGCCGCGUCAUGCCUUCUCCAAGGCUCCCUAGCUGGUGAGCGAGGAGGUUGCGCCCUGCUGCGCUGAUACUAUAGUGGCCUCUGAUGAGGCUGGUAAGAGGUUACCCGACCUCCUGUACCACUACCUAAGGCAUGGUGGUCCCUCCGCUUAAUCGGCCCAUUUCCUGGUACGGCUCUCUUCUCUUUCCUUUUUAAUCCUUCCAGCUGCUCUGUCUUAAUCCGUGCUGCCUUUUCCUCCUCGAUUUCUAUGUCUCUCUUAGCCUGCUCAUAAGCAGCUGAAUAUGUCUGAAUAGCUGGGCUUCUCAAGUUAUACCACAGCCGUCCUAUCUUAACUCAUUCUUUCAACCCCCUUAAUGCCUGAGGAUAGUUGAAGGCUCCCAAGUCGAGGACAACACGGUGGAACCUUUUGAUGAAUUCCCGAAGGGUUUCCUCCUCUCUCCGGUUCAUGCUCGCCAGCUCCAUCAUAUCAUCUUCCGGUGCCAUUGCCCCACGAAACUGCUCUAUAAAUUUCUGGCACAUCUGCUCGAAGGUUUUAAUGCUCCCCCGAGGAAGUUUCCUGUACCACUCGCGUGCUCGUCCCUCUAGAGAUAGUGGGAACACCCUGCAUCUUUGGGCUUGAGAUAGUCCUUGCACCCCGGUUAUGUCGUUAAAGCGCUCUAUGUGCACCAACGGAUCAGUUCGCCCCGAAUAUCUAAGGUCUGGGAGGCGAAAAUCUCUUGGAAUGACUGCCCUCAUGAUCUCUGCCGAGAGCGGAGAUUCUCCAUCCAGCAUUAUCCUCCAACCAGGUGCUCUACUCCUUCCUUGCAUAUCAUCAAUUACCUGCGCUAGUCUGCGCACUUCCUCCUUCGGCUGCACUGCACGACCAAGGUCACGUGCUGCAACUUGAUCCCGCUCUUGCUCUACAUCAUGUAAGUGUUGCCUGAGCUCUAUUUCCUCCACAUUCACCACCCCGUCAUCCUCAUCAAAAAUCUGUCUUCCUGGGGAUUGUUCUUCUUCUCUAUGAAUUCCUCCCCGUAGAGAUAAGUUACCUCUCUCACCACCAAAUCUCCUGGUGGUCUGACUUCUCAUCAUACCAUCGUGCCCUGGUGCCACUCCGCCACCUCUCACCCUUUCCUCAUGGGUUCCCCUUCGUUCACUUCUCAGUUCAUGUAAGAUGGUUGUCAGGGACUCCAUCUGCUUUUCCAUCCGUUCCAUUGGGUCAUGCAUGGCUUUUUCCCGUGCUUCAAUGGCUAUCUCCCUCAACGUCACGGAUUCGUUAAGCCUCAUAUCACCUCCUUGUGCACUACUUCCUCCUAUAUCCAUUGUUUCUUCUCUUGCUUUGCUUUUCCUCUCUCUGUCAAUAGAAGCUUUUUGAUCAGCUCCCCACAAACGGCGCCAAAAUGUUGAUGCGAGAUUCUGGUUACUCUUUCGACCACGACCAAGAUCUCUGCUCAAUCAACUUGACCACGACCAGGAUCUCUCCUCGUAUGCUUUCUUCUCUAAAAAUUACUGCGUACACAGAAAUAAGUCAGAGCACGCCGGUUGUUUUUCCGGCAUAAACUCUCCGACGCUCAAGUCAGAAAUGAAGGUUUUGUGCUCCUGGGAAUGUUAGCCACUAAUCUUAAGGCUUGUUUUUGGGAUUAUUAAAUGCUCUUUUUAUUUCAGUUUCAAUAUCAAAAGUUCCAACCCUUUUACCUUCGUUGGCCACCUUUUUAUAGGCUUCUCAUGAGUUCAGACCUUCCCUCAAUCCACGCCCAUUACCUUCCCAUCUCUCAGAAGUGGAUAUUUCGUUUCCAUAAUCGUGGGUGGUCGCGUGGUCGUCAUGCCUUGAUUCUCGGGUUGGAGUGCACGUCUCGCCAACUGUCGUUGACCGGGUCUCCUCGCCUCACCCAUUAGCAGGAGGCUCAACCAUUAGCAAGAGACCGGCCUCGCCGAUGGCGUAUUCGUAGACGAACAGAAUAUUCCUGGUCCUGUUCUCCUGCUAAUAGACUUCUGCAAGACAUACCUGUUCUUGGGAACCCUGCUAAUAGGUAUCUGCUCAUCACGGCUGGUCUCGUCGAAGUAUAUCCCCCAAACAGUAUAUGUUUUCCAAAAGCUAAGAGUCAUCAAAAGAUCUUUUGAAUUUCAAUAAAACUUGGUUUAACUUUAUUUAUUUAAUUGUGUUUUUGUAAUAUCAAUGGGGUCACCAACCCUCAAUAUAAUAGUUCCUUCGCUUGUUUUGUUGAUCCUAUUUUUGGUGUUAAGUUUUUUAAUAACUAUUUCUUCAGAAUCUAAUAAAGAAGCUGAUGCUCUUCUCAAAUGGAAAGCCAGCCUUCAAAGCCAUAACCUAUCUCUCCUUCCUUCCUGGACUAACGCCACCACUAAUGUUUCGUCCAAAAUAAGCCCGUGUGCUUGGUAUGGAAUCAAUUGCAAUGACGCUGGAAGAGUCACCAACAUCACCCUCAGAAAUACGGGAUUAAGUGGUACGCUUCGUGAUUUUUCAUUCUCAUCGUUUCCUCAACUUGUGCAUCUUGAUCUCAGUCUUAAUGGAUUCUUUGGUACCAUCCCAUCUCAAAUUGGUAACCUUACGAAACUCAACUACAUUUCUUUAGAAUCCAAUCAGAUGUCUGGAAAAAUUCCACUGGAGGUUGGUCUUCUGACUCAUUUGAAGGUCAAUUAGAUGGCUCAAUUCCACCAGAAGUUUGUCGGUUAAGUUCUAUCGAGGCGCUUUUCUUAUACUCUAACCAUUUGAACGGGUCGCUUCCUCCUUUCUUGGGUAACUUGAGCAAUAUCGUUCGAUUGUAUAUUAAUAAUAAUUCACUUUCUAGUUCUAUUCCUACGAACAUUGGAAACUUGAAAUUUCUUUUUGAAUUAGAUUUGAGUAAUAAUCAACUUGGUGGUUCAAUUCCUCUUUCUUUUGGUAACUUGAGUAACUUGGCUCGAUUGUACCUUUAUAAGAAUUUACUCAUUGGUUCUAUUCCGUCAAGUUUAGGAAACUUGAAGCUCAUUGAUUUAAAGUUGAGCUCUAACCAAAUCACUGGUUACAUCCCAUAUUCCUUAGGUAAUGUAACAAGUUUAUCAUCUUUACUUCUAGCCAAAAAUAAGCUUUAUGGUUCUCUUCCUCCAUUUGUUGGUAAUUUUACCAACCUGAGAGUAUUUCACGUUUAUGAUAACUCUCUAUAUGGCUCUAUUCCAAGGGAAAUAUGGAACUUGAAAUCUCUUGUCUACCUUGAUCUGAACAUUAAUCAAUUUAGAGGUUUUCUUCCGCCAUUUGUUGGUAAUUUGACCAACCUAGAAAGAGUAGGUCUCAUGGAUAACCACCUAUCCGGUUCCAUUCCUCCCUCCCUUGGGAAUUCAACGUUAACCUGGCUAACAUUUUCUCUAAACCAUUUCACUUGUUAUUUACCCCACGAUAUUUGUCGAGGCGGAGCACUAGAGAUUUUUACUGUUGAUGAAAACCAUUUUCAAGGAACAAUCCCUACAAGCUUGAGAAAUUGCACAGCUUGAUCCGAGUACGCCUUGAUGGAAACAACCUUACUGGAAAUAUAUCAGAAGCUUUGGGCAUUUAUCCUAACCUGACUUUCAUAGAUAUCAGCCGCAAUAAUUUUUACGGUGAAAUCUCAUCUAAUUGGGGGAAAUGCCCAAAAUUAGGCACUCUCAAUGUUUCGAUGAAUAACAUUACUGGAGGUAUACCGCGUGAGAUUGGAAACUCGUCUCAACUACAAGCACUUGAUCUCUCAUUGAAUCAUAUAGUUGGGGAUAUUCCAAAGGAACUGGGAAAGUCAAAUUCUCUAACCAAGCUCAUUUUGAGAGGGAAUCAAAUCAACUGACAGGGCGUCUACCUACAGAAAUCGGCUCACUCAUUAAACUUGAAUACCUCGACUUUUCUGCUAAUAGGUUCAACAAUUCAGUCCCAGAAAUUCUCGACAACUUGCUGAAAUUGCACUACUUGGGCUUAAGCAACAACCAGUCAUUAGACCGUGCAUUCCAGCAACAACCAGUUUUAAAAAGGCCUCAAUUUUUUAGUAUUAGUAAUAAUUCUUUAGUUAAUAAAAUCUUUUAAAAAAAUUAUAUGUGUGGUAAAAAAGCCUAUUAGACAUAUAUCUAAUUAAUAAUUAUCCUAUAAUUAAUAAUAAUUAUUUUUUAUAUAAAAACCUAUAAUUGGUUAUCUUAUUAUUAAAGAGAUAUAAUUAAUAAUAAUGUAUAUCCAUUAAUUUAUUCAUUAUUAGUUUUUCUAAUAAAAAUAAGUAAAUUUUUUAUCUUUUCAACUUCUUAAAAAAGCUCAAUUAUUCAACAUUAGAAUCUUUGACUUUGAGUAUUCCUUUUAAUUUCUACUAAAAAUCUUAUAAUCUAGAAAAUUAUAGAUGAAAAAUUUCUUGUUCUCUUCUCUACAAUGAAGAUUAUUACAUGCAUUAGUUCAUUCAAAAAAGAAAAAGAAAAAAUUAGUUACUUAAAAUACAAAGUCCAUGUCCAUUAUCUAACCAUCAAUUCAUGAUCUCAAUUUUUUAUGUGCUACCAUUUUAAAUAUUCUAUUUGAAAAUAGUAUUGUUCUCAUUUAUUCGUUUGCUUCUUUUUGUAUAAUUUCUAAUGGUAAAUUUUAGAUUUUGUUUUUGAAAAUUUUUAGAAUCUUCUUGAUUAUUUGUUGAAAUUCAAGAAUUAAAACUGAAAUGCAUUUUCAGUUCUUUAUUGUUUUAUUGAGUAUUGAAAUUACAAAAUAAAAAGAUGCCUCAUAAAAAUAAAAAAAAAGUUCGCCUAAGCCCCUAAUACUGUAAAGCCGGCCAUGUCAGUCAUUGACAUUUCUGAUAAUCAAUUGCAAGGCCCAGUUCCAAAUAGCACAGCAUUUCGGAAUGCCCCAGCGGAAGUGUUAGAGGGGAAUAAGGGAUUGUGUGGAGGUGUGAAAGGAAUGCAACCAUGCAAAGUUUACUCGUCACACAAGAAAAAUUCUGGAGCCAAGUGGUUUGCAAUAGUGUUCCCUGUUUUAGGAGCACUAUUUGUUUCAAUGGCGUUGAUAGCAAUUUUCAUUCUUCGAAAGCGGAAGUCAGACUCAGGAGAUCCACAGAGUAGCAGCCAGAACCCUCAGGGAUUGUUUUCUAUUUUAAAUUUUGAAGGGAAACUUGUGUACGAUGAAAUUGUUAGAGCAACAAAUGAUUUUGAUGCAGAGUAUUGCAUUGGAAAUGGUGGACACGGAAGUGUUUAUAGAGCUGAACUACCAUCUGGAACAGUCGUAGCUGUUAAGAAAUUUCAAUCACCACUCCCAUGUGAUCAGAUUGCAUAUCAAAAAGAAUUCUUGACCGAAGUUCAAGCCUUGACAGAGAUACGACAUCGAAACAUUGUGAAGCUUUAUGGAUUUUGCUCACAUGCCCGACACUCUUUUUUGGUCUAUGAAUUUCUUGAAAGGGGUAGCUUGGCUGCGAUAUUGAGCAAUGAUGCAGCAGCACAAGAACUGGGUUGGAGUCAGAGAAUGAAUGUGAUCAAAGGCGUAGCUGAUGCCUUGUCUUACUUGCACCAUGACUGCUUUCCUCCGAUUGUCCAUCGAGACAUAUCAAGUAAGAACUUGUUGCUGGAUUUGGAAUAUGAAGCUCAUGUUGCAGACUUUGGAAUUGCUAAGUUUCUGAAGCCAGACUCGUCCAACUGGACUGAAUUUGCAGGCACAUACGGAUACAUUGCACCAGGUAUUUAGUAUUUCUUUGUUGCCAUUUUGAGGAAUCUUUCUUCGCUUUCAUCUUCAUCUCUCAACACCAACAUAGCACUUGAUGAAAUGUUGGACCCACGGCUUCCAACUCCAUCACGCAUUUUUCAAGAAAAACUGAUAUCAAUCAUGGAGGUUGCGUUUUCCUGCUUAAAUGAGAGUCCAGAGUCUAGGCCAACUAUGAAGAUAGUCAGUCAACAAUUAACCUCAGCUGCUUGACCGAGUCUUAAUUUUCUAAGUAUACUUCGAAUUUGCUUGCCUUAUUUUUCUCAUGUACUAUGGUUUGUUUGUUCUAGUUUUCAAGAAUUAGGAGGCGUUGGUUAUUACGUCAUCCAUAUAUAAUUCGCAUAUGGUGUACUCAACUCUUUCAUUUGUAAAUAAAGUUUGCUCAUACCUUGGAGGUUUAGUUAAAAGAACGCAUGGGGCAUUUGUGAGUAAAGUCAGUUUGUAAUAAUUAAAAAAAUAAUUUCUUUCGACAUGCACAACAGGUGAACCCCUCAAAUGUAAACUUGAAAGUGUGUACCACUGUAUCAAUUAAUGGGUGGCUCUUACUUAUUGAUAAUGUUAAAUUAAAUGUUAAAAGAAAGGAACAGAUGGGGAAAAAAAAAUUGGGAUAAUUUAAAUGCAGUUGACACAAAGAGAAAUAAAGUAAAAUAAAAACUUUUCCCCAACAACAGCGCAAAAAACUUGACACAACUUAAAAGUAAUUUUUAACUCCCAAGUAUAAAAUUGUCUUGUUGUAUUAUAGCUUAGUGAGUCCGAGGUCGAUCCACAGAGAAAAAAUUUAAUUUUUUAUUUUAUUUUAUCUAAAAAUUGAAAAUGAAACUUAAAUAUAAACAACUUAAUUUAAAUAAAACUAUGAAAUUGAAUUAGUUAGGGUUGUGGAUCUACUCUUAGUAGCAAAUAAAACUUAAUAAAUUCUUUUGCCAUUUUUUUAGAUUUAUUGCCCAAAAGAUUAAUUAUAUAAAUUAUUAUUAUUUUCCCUUUAAUUUUAUGAUGGAUUAAGUAUUUAUUGUACCAAAAUUUAAUUGGUCUACAAUAAGUCAAAAUACCUUUUUACGAUACCGUAUAUUAAGAUAUUAAGAAUUUAUUGUGCCAAACUCCUUUGUUUGUCUACAAUAAAUCAAAAUUUUAAAAUAUAAAAUAUGUACAAAAUUAAAUAGAAAAUAAUUUAAUUUAUAAAAUUAAAAAUAGAAUUUGAUUAAAUCAUAUUUAUUUCCUAAGAGUUUCACCUUACCCUAACUAUUAUUAUUUAGUUAAGCAUAAUUGAAAUAAAAAGAAUUAUUAUAAUUAAAUUACUUAUAAUUAAAAUGAAUAAAAACAACUAAAAUUGAAAAUAAAACUAAAUUUAUUUAUAAAAAUAAUUACAAAAAAUAUUAAAAACACUCCUGGAAACACAAGAUUACAAGAAGAUUAAGAGAAAUUGAGAAGAAGAGAGAUGUAGAGAGAUAUCAAAAACAUAAAACUGAGGCUUAUUUAUAGAAAAAUAAAUUUAUAAUCCAGUGUUUCACGGUCCAUCAUAAGCUUCAUGCAUGCGCUCCUCACAACCAUUAAAUAAACAUCCAACGGCUGUUCAAACUUCAAAAGUCAACAUCACACGUGGCAUCAUUUGAGACGUAUGAUUCGGCCAAAGAACAGCUGAGAUUUGGCGGGUUAAUGGGUGGAUCGGGUUGACCCGAAUAUAAAUAUUUGAAUCCUACAACUUGCUUCACCAACUAUUGCCAUGUGGCACAAUCGUAGCCAUUGAAUUAUGAACGAUUAAGAUUUAGUCAAAAUUGCCAGCUAUCCCAAGCACUCAUAUCUAUUGUAAGCUCAUUUUAUCAUUCAUUCACUGCUCGGUCCACUGAAAAAGUCAACUUUUUUUUACACAAGCCCAAUUUUAAGCCGUUCUUGACUCAUCUUAAGGUUUUCGGAUCUCCGGAUUCCAAAUUUGACAUCCGCUUAUCUGUUUGGAGCCUCGAAUUACGUGAAAUUAAUAUUUUACUUAAUAAACACACAAAAAUACAUAAAAUUAGAUAUAUUUAACACAUAAUUAAUAAUUCCUAAUAUAUUGUAUGAACACAAAUAUAAAUCAUACAUAAGCACACAAUAACAUUAUUAUCGCUUGAUAAUUAAACAAUUUUUAAUACUAAUCAGCAGUCAUUGAAGGAACUUAUUGCUCUCACCAAUUGUCUUGAAUGCUCUAAUGGCUUACACUUUGUAGAAUCGCCAAUGUUGUGAUAACAACUUUGAUGGUUAAAGUUUGAUUGUGAAUCUCGGUUGAAUGACUUAAUUUAUAUUUGAUUCUUAUACCGAGCGAACCUUUACCAAGUUAAUCUUUUUUCCGUAUGUUUAGUUUUGUUAUGUCAGAGUUAGUUGAUGUCCUAUAUUUGAUCAAUGUGGACGGCUAAUCAAAAUUAAAGAAUCCUUGAACGAGAUUGAGGGCUCGACAGAGAUACGACAUCAGGGCAUUGUAAAACAUGGCUUACAUUCAAUUUUAGUUUAUGAAUUUCUUGAAAGGGGUGGCUUGGCCAUAAUCUUGAGCAACAAUGCAGCCACAUAAGAGUAGUUAAGUGGGCCGGAGUCAGAGAAUGAAUAGGAUAAAAGGCGUUGCCCAUACCUUGUAAUAUUCAUUUGUUGCCAUUUUGAGGAAUAUUAUUCGGGGAUUGCCACUUUCCCAUGAUUAGGGGAUUGCCACUUUCCCCCUACAGUAAUUAACAUAUACCAUUUAUCCCCUUGUUGUUUUUAUAAUGAUAAAAAAUCCUCCUGACAGCAUAAGUUGAUAAUAUUACCCUUAUUUUUAAUUAUUCUUUUAUUUAUAUUUAUUAUAAAUUAAAUAAAUUACAUGAAUAGAAAUUAAAUUAAAAAAAUUAAUUAUUAAAAAUAAGAAAUAUAUAUUUUGAUAUGAGCAAAAAAAAUUAAUAAUAAAUGUUUUUCUUCUAAUUAUUUAUUUUGUGAACAUUUUCUUACAAUAAACAUUUUGUAAUAAAUUUUUAUUUGUCAUUCAAAAUUUAUAAUAAUAAUUUUUUUAUCAUUUUAUAAUAACUUUCUUAUAUAUUUAUUAUAAGAAACAUUUCACAAAAUAAAUAAGUAUAGAAAAAAUUUAUUAUUAAUUUUUUUCUCAUAUCAAAACAUAUAUUUCUUGUUUUUAAUGCUUAAUUUUUUAUUUAGUUUCUUUUCAUGUGAUUUAUUUAAUUUAUAAUAAAUAUAAAUAAAAGAGUAGUUGAAAAUAAGGGUAAUAUUAUAAACUUAUGCUAUCAGAAGGGGUUUUGGCUAUUAUAAAAACAACAGGGGGAGAAAUGGUAUAUGUUGAUUACUGUAGGGGGAAAAUUGGCAAUCUCCCAAUAUUAUUAUGCAACAUAUUGUAUAGAGAUAUAAAAUCUUACUAAUUUAUACGCAUUGAUCUUUAAAAAGAGAGUAAACAUUUUUUUUUUUUGUCCUUGACGUUGCAGAGCUUGCUUACACAAUCAAGAUCACAGAAAAAUACGACGUGUACAAUUUCGAGUGUUAUUAUUGGAAGUGAUCAAGGGAAAAAUUUAAAUGCAAUAUAUAUAUAUAUAUAUAUAUGAAAAAUUUAAAUGCAAAAUUUAUAUACAUACAUACAUAUAAAAUUAUUUUUUGAAGAAUAAAAUAAUUUGAAACAAUAUAUUUACAUAUAUUAUUUUUAUUGUUUACCCUCAACUUAUUAUUCUCCAAAAAAAUAGUAUAUGUAUAUGUAUAUGUAUUUUGUUUUUAAUUUUUAAAUUAAUUCUGAAGAGUUUUGAAAAAAUUUCUGAAUUAAUUUAAAAAUUAUGACAAUUCCCUUACUUUUUCAAAUAAUUUUGCAUGUAAUUUUUAAUUAUUACCAUUUAAGAAAUUAUUUAAUUAAUUAAAUUAUUAAAGAUAUUCAUCUUCCAGACAUCAAAGAAACACCAAAGGUAAAAUAGUAAGAUCAGCAAAACAGUUUGACUCUCAAGAAAAUUUGGAUAUAGUUUAAAAAUCAAGUGGGAGGAUUCAAUUAGUUUAGUCAAACAAGAGGGUUUAGCUAUUUUUUCCAUUAAACAAGUGUCGAAUGCAUCUUUAUUUAUUAUUGAUACCAAGUGUCCGACUCAGACUGGAAGAAUGAAUCUGAAAUCGUCUUAAGACAUGGAAGAAUCAAUGCAUAAUGUGUGUGUAUGGAAGAAAAAAUAAUAAUAAGGCAAGUGGUACGGAAAUAAGGAUGAACUCACAUUAAACAUAUUCCAUGUGUUUCACGUUGCUAAAAAAAGAACAACAUUUUCCACGCACGCCAUGUGCAGCAAUAAUCAUGCCUAUCUACACAGAAGCACAUUUCACGUUUGAACUUUUUCUUUUUUAUUUUUUCCCCAUUUCACAUACCAUAACCCCAUCCCAUCCUAUACGCAAAAAGAAAUUAAAGCUUCCACAUUGUGAGGGGAAUCGAUCUUAACUAAGCAAUGUGAGCUUAGAUGGAUUAUAAUUUUUACCAUUCAAUUGUGUGUUUUUUUCUGGAAUGAUUGAACAUCGAUGAUGAAAUAAGGUAUUAAAAAUGUUGAAUAUGAACUGCAAAUCAGUUUAUAGUCAAGUGCGAGAAGUCGGUUGAAGAUUUGUUAACACCAUGACAUGUCGGUUGACAGUCCUGAGAUAGCUAUAUGACAAGAAUACCGUGUCGUCUGUGUGUGCAAAGAAGGCUUGUGGUUUGCACGUGAUUCACUUAAACAAAACGGCUGCUUGAAGUGUCGUUUUAUUAUUUAAGAUAACAGAGAUGAAGACACGUGUGAGGGAGGCUUAUCAGAAGUCUGUUAAGCCGUUAAUUAGCGCGGGAAGCUGCUGUUCAUCUUCACGGAUAACAAGGGAAGCUUGUAGGUGAUGAUCGGGCAUUGCUUAUAUAUAUAGUUGGGUAUUCUGGAAUGGGUUAAGUGGUUCAUGUAUGGUUAGCUUCUCUAAUAAGCUUGUACUCUGUAAGACACUCGUUCAAUACAAAACUUGGAUUCACCCUUUCACAGUGGACGUAGGCUUCCAUAGCCGAACCACUAUAAGCUUUUUUAUGUAUUGUUCUUUCUGCUUCUUUUAAUUCUUUCAUUGACUUGCUUUGAUUGCUUGGGCUCACAUUAGUUUUAGAUACAAUAACCCUUCUUGAGUGGAUCUUGGGGGGCCAUUAUCGGUUCUUUAUUGAUAUUUGGCAUAACAAAUUGGUAUCAAAGCCUCUCUCUGAAAUUCUUGAUCUAAAAUGACUGGUCCUAAACUUGAGGUAGACAAGUUUACAGGUGAAAAUGACUUUCACCUGUGGAGACUCAAGAUGAAAGCACUGUUGGUACAUCAAGGCCUAGAUGAAGCCCUUGCCGAAGUCACAUCACCCAAGAAACCCAAAAAGAUAUCAGAGGAUGAUCUUCCAGAUGUGCUUAAGUCUUGGAGAUGGUGUACUCAGAGAAGUGGGAGGAGAGACAACUGCUGCUGGAUUGUGGAAAAAGCUUGCAGACUUGUAUACCAAAAAGUCCAUGGCUAAGAGGUUAGCCACUAAAAAGAAGCUCUACACAUUGCAAAUGGAUGAGGGUUCAUCAAUCUCUGAUCACAUUGAUGCCUUUAAUAAGAUCAUUUUGGAUCUUGAAGACAUUAAUGUAAAGAUCGAUGAUGAAGAUAAAGCCAUGAUUCUUUUGUGCUCUCUGCCAAGCUCUUAUGAGCACCUGGUUGACACUCUCAUGUAUGGGAAGUAGUCUCUCUCAAUGGUGGAUGUGAAAGAGACAUUGAGUUCCAAGGCUGCAACAAAGAAAGAAACAAGUCAUGGCGAAAGAUUAACAGUCAGAGGGAGGCCAUAAAAUAGAGAAGGUGGUAAGGGAAAGAAGAAAAUAUCCAAGUCCAGACCCAAGAACAUGAAGUGCUUCCAUUGCCACAAGGAAGGCCACUUCAAGAAAGACUGUCCAGAGAGGAAAUACAAAGGUAAAGAAACAAAAGAGAAAACUGGUGAUGCUGCUGUUGCAUCAGAAGGACAAGAAUCUGAUGGUUAUGACUCUGCUGGGGUUCUCAUAGUCUCUGAUGGUGCAUCUAGAGGUAACUGGGUUUUAGAUUCUGGUUGUUCAUUCCAUAUGUGCCUUAAUAGAGAUUUCUUUAAGAACUAUGAAACCUAUGAUGGUGGGAUAGUUGUAAUGGGAAAUGAUGCUAGUUGUGGAGUAAUUGGCAGGGGCACCAUUAAACUGAAAAUGCUUGAUGGCACAAUAAGAGAAUUAACAAAUGUAAGACACAUCCCUGAUUUAAAGAGGAACUUAAUUUCUCUUGGCAUGCUUGACAAAAUGGGGUGUGUAAUCAAGCUUGAGUCAGGCACUUUAAAGGUGUUAAAAGGGUCUAUGGUGUUGAUGAAAGGAAACUUAGACAAUGGCCUAUAUGUGCUCCAGGGGUCUGUAGUCACAGGAGAUGUUGGAGUUUCAAACCAGAACCUAAACAAAACCUUAUUGUGGCACUUUAGAUUAGGCCAUAUGAGUGAAAGAGGCUUGAGAGAACUAUCAAAACAGGGAGUCUUGGGUGAAGAUAAAACAGUCCUUGAAAUUUUGUGAGGAGUGUAUCCUAGGCAAAUCCUCAAGAGUUAAAUUCAGCAUUGGUGCACAUGUUUCAAGAGGAACUCUAGAAUACAUACAUGCUGAUCUGUGGGGACCUGCACAGACAGCAUCCUUAGGAGGGGCAAGGUACUUUCUAUCUCUAAUUAAUGACCAUUCCAGAAUGGUCUGGGUGUAUGUACUGAAGAACAAAGAUGAAGUGUUUGAACAAUUCAAGAACUGGAAAACACUGAUUGAAACUUAGACCAAUAGGAAGGUCAAGAAGCUCAGAACUGAUAAUGGAUUAGAAUUCUGCAACAAGAGGUUUGGAGAAUUUUGCAGCAAGCAUGGAAUCAUGAGGCACAGAAUAGUAAGAUAUACACCUCAGCAAAAUGGAUUAGCUGAGAGGAUGAACAUAACCUUAGUUGACAAAGUGAGGUGUAUGAUCAUUCACUUUAAGCUACCUAUAUCCUUGUGGGCUGAGGCUCUGUCAACAACUUGUCACAUUGUGAACAGAAGCCCUUCAACUGGAAUUAACUUCAAGACACCAUAUGAACUUUGGUAUGGUAAACUAGCACAUUACUCCAGUUUGAAGAUCUUUGGUUGUCCAGCAUAUGCUCACAUCAAACAAGGCAAAUUAGAACCCAGGGCAUUGAAGUGUGUAUUUCUUGGUUACCCUGAAGGGGUAAAAGGGUAUAAAUUGUGGUGCACAGACAUGAAGCCACCAAAAGCAAUCAUAAGCAGGGAUGUAGUAUUUAAUAAAGCUGAGAUGCUCCAACACUCAAUAUCUUUAAAGACUACAAAUGUAGAACUGGAAGAUAAAGAUGAGAGAUCUUAUCUUGAGGUGGAGCUGUCAAAUUCAAACCAGAAACAAAAAUCAAGAUCAGAGGCUGGAGACAUAGCAGACAUGGAAAUUCAUGACAUUGAGGAUGAAACAGCAAGUGAUCAGGGGAGAAGUGAAGAUUAUCAGUUAGUGAUGGACAUAGAAAAGAGAGUAAUAAAACCUCUUAGAAGAUAUGCAUAUGCAGAUCUAAUAGCAUUUGCAUUAACAACAGCACAUGAAAUAGCAACAGAUGAACCAAGAACAUACUCAGAAGCCAUUAACAGUGAUAAGGUAGAAGAAUGGAUCAAGGCUAUGGAUGAGGAAAUAAUGUCUUUGAAAAAGAAUCAUAUUUGGAAUUUCAUUGAAAGACCAGCAAACAAGAGGGUAGUAGGAAGCAAAUGGAUCUACAGAAUCAAGGAGGGAAUACCAGAUGUUGAGCCAGAAAGAUACAAAGCCAGGUUGGUUGCAAAAGGCUUCACUCAGAAAGAGGGGGUUGACUUCACAGAAGUUUUCUCCCCAGUGGUAAGACAUGCUUCCCUGAGGAUCCUAUUAUCUCUAGUGGCUGUAUAAGACAUGCAUCUUGAGCAGAUAGAUGUGAAGAUUGCCUUCCUGCAUGGUGAAAUAGAUGAGAUGAUAGUGAUAUCACAACCUGAAGGGUAUGAGGAUCCAGAAAAGGUUGAUCAUGUAUGUCAUCUAAGGAAGUCAUUAUAUGGAUUAAAACAGUCUCCAAGACUGUGGUAUAUAAGGUUUGACAGGUUUAUGUCAAAUCAUGGUUUUCAAAGGAGCAGUUUUGACUGUUGUGUCUACUUUAAAACCAUAGAAGGUGGUGACAAGAUCUACUUGCUGCUCUAUGUAGACGACAUGUUAAUAGCUUGUAAGGAGAUGGAGUUCAUCAAUAAACUGAAACAGCAGCUGAGCAAUACAUUUGAGAUGAAGGAUCUGGGUGCUGCAAAGAAGAUCCUUGGAGUUCAGCUAAAGAGAGACAGAAAGAAUGGUAUCCUAAGCCUAACACAACACAAAUACAUCAGGAAAGUACUUGAGAAAUUCAAUAUGGAUAAAUGUAAACCAGUACAGACACCACUGCCCUCUCAUUUCAGACUGUCCUGCCAACAGUGUCCAAACUCUGAUACUGAGAAGGCUUAAAUGAAUAAAUAUCCAUACUCAAGUGCUGUUGGAUGUUUAAUGUACGCAAUGGUCCUGACUAGGCCUGAUCUCUCUCAUGCAGUGAGUGUAGUAAGCAGGUACAUGGCAAACCCAGGGAAAGAUCAUUGGAGGGCUGUUGUAUAGAUCUUAAGAUACCUGGCUGGUACAACUGGUUAUGGUCUGAUCUAUGGAGCUGAUAAAUAUGCAGAGGUUAGUGUGGAGGGCUAUGUGGAUGCAGAUUAUGCUGGAGAUUUGGAUAAAAGAAGGUCUUUAACAGGUUUUCUGUUUAUGAUUAAUGGCUGCACCAUAAACUGGAAGGCUUCACUGCAGAGUGUUGUUGCUCUGUCAACAACUAAGGUAGAAUACACAGCAGUUGCAGAGGCAAUCAAAGAAGCUAUCUAGCUCAGAGGGAUGGUGAAAGAACUGGGAUUUGAACAAAACCAAAUUACAGUUCACUGUGACAGCCAAAGUGCUAUAUGUCUGAGUAAGAACCAAAUACAUCACGAGAAAACCAAGCAUAUUGACAUCAAGCUUCACUUUGUCAGAUUCGAAAUAUCAAAAGGUGUGAUUAAGCUGGCUAAAAUACACACUGAUAGAAAUAUUGCUGACAUGCUUACCAAAGCUGUACCGGGAGCUAAGUUUGAGUUCUGUUUGAACUCAGCUGGCAUCUGCAGGGUAUAGACUGCAGGAAAGAAGUGGAAGGGUGAACCUGAGGAAUGGAUGAUUUGAGCUCAAGGUGGAGAAUGUUGAAUAUGAACUGCAAAUCAGUUUAUAGUCAAGUACGAGAAGUCGGUUGAAGAUUUGUUAACACCAUGACAUGUCGGUUGACAGUCAUGAGAUAACUAUAUGACAAGAAUACCGUGUCGUCUGUGUGUGCAAAGAAGGCUUGUGGUUUGCACGUGAUUCACUUAAACAAAACGGCUGCUUGAAGAGUCGUUUUAUUACUUAAGAUAACAGAGAUGAAGACACGUGUGAGGGAGGCUUAUCAGAAGUCUGUUAAGCCGUUAAUUAGCGCGGGAAGCUACUGUUCAUCUUCACGGAUAACAGGGAAAGCUUACAGGUGAUGAUCGGGCAUUGCUUAUAUAUAUAGCUGGGUAUUCUGGAAUGGGUUAAGUGGUUCAUGUAUGGUUAGCUUCUCUAAUAAGCUUGUACUCUGUAAGACACUCGUUCAAUACAAAACUUGGAUUCACCCUUUCACAGUGGACGUAGGCUUCCAUAGCCGAACCACUAUAAGCUUUCUUGUGUAUUGUUUUUUCUGCUUCUUUUAAUUCUUUCAUUGACUUGCUUUGAUUGCUUGGGCUCACAUUAGUUUUAGAUACAAGAACCCUUCUUGAGUGGAACUUGGGGGGCCAUUAUUGGUUCUUUACUGAUAUUUGCCACAACAAAAAAUCUAUCCAAGAUUAAAAAUAAAUAAAAAUAAAUUCAAGAAACUGUGUGCUUUCUAUAGCAGAUAUAAGAUCCUUAUAGGUGAUUCGGAUUAAAUUUUUUUUCUUUUAAAAAAGGCCUAACAAAUUAAAUUUACAAAGUCUUAGUGAAUUAAUGAUUUUUAACAUUUUAGCAAAUUAACUUUGUGAAAAUUUUAAUUAUUCACAAAUGCCUUAUUUUCUAGUAGUGAAUGAAAGUGUGAAAAAAAUAAAAAGACCUACUUCUAGUUUGUCCACUCCUGAAUUUUCUUCGUUUUUCUUCUUUGUGUUUUCACUAAGCUUUACUUGACGCCUUGACUCGUUUACUCCAAAUAGCCAACCCCAUUUCUGUCGUAUAGUUUCUAUAAAUUUAACUCCCGAUUGUGCUUGUUUUAUGACCCAAUGUUCCAUUUCGAUACCAAUAGGGCCACUCACUCUGCAUACAGUAGUUUCUUCUCUUGUUUUCUUGAUCCUAUUCUUUGUGUCAAAUUUUUCUCUUCCCAUUUCUUCUGAUUCUAAUGAAGAAGCCCAUGCUCUUCGCAAAUCGAAAGCCAGCCUUCAAAGCCAUAAUCGAUCUCUCCUUCCUUCCUGGACUAUCGCCACCACCAAUGUUUCAUCCGAUAUAACCCUGUGUGCUUGGUCUGGAAUCGGGUGCAAUGCCGCCGGAAGAGUCGUCUACAUCAACUUCACAAAUACAGGCUUAAGCGGUACACUUCAUGAUUUCUCAUUCUCAUCGUUUCCUCAUCUUACUUAUCUUGAUCUCAGCUUUAAUGAAUUAUUUGGUAUCAUCCCGCCUCAAAUCUUUAAUCUCUCCAAGCUCCAUUUACUUUGGCUACGUGCUAACAACUUUUUUUGGAAGAUUACCGUCUGAAAUUUGCCUUCUAACUCACUUGAAAGUUCUUUUCUUGCACUCCAAUAACUUGAACGGCCCAAUCCCUUCUUCUUUAGGUAACCUGAACAACUUGGUUAAGUUGUUUCUUCUUGAUAAUUCACUUUCUAGUUCUAUUCCUCCAAAUAUUGGAAACUUGAGGUCUCUUUUAGAACUAGAUUUGAGUAUAAAUCAACUUAGUGGUUCAAUACCUCCUUCUGUGGGUAACUUGAGUAGCUUGAUUUGAUUGUAUCUUUAUGGUAAUUCACUUCAUGGUUCCAUUCCACCAAAUGUAGGAAACUUGAAGUCCCUUGCAGUUUUAGAGUUGAAUGCUAAUCAACUUAAUGGUUCAAUACCUCCUUCUAUGGGUAACUUGAGUAGCUUGAUUCGAUUGUAUCUUUAUGAUAAUUCACUUUAUGGUUCCAUUCCACCAAAUGUAGGAAACUUGAAGUCCCUUGCAGUUUUAAAGUUGUAUGCUAAUCAACUCAAUGGCUGCAUUCCUCGUUCUUUUGGUAAUUUAAGGUCUCUUGUAAGUCUUAUUCUGAGCCAAAAUCAAUUUAUAGGUUUUCUUCCUCCACCUAUUGGUAAUUUGACCAACCUGAGAGAACUUUUCCUCUUUGAUAACCAUCUAUUUGGUUUCAUUCCAAGGGAAAUGGGGAACUUAAGGCCUCUUGUAAAUCUUAUUAUGUUCCAAAAUCAAUUUACAGGUUUUCUUCCUCCACCUAUUGGUAAUUUGACCGACCUGCAAAUACUAGAUCUCAUGGAUAACCACCUAUCCGAUUCCAUUACUCCCUCCCUUGGGAAUAUUUGCCGAGGUGGAGCACUACAAUAUUUUAUUCUUUCUGAAAACUGAUUACAAGGAACAAUCCCUGAAAGCUUGAGAAAUUGCAUAAGCUUAAUCCGAGUACGCCUUAAUGCAAACAACCUUACUGGAAAUGUAUUAGAGGCAUUGGGCCUUUAUCAUUUCCUGACUUUCAUAGAUCUCAGCCGCAAUAAUUUUUACGGUGAAAUCUCAUAUAAUUGGGGGAAAUGCCCAAAAUUAGGCACUCUCAAUGUUUUGAUGAAUAACAUUACUAGGAUUAUACCGCGUGAGAUUGGAAACUCGUCUUAACAACAUGCACUCGAUCUUUCAUUGAAUCAUAUAGUUGAGGAGAUUCCAAAGGAACUUGGAAAGUUAAAUUCUCUAACCAAGCUAAUUUUGAGAGGGAAUCAACUGACUAGGCAUCUACCUACAGAAAUCGGCUCAAAUAUUGUACUUUAAUAGUUGUUAGUAAUACAAUUAUUUUUCUCUUGCUCCCGUGGACGUAGGCAUAUUGCCGAACCACGUAAUUCUUGUGUCCUUUAUUUUUCUGUAAUUAUUCGGUGUGCUUGAUUCUGCAUUCCGCCCACAAGUGGUAUCAGAGCCGAUGGUUCGUACUUGGGGGAUACGGUAUUGUUCACGUAUACGUAUUAUUCACGUAUACGGUACUGUUCACGAAUACGGUGGAGAUGACCAUUUGUACUUAGGAGACAGUCUAUUGCAAGUAGUGUGUAUUUUUGCAUGUCUAGGAAAAUUCUGUCAAUAAGGCGAUAAGAGUCUAAGGAUUCUGGUUUUUAAUUGGGACCAAGUUCCCGUCCAGUUUCCUGGAAAUUUUCCUGGUGCAUUUAUUCACGCGAAAUUAACAUCAUAGAGAUUGUUUUUCAAGUGGAAAUAGUUCGUUGAGAAAAUGGUAGAAGGUGAAACUUCCAGAAUUGGGGAGAGAUCUACCGAGACUAUUUCAGGAGACACUUCAGGUGGGAGGCGAGAUUUGUCAAAUCGCUAUUCAGCACCUGUUAUAGGAAGCCAGAAGAUCGAUGUUGAAAAGUUUGAUGGGAAAAUCAACUUCGGCAUGUGGAGGCGCGAAGUUAUGAAUGCCCUUAUUCAAAUCGAUCUCGAUGUUGUUCUUAAAAAUAAAAGACACUUGUAUGAUGAAGAAAUUUGGGAUCGUAUGAACGAAAAAGCCUGUGGUCAGAUCAGAUCUUGUUUGACCAAGGAGAUGAAAUACUUGGUGAAAGAUGAGGAUUGUGCGAUGACUUUGUGGCGUAUAUUGGAGGAGAAGUACCUGCUAAAAAAUCCUGAAAAUCGUCUUCAUGCAAUGAGCCAAGUAUAUGGCUUUCAAAUGAAGCCUGGGGUGUCAAUGCACGAUUAUGUCUCAAGAUUUGAAAAGUUACUUGCUGAUUUGAGGAAUCGUGAUGAAGAUAUUAAGGAUGAAGUCAAGGCUAUGAUUCUGUUACAGUCACUCCCAGAGGAAUAUAGCCAUUUUGUGACUACCUUGAUAUAUGGGAAAAGUGUGAUCAUCUUCAAAGAUGUUUGCACAGCAUUGACCAAUUUAGAAAUUCGGAAUAAUGAUAAACAUUCUGAAAGAACAUCGUCUGAAGCUUUGUUUGCCAGAGAAAGGACGAUGGAGAAAAAGAAGCAUAGUGGAAAGAAUUCUCGAUCCAAAUCAAGAAACAGAAAUAUAGCUCGAGACUAGUGUGCUUUUUGUCAUGAAAAGAGCCAUUGGAGGAAAGAUUAUCCAAAGGCUCAAAAGAGAGAUGGGAAGAAACCAGCAGCAGCAAACAUGGCACGGAAAGAUGAGGACUCUGAUUAUUCACUAAGUAUUACUCCUGCAGCAUACGUGGCUAGUUCAAGUGAGUGGAUACUUGAUACUGGAGCAACCUACCAUUUGUGUCCUAUUAAGGAGUGGUUUACAAAUUUUCAUAAUUUGGAAUCCGGUGCAGUUGUAAUGGGGAAUGAUCAACCUUGUCGCACAAUGGGGAUAGGAACAAUUCGACUCAAAAUGUUUGAUAGAUUGAUUAGAGAACUCAAAGAGGUUAGAUUUAUUCCAGCUUUAAAGAAAAAUAUAAUUUCUGUGGGUGCUUUGGAAGCUAAAGGCUACAAGGUUACUAUUAAAAAUAGCACAAUGAAGUUCACAUAUGGGGCUAUGGUGAUUCUGCAAAGGGUUCGGAGUAACAAUUUGUAUUAUUUGAAGGAAGGUACAACUGAUGAAACAAAUGUUACUGAGGCGCAUAGUGACACCACCAAGUUAUGGCAUGUACGACUGAGACAUGCUAGAGAGAAGUCUUUGCAAGCUCUGAUGAAGCACAAACUCUUAAAAGGUACCAAAAUCUGUAAAUUAAAUUUUUGUGAGCAUUGUGUAGUAGGUAAGAAAACAAGGGUCAAGUUUGGUACAGCUAAUCAUGAUACUCGUGAGAUCCUUGAAUAUGUUCACAGUGAUGUAUGGGGACCAAUUAAGACUGCAUCAAUUGGUGGAAGCCAUUAUUUUGUUACAUUUGUUGAUGAUUUCUCUAGAUGUGUGUGGGUGUACACCAUGCGAGCAAAGGAUGAGGUUCUAGAGAUUUUCGUGAAAUGGAAGAAAUUGGUGGAGACUCAAACUGGCAGAAAGAUCAAAGUAUUACGAUCUGAUAAUAGGGGUGAAUAUACUUCUGAUCCAUUCUUGCAAGUAUGCUAGAACGAGGGUAUUAAAAGACAUUUCACGGUGAGACAUACUCCGCAACAGAACGGUGUGGCUGAGCUUAUGAAUCGUACUAUGUUGGAGAAAGUACGGCGUAUGUUAUCUAAUGCUGGUUUAGAUAAAAAGUUUUGGGCUGAAGUUGUGAGUUACGCAAGUCACUUGAUAAACCGGUUGCCUUUUGCUGCAAUUGGAGGUAAAACUCCUAUGAAAAUGUGGUAUGGAAAGCAUGCACAAGACUAUGAUUCUCUUCGUAUAUUCGGGUGUCCAGCUUAUUAUCAUGUUAAAGAUGGUAAACUGGAUCCUCGUGCUAGAAAAGUUAUCUUUAUGGGAUUCAAAGGUGGAGUAAAGGGCUUUAACCUUUGGGAUCUCGAAGAUAAAAAGUUUAUGCGUAGCAGAGAUGUCACGUUUAAUGAAGCUUCAAUGAUUAAAGUUAUAAGUUCUCAGCAGGUGGAGAAGAAGACCAAAGAGGUAUUGCAGCGAGUGGAGUUUGAUCCAACUCCAUAUGUACCAGUUAGUUCUACAUCAGAGAAGGGUUCAACUAUGGAGGUGACACAUAGAGUUGAAGAAGAAGUUGUUUCUUCUGAUGUCCCACAAAAUGAAAAAACAAUUGAUGAUGUAGAUAAUGAUGAUUUUAUAGUAACAAAAAGGCCAAGAAGAGAGAUAAAGAAACCCGGAUGACUUACUAAAAACAUGGUGAUAGCCUAUGCACUUCCAGUUAUUGAUGAUGACAUCCCCAACACUUUCGGUGAAGCAUUACGCAACAGUGAAAGUGAUCAGUGGAAGUUAGCCAUGGAGAAAGAGAUGAAAUCUCUCCAUCAAAACCAAACUUGGGAACUUGUAAAAUUACCAAAGGAGAAAAGGGCUAUUGGCAAUAAAUGGAUCUACACCAAGAAGCAAGGAUCUCUGAAUCAAUCAACUGCUCGAUACAAGGCAAGGCUCGUUGCAAAAGGUUUUGCUCAGAAUGAAGGUAUUGACUAUAAUAAAGUUUUCUCUCCAGUUGUAAAACAUACUUCCAUUCGUAUCCUACUUGCCUUAGUUGCAGAAUAUGAGUUAGAGUUAUGGUCACAAUGUUUGUAAAUUGCAUAAAUAGCUAGUAUCGACAAAUUCAGUUUAGUUUAGUUUGUUAAAAAGCUUGUUGAUACAAAGAUGAAAAGAUAUUAUAGUUCGAUCGACAUUUUAAAGUCUCUCUGCUCGGCCAUAUAAUCAAAGUGAAUAUAAUUAAAAAAACAAAGGGUGUUUAAAUUCUUUGACUCUUAGUAGUAGGUUUUGAAGCUGGAUUAAAAUAAAAAGGUAAGCCAUUCCACUUAAUUAUUUAAUUGAGAGAGUAUGGAGAACUUGAACUGUGCUUCUCUCACAAAUCCCACCGAUCAGCAACCGAUUUAAAGAGAGAAUUCAGUGCCUAUAUUUUUUUAUUGUCGCGUGUAUUCUAUUUUCUAUUUUUUUAUAGGCCUAUCCAAUGGCUUUACCGUGAGGCAUGAGCCAAUUUCUCUAUUCUAUCCACAGAUGUUUGGGUUGGAUUUUUCUGGUAGUGUCUCGAAAUAUAGUCGAUCCUAAUCUACUCAGAACUUAUUGAUAUUGAGUUGACCUCAUAAGUACAACCUGGAACCUAUGUUGGCGACCUGGUUUACAAGUACGACCUGAGGUUUAUGUGAAUGACCUAGUUUAAGAAUACAACAUCAAGCCUAUAUGAGCGAUUGAGAAAAUCAUAUGUCUAAUCUGAAAGUGAAGUAAUCUGACCUCGAAAUAUAUUUUUCAGACUUGAGAUUUAACUUGAUAUAGAAAAUUGCUAGUAAAGAGAACGUGGCCUAAUUUCUAGGGAAGUUGUGUGCUAAGAUCUAUUUAAACCACCUCCAACUGACAACCACUUGCAACUGCUGAAGAAAGCAGGCUGAAGUUAAGGAAGUAACCGUCCACGACCAAGAGCUUACUUAAACUGAAGAGUGCAUCAGGUGGGGUUAGCAAAAUGAACCAAAGCUUCUACAAGUUUAAACCUUCUCUACAAGAUUUUCUGCCCAUUGACCGGAAAAUUACUUGGCUUUAACUCAUUCACAAUCCUUCAUUAUCAUUUUUCUUCUUUUAUACAUAAUUUCUAACUUAAGCAUCGGAGGGUCUACGCUGGAACCCCACCGGCGUAUCCUAACCGUGUUUUCUGGUUAUCAGGUAUAAAAAGUUGCGAUCAGACUGGCAUUUGAGCUAAGAUUCACGAUGUAAUUCCCCAAAAGAAACAAAUUCAUUUGUUGAGAACGUUUUUCGGCAUCAACAUCUUGGAGCCGUCUAUGGGGAACGGUGCGAAAAGCCAUACAUUUAAUGAUUUAGAGAGAAAAGACUGUUGGAUUAGAGAAUUUCGAUGGAUGAUAGUCAUGGAGAUAGGCAGACCUUGCGCCAAUUGGCGAAAGAAAUGAAUACCACUGCAAAUAAGAGAUGGAAAGAAGGGAUCGAGAGGCAAAUGGCAAGAUUUGGGGAGAUGGUUUAGGGGAUGGUUGAUGCCUAAGUCAAAGGGGCUCAAGUUCGAACUAAUGAUCCAGAGAGUAGCGAAGCAAGAGAGAGAGAAGAGCUUGGUGGUGAAUAGCAGAGCGGGAUGAGGCUACCUCAGGUUGGGGUAUGACAAGAGAAUAGAAGUGAAGGAGAACAAGUGAAUGAGUUGAGGGGGAGAAUCAAUUACCUGAAUCAUGAAAGGGAGAGGGAAUAGUUGAGAGACCCCCAACGGGCAAAUGAGCUUGAGCAGCGAAUGCUGCAAUUUUAAAAAACUCUAGAGGCAUUAGAGGCCAAAACAGAGGGCAAGAAAGUGGUAGGAAGGUUGUUACUUGAUGACGAGUCCCUUUUGGUACCUGAAGUGAUGGCGGUAACUUUGCCACCCAAGUAUAUGGUUCCAGCCUUAGUGUGUGAAGGAAAAACUGACCCAAAUCAUCAUGUGGAGAAGUUUAAUGAGAUGACCGGGAUUCAAGGUUUGAAUGAUUUUCAAAUGUGUCGUGUGUUUUCCUUAACUCUAGAAGGACAGGCAUGCGAAUAGUACUAGAGAUUAAAGAAGGGAAGCAUAGGAAACUUCAAGGAGUUAUGUGAGCUUUUCACUGUGAAUUUUAGAGGUUCACGCAUACCAGGGUAGGAUACAAGCAGGUUGAAAAAAUUGGUCCAAGGAGAAUUUGAAAGUUUGAGGAGCUUCGUGACUAGGUAUCAUAAGGAGGUUACCAAUCUAGGGGCCUUUGAUCAUCCGGAUGCUCAGGAGGGAUAAAAGAAGGGGUUGAGAAUUAAUCAAUUGUGGAAUAGCUUAUAAAGUAAGGAGAUAACAACAUAUGCUAAGGCAUACGACCAGGCAAAAUUAGAUAUGAAAACUGAAGAUGCAGAGGAAGAAAAGAUGAGAAUGGAAAUGCAAACAGGGGGUCUAGUGAGAAUGGGAGACCUGAGAAGGAGAGGAGAUAACUUUGGGUAUAGCUCGAGGAUGAAAACAAAUGAUAUGUGUCAUUACGACAGAAGGUUGUUCAAUUACAGACAACCAGAAAGGCCGAGUCGAGAUUGGGAAAGAAAUCAUGAGAGAAGAGAAAUCUUAUUAAUCGGAAGGGGCCGAGAGGGAUGAAAUAAUUAUAAGAGGAAUCAACGGAAGAACCGAGUAAGAGGCUACAAUAGGUUGCCACCGCCUGCAGACCAGAGAGAAUUGAGAUUUGACCAUGUGGCGACCUUACUAGAGCAGAGUGGAAGAUACACAUCACUGAACACGAGUUGAGCAGAAAUAUAUGCUGCAAUAAAAGAUAAGGGGUUACUAACACCUUCAAAGCCGAUUGUAGGGGGUCUAGGCGAUAGUGCUCACAAAAAAUAUUAUGAGUUUCACAAGGUGACUGGACAUGGAAUUGUCGAUUGCAUAGACUUGAAAGAACAGAUUGAAUGGCUAGGGCAAAAUCAAUAUCUAAAGGAGUAUAUGGAUGACCAAGGAAGAGGUGGGAAAAGAGGAGACAUAAGAGAUAAUGUAGCGAUGAUGAUUAUGGGAGGGCCGACCCUAGCAGGAGACUCAAACCGCGCGAGGAAAAAUUAUAUUAGGUAUUCAUUAAAAAGUUAUGAGGUGAAUUUUAAUGUUCCGACACCAAAGAAGCAGCGGGUUCAAAGGGUGCCGAUCAUGUUCACGAACGAGGACGAGGAAGAGGAAGCGGUUGCACAUCCACAUGAGGAUGUACUUGUAGUAAAGGUUGCCUUGGCAGGGCAGGAAUUAAAUCGGGCUCUUGUAGAUAGGGGAAGCUCGGUCGACAUUUUGUUUAAGCAAACUCUGGACAAUCUACAAAUAGGAGACCUUAGGCUUGAUCCAAUUAGAGCAUCGCUAAAGGGCUUUGGUAGAGUUGAACUGAUUCCCAUUGGGUUGGUUGACUUGCCACUGACAAUAAGGUCCAACCCACUACAAAAGACAGUGAUGGUGACAUGGGUGGUAGUUGAUGAACCGAGGCCUUAUCAAGUUAUUUUAAGCAGACCAUUCAAUAGGAUAGCAAGAGCAGUAAGCUCAACCCAUAUGCAAUGUGUGAAGUUUAAAGUUCAAGGUGGGGUUGGAAUGAUGAGGGGCCAACAACAAAUAGCUCAAAGUUGUUACGCUACAGCUGCAAGAGAAUCCAUACAGAUCACGAGUAUCGAUCCACAAGCUGAGAAUAUAUUGUACCAACAACGACCUAAUGAAGAAAUGAAACAAGUGCCAGUAGGUGAGGAUAAUCAUAGCAGAGUGGUAAGAGUGGGAAGAAAAAUGACGGAUGACAUUUCCAAUGAGCUUCAAAAUUUAUUGAUGGAGUUCUAGGGCCGAGCUGGGAAGGAUCGUACAAAGUAUACUCCUUUGGUAAUAGGGCAUAUAAGUUAAGUUAUCAGGAUGACAGGGUUGUCGCCAAGGUAUGGAAUGCAGAGCACCUGCGGAAAAUACUACCAGUAGGCCAAUCUUACUAAUGAUGUUCUUGUUUGUUUGUUUUCUUUAAAUAUGCUAGGAAAGUUUUUUUUUUUAUUUCAAUUUGUUAUGUGUUCAAUUCUGUGAUUUCUGUUAUAUUAAUAUCAAUGAGGUUAUUCAGAAAUGCAACUCUAUUUCUUACCUACUUGUGAUCGGUCUUAUUUGAGAUCGGCAUAUUUGGGCCUUAUUGAGGUCCAAUGUGAAAAACUUUAUCCAAUCUUAUUGAGAUUAAGAUUGGCAUUUUGGCAUUGUUGAGGUCGAACAUGAAAAUUUGUCUAAUCUUAUUGAGAUUAAGACCAGCAUUUUGGGCCUUAUUGAGGUCCAACAUGAAAAAUUUGUCCAAUCUUAUUGAGAUUAAAAUCGGCAUUUUUGGACCUUAUUGAGGUCCAACCUGAAAAAAUUUAUCCAAUUUUAUUGAUAUUGAGAUCGACAUUUGGGUCUUAUUAAGGUCCAACGCGAAAAAAUUUAUCUAAUCUUAUUUAGAUUGAGAUUGGCAUUUUGGCAUUAUUGAGGGCGAACGUGAAAAAUUCAUCCAAUCAUAUUGAGAUUGAGAUCAGUUGUUGGCCUUGUUGAGGUCAACGUGAAAAUUUUGUCCAAUCUUUUUUAGAUUGAGAUCAGCUCUUGGCCUUGUUAAGGUCCAAUGUGAAAAUUUUGUCUAAUUUUUUUGAGAUUGAGAUCAGCUAUUGGCCUUGUUGAGGUCCAACGUGAAAAAUUCAUCCAAUCUUUUUAAGAUUGAGAUCGGCUGUUGGCCUUGUUGAGGUCGAACGUGAAAAAUUUGUCCAAUCUUGUUGAAAUUGAGAUCAGAUGUUGGCUUUGUUGAGGUCAACGUGAAAAAUUUGUCCAAUCUUUUUUAGAUUGAGAUCGAAUGUUGGCCUUGCUGAGGUCCAACGUGAGAAAUUCAUCCAAUCUUAUUGAGAUUGAGAUUAGCUCUUAGUCUUGUUGAGGUCCAACGUGAAAAAUUUGUGUAAUUUGCUCUCUCUUUACCACUCUGUUCUCUCAAGUUCAUGGUUUGUGUAUUUAUUCCGACGGUAGCAGUCGCCGCCGAGAUCGACUGUUGGCCUUAUUGAUGUCCAACAUGAAAAAUUUGUCCAAACAUUUUGAGAUUGAGAUCGGCUGUUGGCCUUACUGAGGUCCAACGUGAGAAAUUCAUCCAAUCUUAUUGAGAUUGAGAUCGGCUCUUGGCCUUGUUGAAGGGCAACAUGAAAAAUUAUUGAAGUUGGUCAUAGCCUUAACAUUAAAGUUCUACAAUUUUUAAUUUGUUGAGGUCGACCAUUGCCUUGUCAAGGUCGGCCAUAGCAUUAACAUAUUAUUGAGGUCGGUCAUGGCCUUAACAUUAAAGUUUUACAAUUUUGAAUUUUUUUGAGGUCGGCCAUUGCCUUAACAUUAAAGUUCUAAAAUGUUCAAUUUUGUUGAGGUCGGCUAUUAGCUUGUUGAGAUCGGCCAUAGCCAUAACAUUUAAGUUCUAUAAUUUUCAAUUUGUUGAGGUCAGCCAUAUCCUUAACAUUAAAGUUCUACAAUGUUCAAUUUUGUCGAAGUCGGUUAUUAGCUUGUUGAGGUCGGCCAUAGCCAUAACAUUUAAGUUCUACAAUUUUCAAUUUGUUGAGGUCAGUCAUAGCCAUAACAUUUAAGUUCUAUAAUUUUCAAUUUGUUGAGGUCGGCCAUAGCCUUAACAUUCAAGUUCUAUAAUUUUUAAUUUAUUGAGGUUGACCAUUAUCUUGUUGAGGUUGAUCAUUCGGUCUUAUUUGCGAUUGAGGUCGACAAUCGGAGAGGUCAUAUUUUCAAAUAAUCAUCCUCUCAUAUGAAAAUCAGAGUCAAUAGUUGGGCAUUAUUGACUCGGACUUACCACGAUUAAGGUUGAGGUCGACAUUUUAGCCUGAUAAGACCUAUGGUCGAGGUCGACACUUUAGCUUUGUGAAGUCUACGGCUGAAGUCGACAUUUUAGUUUGGUAAGGCCUACGAUUGAGGUCUUCAUUUUAGUUUUGUAAGAUCUACGAUUAAAGUUUACGUUUUAUCGCGGUAGGAUCUACGGCUGAAGUCGACAUUUUAGCUUUGGAAGAAUCUAUGGUUGAGGUCGACAUUUGAGCUUCUUAAGGUCGAGAUCUACAUUUGAGCCUUAUUGACGUCCUACUUGAAUAACUUCAUUUGUUUUUAUUUGAGAUUGAGGUAUACAUUCGACCCUCAUUGAGGUCUUACCUAAAUAACUAUCCGGUCUUAUUUGAGAUUGAGAUCUACAUUUGAGCAUUACUGAGGUUCUACGUAAAUAAUUAUCCGAUCUUAUUUGAGGUUGAGGUCGACAUUUUGUCUAGGUAUGGUCUACGAUUGUGGUUGACGUUUUAGCUUAGUAGGGCUUACUCUAUUGAGGUCGAUAGUUUAGUUGAGGUUGACAUCAUAGAAUGUGUUGAGGUCGACAUUUUAGUUUUCUAUUUUAACCUUAUUAAGGUCGACACUCUAUUUUGUUGAGGUUGACAUUUUCUUUGUCGUGAGGUUGGCAUUUUAGCUCUACACUUAACCUUGUUGAGGUCAACAGUCUAUCUUGUUGAGGUUGACAUUUUCGUGAGGCCAACAUUUUCUUUGUCGUGAGCUCGUGAGGUCAGCGUUUUGGCUCUACACUUAACUUUGUUAAGGUUGACAUUUACUUUGUUGGGGUCAACAUUUUCCUUAUCGAGAUUGACAUCGAAAUGAUAUAGUCUUGGUGAAUUCAAGGUCAUUGCUCGGUCUUAUUGCUACCAAAGUUGACCAUAUCUAUUUGUUUGACCUCAACAGAGUCUUAGAUGAGCUCAGUCUACGGAAUGAAAGUCAUAACCAGCCCUAGUAAAUAAAGAGUAAAAAUGACAAGGUCAAUAUAAUAAUUAUCAGACUACAAAAGCAAAUUAAAGUUCAGUAACAUAUGGUCUACACAAGUUCAUAUUGCACAAAGGGGCAAGCAUUGUAAUAAUUAAACUUAGGAAGUUCUCUUUUGGUCUUCAACAACCCUACUAGUUAGGGAGACCUCACCCUCAACCCCGGCCCUAUCACCUCGAGGCACUUAGUCAUAGUUAUCUUCUUGGUCCACACCUGAAGGUUUCUUCCUACCCUUCUCUUUGCUUACCGUUCUGCUCUACACCGUCUUUCUUUUGCUUUCGGCCAUAUUGCUCUUUCUUCUUUCUUUUAGUUUCCAAUACUGUUCAUAUCUUCUCAAUAUUGAAAACUAGGGGACUGGUGUUGGGUUUUGAGAAAAUUUUCUAUUUUUAAAUAAUCAGUUUCCAACACCGGCAAUGACUUUUCGGUAUUGAAAACUGGGGGACUGGUGUUUGGGUUGGAUUUUUCUGGUAGUGUCUCGAAAUAUAAUCAAUCAUAAUCUACUCAGAACUUAUUGAUGUUGAACUGACCUCAUAAGUAAAACCUGGAGCCUAUGUUGGCGACCUGGUUUACAAGUACGACCUGAGGUUUAUGUGAAUGACCUAGUUUAAGAAUACAACAUCAAGCUUAUAUGAGCGACUGAGAAAUUCAUAUGUUCAAUUUGAAAGUGAAGUAAUCCGACCUCGAAAUAUAUUUGUCCGACCUGAGAAUUAGCUUGACAUGGAAAAUUGCUAGUCAAGAGAACGUGGCCUAAUUUCUAGGGAAGUUGUGUGCCACGAUUUAUUUAAACCACUUCUAACUGACAACCACUUGCAACUGCUGAAGAAAGCGGGUUGAAGUUAAGGAAGUAACCAUCCACGACCAAGAGCCUACUUAAACUGAAGAGCGCAUCAGGUGAAGGGGUUAGCAAAAUGAACCAAAGCUUCUACAAGUUUAAACCUUCUCUAUAAGGUUUUCUGCCCCUUGACCAGAAAAUUACUUGACUUUUAACUCAUUCACAAUCCUUCAUUAUCAUUUUUCUCCCUUUAUACAUAAUUUCUAACUUAAGCAUCGGAGGGUCUAUGCCGGAAACCCACUGGCGUAUCCUAACCGUGUUUUCUAGUUAGCAAGUAUAGAAAGUUGCGAUCAGACUGGCGUUUGAGCUCAGAUUCACGUUGUAAUUCCCCAAAAGAAAUAAAUUCAGUUGUUGAGGUCGUUUUUCGGCAUCAACAUCACAGAUUAAUAAAAUUCAAACCAAAUCUAAUCCAUAUGUCUGCAGAUUGGAUGCGCAUUUGACUCAAUUCAUAUCCAGUCCAAUAUUUUGUGGAUUUAUUUGUGAAUUAAACAAUUUUAAUUUUUUUACCAAUCUAUGAAGUAAUUAAAUUAAAAAAUCUAAAUAUAAAAAUAAUUUUUUUAACAGAUUAAAUUCAAAAUUGAAUAAGAUUUAAAUAAAUUAAUUGUUUAAAUGGAGAUCGAAUAAUACAUUCAAAAUUUUAAAAUAUAACACAUCGAAAAGAAAAAAUCUCAUUUUUUUUAGAUCAAUACAUGAAAAUUAACUAAAAUUAUUAAUUUAAAUAUAUACAAAAGUUGAAACUUGAGAGUUUGGAUGUAAUAAGAAGAAAUUAAGAAACUUGAAGAACUUGAAAAUAAAGUAAGAAAUUAAGCUUAAUUACCUCAAGUAGUGUAGUGAAACAGUGGUGGCUUGUACAUGCAGUGGGGUAGAGGUUUGAUGUUAUAUGCUAAAAUGUCUUGUUUGGCUUAGGGUUUUUUUGUUUUGCUUUAGAAUUUUCAAUGUUUAGGAAGCUAUAUUUGCUUUUUUAAUUAUUCAAAUAUUUAAUUUCUUAUUUUAUAUUAUUAUCGAAUAAGACACAAUAUGGUAUUAAUUUAAUUAUAUUUUAACUUAUUUAAUUAUUAGUAAGUAGCAAUGCUACGUUUAUAAGUUUUAUCUUUUAAUUAAAUAAAUUCUUUUUGCGUAUUUAUGGAUUUUUGUAUAUUUACAGAAGUAAAUCCACAUCAAAUUCACUAACUGUGGAUUUUCAAAUUUUCAAUCCAAUCCAAUCCACCAAUCCACAGAUUGGAUUUUUGCGGAUCGAAUUUUUUCGAAUCAAAUGGAUUGAUUUGCAACCCUGAAAAACUUGGAAAUAAUAGACCAAUAAAUAUGAAACACCCGUUAUUACUCUUGAAUUUGGGACCAUUAAACUUGAAACCAAAGUAACUUGGAACUUAGGGCAAUGAAUAUGAAAAAUAGGAUCACUAACUUGCAACCCUGAAAAUCACACAAAUUAUAGAGCAAUAAAUAUGAAACACCUACCAUUAAUCUUGAUAUUGAGAUCAUUAAUCUUGGAACUUAUUUUUUAUUAUUAUAAAACUAGUUUUUUACUAUUAAGUGGCCCUUACAAGUAAAAUAUUUAUUAUUUCAUUUCAUUUAAUUACUAUGUUAUUUAUUAUUAUUUAAUUCAUUUAAGGGUAACCGGUUGCUCCCACUUAUUUAUUUAUUUUUUUAAUGUUUGGCUGCCACUUGGCAGUUGAACAAUUGCAAAGUUUUUUAAUUUUUUUAUUACUUGCAUGUAUCUCAUACAUGCGUGUAUUGUAGCAAAUGCCAAAUGAAAAUAAUAAUAAUAAUAAUUAAUUGUAGUAUUAAAUAUGAGGAAAUGUCAUUUUUCACUAGAUCUUUCAAAGCGUAGGAUGAUAACGAAGGACCUAUAAAAAAAUUUAGAAAUGAUUGACCUAGUUUCCAGUAGAUAAUUUAAUUUACAUUUGAUUCUUAUUCCAAAUGCGUCGAGUCAGUAUGUUAAUGGGGAUGCAAGAGAGUUUACAGAAACUCCAAUCAAUGUUAUCAUAGUAAUUUUGGUGGUUAAAAUUUAAUUGUGAAUUUCGGUUGAAUGAUUUAAUUUACAUUUCAUCUUAAUAGAACCUACAAGUUUUUCAUUCUUUAUUUAUUUAUUUAUUUUUUCUCAAUGGAUGUUUGUAAUGUCCAAGUUAGUUGAUGUCAUACAUUUGAUCGAUGUGGACUAAAACCUCUUUGAGUGACAAAAAUAAGAAGACAAAAAGAAUAUUACAAAACAAUAAAACAAUUGAAAGACCAAGUCCUAGUGGCCACCGGUCUAUUGAAUUCCAAUUUAUCUUUGUUUCUCUUCUGUGUUGUUUCACUAAGCUCACUGACUUGUUGUCUUCAAAUAAAAAUAAGCGAAGAAACUACUACUAUAAAUUCGCUCGAAUUGAACAAUUUUUCUGCACUAUUGUGUAAUUUCAAUUCGAUUCAAGUUAUAUUAAUUUAUUUGCCUUUGCUAAUUUAUCAGUCUUCUAUAGUGUCAAUGAGGUCGGCAGCCUUGAAUAGAGUAGAAGUUUCUUCACUUGUUUUGUUUAUCCUAUUUUUUUGUAACAAAUUUCUCAAUUACUUAUCGUCUGAUUCUGUUGAAGAAUCUGACGCUCUUCUCAAAUGGAAAGCCAGCCUUCAAAACCAUAACCACGUAUUCUCUCCUUAUCCUGUCCGCAACACCACUAAUGUUUCAUUAAAGUCCCCCCCAAAAAAAAAAAAACAACGUGUGCUUGGUCCGGAAUCAGUUGCAAUGAUGCUGGAAGAGUCAUCAACAUCAAACUCACAAACACAGGAUUAAGCGGUACGAAUACAGGGGAUAAAGGGGUUGCGUGGAGGGGUGAAAGGAUUUCGACUAUGUAAAAUUCUAACGCCACCCAAUAAAAUAAUAAAAAUAAAUUAUUUCAGAUAAAAAAAUAUUUAAUUUAAUUAAUUUAAUCAUAUCACGUUAAUUUGUAUAAAAUAAAUUUAUAUAAAAAAAUUAUAAUUAAGUUAUUACUCUUGUAAACAAGCACCGAUAUGUACGGUAUGCUAUUUGUGUGAGUGUUCUAUCCAAUUUUUCAAAUAUGAUUACUCUUAAAAAAAUGAAAAACAUGGAAACAUGGACCCCAUCAGACAUCACGUUGGCCCACUAAACUUGAUGAUUACGUCUUUUUCAUGCACCCCCCCCCCCCCCAAAAAAAACAAUAGCAACGACACCGUUUUUGCUUAGUCUUUCCUUUCGUUUUCGUCAGCCUGCACAAACACUUGCUUAUGGGCCCCAUCUCUGCGAAGACCACACCGUCUGUUCUCUUUGUGAAAAGAAAAUAAAACUAUUUAAAAAAAAUCUCUAAUUUUGUAUUAAAAAAAUCUCUAAUUCACUCUAUCUUCUCGUGAUAAAUUGAAUUGAAUUCUUUUAUUUUUAAAAAAAUAAAAAAUCAAAAUUAUUCAACUAAAUAUUCCUUUUGAGAAAUUAUAAAAAAAAAACUAUAUAGUAGUGAACGUCCUUGCAUGAACAUGACCUUAAUUCAAUUUAUUAAACAUGCGUAUAUGUCAUAUAGUUUACAAAAUGUAACACUUAUUUUCUUUUGGAUACCAAACAGUAGAUGUGUAUAUUAGGUUGAAGCAAAUAUAAUAUCAUAAACUAACACUAUGUUGUAUCAUAUUUGGUAAAAUAUUUAGUGUUGACAUCUUAUGACAAUAUUAUUAAAUCUUCAAUGAAGAUUAUUCAUUGUAUUAAACAUUUUUUAUGAAAUAUAGACCAUAUCUUUCGUUACAAUGCAAGUUGUCAAAAAAGAUUGUCUCAACUUUGUAUUAGGAUUUUAUACUUAUAAGUACAAAGUAUGAUCAAAACCUUACACAUUAAAAUUGUUCCAUAACUUAGCUAUCAACAAAAGAUUUGAUGAUUUCUUAAUUCUUAAUUGUAAAUAUUAGUAUAUUAUACUACAAUAUUAAAUUUGCCUUAAUUUAUUAUUAUCACAUUAUAAAUCUAAAGAAUUAAUUUGACUUGGUAAAAUUAUUACGGCAAAGAAACGUAUAUCAAAUUCAAAUAAAAAUAAAAUUUACUUGUAGUUCAGCUAGUCUUGGAAUGACAUAGUACUCGUAUAGAGUUACGAUGCUCAAUACUUAUUAUCUAAAGUUGUAUUCUGUUGCUUUGAUUUUUAUGCUUGGCUAGAUCCCAGCCAAUUAUCUUGUUAUUUUUUAUAGGUAAUUCGGAAAUAAAUGAAGUCUAUUGUUCAGAAAAAUAAUUACCUGCAAAAACCGUACUCCAAUUUCAAUUAUUCGUAUCCAAAAUCUUACAAAAAGGUAAUAAUAUUCCGAAUUAAUUAAAAAAAAAAUGAUACGUAAGCAGGGAAGAUCACACGAAACCUACCUAAAAUUGCAAAAAAAAAAAAAAAAAACACGUUCAUUCCAUUUAUCGCGAUACGGUAAAUGCUUAACAAAAUGUCAUAUCAAUUUCACCAUCAAAACUACGGUAUUUUUUUUUAUAUAUUAAAGAUUUUUAAAAAAAAGUAAAUAAAAACAAAAAAAAAAGCAACAACUGUACUGGAACUCACCGUUCCCAAUUUCCUAAUGAACAAAAUAAAUAUAAAGGACUCGUGCGUGCCUUCCAUUUCCCUCCUGUUUUUGUCACCCGCCUCGUCCUCAUCUGGCCACUUGUUUCCCCCACUACACCCACAAAAACGUCACCGUUUCAUGCUCACUCCUUCCUCACACCCCUCCUUUUCCCCACAUUCCUUCAUAUCAUGUCUAACUCAAUUCAUUUUUUUUAACAUCAAUAAUAAUUUUAUCGAAUAAAUCAAUCAAAAUGUAACUGCAAAUUAAAAAUCUCCUUCAGCUUUUGCUUCUUCUCAAUUUCGAUCGACUGUGACGAUAUACCAAAGCUUCAAUUUUUUUUCAGUCAACGCCUUUGCUUCAAGAUUUCAUUUUACCUUCCUUGAAAAUCAAACCACACCUAAUUUGCUUUAAAAUUCUUUUUGCUGAAAUCAAUUCAUUUUUUCUUAAUCUUGUACCCAGAUUUGCUGUUUUUGUUUAGAGUUUUUACUUUUUAUAUUUUUGUGCGGAACUCAGCAUGACUUUGGUUAAAACUUUAUAUUAUUUUAACAUAUAAUUAGUCUAAUUUAUUUAUUUAUUGAUUUAUUAAUUUUUUAAAUAUGGUUUGGGACUUUUGAUGUUUCAUUAUUUAUUGAACACGAUGGUAUUGUAAAGUUUAAAGCUUUUUGCAUGUGAAUGACUGGAUAUGUGUACACUUUCAUUGAUGUUUAGAUUCAUGUAUGUGGUGGUCUCUGAUCUGGGUACACGUUACAUUUUAAUUCUAUGGCAUAGUUCAUUUAACCAAAUUUUGUUGUUACUUGAACUGAUGAACGCGAAUUUCGAAGUGAAUACGAUCGAUUGGAUUUUGUAAGAUUCCUUUGUAGAAGUAUUUUAAUCCCACGAACAGUAUGAUUCACCAAAUAGCUUUGGGAGUGGUAUUGAUUCUAUUCUUGUUUGUUUAUUCAUAUAAGAACUUUGAGUGGUUCUGAUCGAAUCCAGCUUAAAUCUAGGUAAAAAUGUGUUAAAUUUAGGUUUAAAUGUGUUUUCUGAGAGAAGCUUGUGCUAAAUAUAGGUUUAAAUGUGUUUUCUUAUGUUUGGGGCAAGUGACUUAGAUAAGGUAAUUAUGUGGUGAGUUAAAGUGAUAUGCAUAGUAAAUUGAGGUGGUCGUACGGAGAAUAAUAGAGAGAGAGCAUUAGUGGAAUUUUGUAGGAGUUAAUAUAGAGAGUUGAUAUUGGGGGCUAAAUUGUGCACAUAGUAGCUCAAGUGUGCUUGAUGGAUAAUUCAAAUGAUCUCACGAAAUAUUUAGCGUAACUAGAGUAGCUCAGAUAAGCCCAUACGUAAAACAUAAUCUCGAUCUUAAAUUGACAAUAUAGUAAAGUAAGCUUAAAUAUAAAGAAUGCACAAUAUUUAUGUGAUUUGGUCUUUGGCCUAUGUCUAUAAGAGCAAGUCAUUACUAAUCCACUGUAUAAAUGGGAGAUUACAUGAAAUUUUAAGAUGAAUAACACAAGCUAUAUAGUGAGAUAUCUAUAUAGAGAUGUUUGGUAUUGAUAAAUAUGAAGAAGGUGAAUAAAGACAUGAAGAGUGAUAAUAUAGUAGAAAAGAUGAUGGGGGUGGAGAAUAGAAAAUGGACCUUUGAAAAAUGGAGAAAUUUGUGAUGAUCUAAAAGAUAGAGAUAGAGAGAGGAGAGCCCAUAAAUAUGGGUGAAUAGGACAUUUAUAUAGUGGAGGCUAAUGGUAAAGAGAAUUCAUAAAAUUUAGGGAUAAAUGUCAUGUUUAAGUCAAAAGAAGAUGAAGCUUUUAGGGCUAUAUGUCACAUCGGGGGGAAAAUGGGUAAGAAUAUUAUUUUUUACCUAGGUUCAUUUUUUAUUAUAAAUAUUUUGGAGUGUCCAACAUUGACUAUCGAUUUCCAAAGCCAUCCAAUGUAGGAAAUUCUUCUAAAUGGCAUCUUUGAUUGCUUCAAAUAUCAUGCCCAUUUUGACCUUGUAACUGUCUACGUGUCCUCCAUUUCUUGCUCCCAAAGUAUCCUUCCAAAUUUGCCCCCGAACAAGAUCCCUAGUGUUAAGUCCAUUAUUUAUAGAGUUGGCAUCUUAUGGCAAGUCUAGUUAAAUUGAAAUUUUAUUUAUUACAUAUAUUGUAAUAGGUAUUAAUUUAUUAAUUCCUUAAUUUAGUGAGAUUCUAAUUUAUUGGGAAUAUUUUUUUCAUAAUAUAAUUAGAUGCUAAUUUAGAAAGUCUAUUAAUGAUGGGAUUGUAUAAUUGGCGCAUAAGAUCUAUUUAGACCAAGAAGUUGGUUCAAACAGGAAGUUCAUUAAAUGUUCUAGAUAUUUCUUGGGAGACAAGUAAGGCAAGAAGAUAUAUUUAUUCAUAUUCAGAUUCAUAGGAAUUAUAAGAGGAAAAAAACUUUUAUUUAAAAAGUAUCCAAAUCUUUUAAGAUUUGUUAUUUUUGUGGAACCCUAAAGCCUAUAUAAAGAGAGGUAUUUCACAAUUAAAGACGCGCACAACAAAGAGCAUAAAGCAGAGAAGCAAAAUUCGGCCUCCUCGCUAGAGUAUCUGGAUUUGGCGCAUAAUGUUGUGUUGAUUUAUUUAUAUCUUCUUUUCAUCUUUGUGGAGAGUCUAUGUAGAUCUUAGAUCACUAAACGUUGAAGAAUUAAAGAAUUGCUAGUGAUCAAUUUACGAAACGCCUUGAAGAUCAUGGAUCAAUAGGGGUAGCUAUUAUUCAAGAGAAGCAUAUUCAGUCUAAGGUUGAGUAAAUUGUGUGGUGAUAAACUUAAUUGUGAAUAGUUCACAGUGAACAAUAAUGGUAAACAGUAACAGUGAACAAUAUUUUAAUUGCCUACAUCUAUUUGUGAUAGAUCUAAAUUCCUUUCAAUUGGUAUCAGAGUAGGAUACUAAGUAUUUGGUGAGAUUCUUGGAACCUAUGUCUAUUUUGUAGGUAUGAGUUUGCAAAACGAGGGAAGCUUUUUGGCUUGUCCACCUGUACUAGAUGGGAUGAAUUAUGCUUAUUGGAAGCAAAUGAUGGAAAUUUAUCUGACAACUAUUGAUGAAAGAGUUUGGCAAUGCGUACUCACAAGAUAUACUCCACCUAUCAAAAUUGAUGAAGAUGGUGUAAAAUCUCCUAAGCCAGUAAGAGAAUUGACUAAUAAUGAACUUGAUGCUUCUGGAUUUAAUGCAAAAGGACUUAAUGCCAUUGUUAAUGGAGUUGAUGUGUUUCACCGCCAACUAAUUUCUACAUGCAAGACAUUUAAAGCUGCUUGGGAUAUACUCCAAAGUACUUUUGAAGGUGACAAUACAGUAAAACGUUCUAAACUUCAUAAACUUACAUCUGAUUUUGAAAACCUAAAAAUGCAUAAACAUGAAAUCAUAUCUGAAUUUAAUUCUAGAAUCCUUGCUAUGAUUCUAGAAUUCUAGAAUCCUUGGAAAACCUAUUUCUAAGGAAGAAAUUUGUAGAAAAAUCUUAAGAUCUUAAGAUUUGUCUAUCCGAGAUAUCAUCCUAAAAUUUUGGCCAUCGAAGAAUAUGCUAAUUUGUCUACCAUGACUAGAGGUUCACUUAUAGGAAAAUUGAUGGUUUAUGAGACUAACUACUUGAAUUUGAAUUUGAAGGAAAAAAAAAAGUAUUGUUUUGCAGACUAAAACACAAGUUCCCGUCGCCAAACCUAGUGAGAAGGAUAAUCCAUAUGUGUACGUUGAUAAUUCUCUUGCACUCAUUAGAAAGAAUUUCAAGAAGAUUCUUCUUAUCUUAAUUCUAAAUUGUUUGAUCUUAACAAGCUUGAGGGUAUUCAAUAUAGAGAAUGUGGAGGCAUAGGACACAUACAAGCACGAUGUGCUAACACUCUCAUGAAAUUGAAAGCAAUGCAAUCCAUCUGGAGUGAUGAUGAUUAUAAUGAUAGCAUUGAUGAAGAGGACCUUAUUAGAGGACUUGUUUCCAUAAUGAUGUGUCAAAAUAUACUAAUGGCAGUGAACAGGAAUCAAACAUCAGAGAUGUAUCCACAUCUAAAGCCUCGCAUUUAGCUUCUUACAAGGAAGACACUAAUUCCCCUCUUGACACAACUGUGCAACAUGUUAACAAGAAUAAUGAUUCAGAUAGUGACAUCAGUGACAUUGAUAUAAAUAACAAGAAAGUUUUUUAUGAAAGCUACAAGAUGAUGUUCGCUAAAUAGAAAGAAGUCUACAAUGAGAACGUGACAUUGAUGACUCAAGUAUCCAAUUUUUUGGAUGAUAAGGUGAAACUUGAGAGUAAGGUAAUUCAUUACAAGUCUUUACUUACUGACAAAGAUAACCAAUUACUUGCAGUGAAACCAAAAAGUCACUUAAGAUGAUGAAUUUUGGAACUCAGAAGUUAGAUCAUAUCUUGUCACUUGGCAAACCUAGCUCAGAUCAUUAUGGUCUUGGAUAUCAACAUAGUAAAGACUCAAAUUCUCGAGGUGUGUUUUGUUAAAGCCUCUCAAGUUACAGGUUCUCCACCAAUAGUUAAAGUUCUAUAUCUUCAAAAAAGUAAAAUUGCUACACAUUCUUCACCGGUUCAUCAAGAUAAGAACAACAUGUUUAUUCCCACUUGUCAUUUUUGUCAUGUGAAAUGACAUAUAAGACCUAAUUGCUUCAAGCUCAUUAAAUAUAUGAAAAAGGCUAUGUUCUUUAAUUAUUCUUAUGGAAAACCAAGGAUGACAUCUAGACCUAAGGUUGAGACAAGUGAAAAUAAACCUAGAACUACUUGGAUGAGGAAUACUGAUUAUAAAACUUAUGUUUCCUUUAUUUCCUUGAGAAAUUGCACCACUGAUUUUUAGUACUUUAAUAGUGAUGCUUCUAGACACAUGACAGGUGAUAGAAGUGCCUUGAUCAAUUAUCAAAAAGUUAAUUCAGAAAAUGUAACUUUUAUUGAUGGCGUGAAAAGUCGAGUGCUUGGAAAGGGAACUUUGAAUGUGGAAGGUUUUCCAAAACUUGACAAUGUUCUGCAUGUGGAAGAUCUCAAAGCAAAUUUACUCAACAUUAAUCAAAUUUGUGAUCAAAACUUGUUUGUCAACUUUGAUAGGAACAAAUGCCGUGUCGUCGAUGUUAAUGGAAAUUGCAUUUUGGAAGGACAUCGAUAAUCUAAUCAUUGUUACAAAUUAACUAGCUCAAUUAUUUUUCAUAAAAACACUCUUGAUGACACAGAAUUCUGGCAUCAAAAGUUGGGUCACUUGAACUACAGAUUACUUAUUAGAAUUAUGAAAACAGGUGCUGUAAAAGGAGUUCCAAUGCUUAAAAAGAAACAACCUAGAAUAUAUGGUUCAUGUCAAUCUGGAAAACAACAAAGGGUGUUGCAUAAAGCCAUUCAGGAUAAAGAAACAUCAAAGAUGCUACAACUACUUCAUAUGGACCUUAUAGGACUAAUGUAGGUUGAAAGUUUGGUUGGAAAAAAGGUACACAUUUGUGAGUAGAUGAUUUCUCUAGGUAUACAUGGGUUGACUUUAUUAAAGAAAAAUCAGAAACAUUUAAUGUGUUCAGAAAACUAUGUGAAAAGGUUAAAAAUGAAGAAAAUUGUAAUAUUGUUAGAAUUAGGAGUGAUCAUGGAAGAGAAUUUGAAAACUCAAGUUUUGAAUAAUACUGUAAUUUACAUGGAAUUUCACAUGAGUUUUCCUCACCUAUUACUCUAGAAUAGAAUGGUUUUGACUUUGAUGAAACCUUUGCACCUGUUGCUAGUCUCGAAUCUAUUCAUUUACUUUUUGCAGUUGCUUGUUUAAUAGGCUUUAAAUUAUUUUAAAUGGAUAUUAAGAGUGCCUUUUUUAAUGGCAUUUUAAAUGAAAAAGCCUAUGUUGAACAACCUAAAGGUUUUGAAGACCCCCAUUUCCCAAACAAUGUUUUUAAAUUGAAAAUAGGCUUUGUAUGGUUUAAAGCAGGCUCCUUGAGCUUUGUAUGAAAGGUUGACCAAAUCUUUACUUGAAAAUAGCUAUAAACGAGAGGGAGUAGAUAGAAUACUAUUUAUUAAGCAACUUAAUUCAGGGAUUUUAGUUGUUCAAAUUUAUGUUGAUACAAUGUUUGGUUCUACUUCUUCUGAUCAUGUGUAAGAAUUUGCGAGUCAAAUGAAAAUGGGAUUUAAGAUGAGCAUGGUGGAAGAAUUGACUUACUUUUUGGGUUUUCAAGUGAAACAAAUGGAGAAUGGAAUUUUUGUUAAUCAAAGUAAGUAUGCCAAAAGUUUAGUUAAGAGGUUUGACUUAAAUUCUGCAAAACACAUGAGAACCCUUAUGAAUACUAAUACCAAGUUGACAAAUGAUGAUAGUGGUUCUAGUGUUGAUCCUAGUCUUUACAGAAGUAUGAUUGGUAGCUUAUUGUAUUUGACUACAAGUAGACCUGAUAUAUGUUUCAAUAUUGGUGUAUGUGCUAGGUACCAAGCAAAUCCAAAGGAAUCACACUUAGCUGCUGUCAAACGAAUCAUUCGUUUUGUUAGUCGAACAGUUAAUGAUGGUAUUUGGUACAUUAAUGACACUAAUUCAAGUCUUGCAAGAUAUAGUGAUGCAGAUUGGGUUGGCAAUGCCUAAUAGAAAAAGCAGCACUAGAGGAUGUUUUUAUCUUGGAAAUAACUUAGUAUCGCAGCAUAGGAACAAAACAGAAUUCAAUUUCUCUUUCUAUGACUGAAGUUGAAUAUAUUACAAUUGGAAGUUGCUGCACCCAAUUACUCUGGAUAAAACAAAUGCUUGCAGAUUAUGGUAUGGUUCAGGAUACUUUGACUGUGUUUUAUGAUAACAUGAGUGCUAUCAAUAUUUCUAAAAAUCUUGUUCAACACUCUAAGACUAAGAAUAUUGACAUUCAUCAUCACUUCAUUAGCGAUUUAGUUGAGAGCAAGACCGUGUCCUCAGAAUACAUUGAUACAGAAAAAUAGCUUGUAGAUAUUUUCACAAAAGUUUUAAACUCCAAACGAUUUGAAUCUUCAAGGAAAGCUUUAGUUGUGUGUUCCAUGUAAGUCAAAAUGUUUUUUUUUUCUUUAGUUUUAAAUCAUGCAUUUGUGCAAUUAAAUAGAGGACAUGCAUUUAUAAUUUUUUAUUUUAAAACAUUGUUUUUGUUUUUUUAUAUGACAAGCAAUUUUUCAUGUUUGUAAAGAUUUGUGGUCAAAAUGGUUUUUUUAAUGCUUGUUCUGAAAAAUUUCCGAACUUUUUUUUGUUCAAUUUCUUUAUUAAUGCAUUUUUUAAAAAAACAAUUUCAUGAUGCAUGUGCAUUCUCAUGCUCUUACAUGAUGAUAUGUUUUUAGAUCUUAAGAGUCACAUAUUGUUCAAGAAAAACGCAAAUUUUUGUUUUCUAAAGUGCAUUGACAAGCUUUUACCCAUCACAACUGAGCAUGUUACGCUCUUUUGAUCUUAACUUUGUUUUCAUAAUUCUAAAUUCAGUUCUGUAAAAUUCUAUGAAAAGUUGAUUCAAUAAGCUUUCCAACGGUAUAUAGAUCACAUUCUGAAUCUCUUUUAUUCGUUCUCAGUUGAAUUUUGAAAUUCUUUGCUCUGCACUGUGUGUUUGUUUCGUAAAGUAUCAUGCAUGGGAUUUCACUUUUGCUAUUUUCCUUUUUGUUUUUGACUUGUUCGAGUUGGUUUAUGUUUAUUUAUUGAUCUGGAACGAAAUCAAUGAUGGUUGGUGCAUUAAAUUGGAAUAAAAUCUUUUUUGUUAAUUCUUUCCUUAUUGUUGACCGAGAGGAGAUUUAUGUAUUUUUCGCUAUGUGUAAUGGAUGCCAUGAAUUGAACGAACGACAAAGAUGUGCCAACAUGAUUUAUGCAAUUUUAUCUAAGAAUUUUCAUAGAGCUUAAUGAAUCUUUGCAUAUUUAAAUUCACAUAGAGAUUUAGUGGGUUAAUAUGUGAAGGUAUUUUCAAUAUUACUCGAGAGAGGAUAUUAAAUAGAUUAGGGAAAUUCACUGUCAACAUGGGUAAUAAAUUUUAAUAAAAUAGAUGGAGGGUUAAAUUGGAUUGGUUAUGGUGAAAUCGGAUGUCCUAGUAUCUUUAUCUUUUGGUGAUUUUUAUUACUGUCUGCAUAUUUAUUUAAAUUUUAGUUUUUUUAUUUUUUAUUUUUUAAUCUAAACCCACUUAUUUGGUUGUUCAAAUAAAUUAUGGUUAGAAUAAUUUCGAUAACUAAUAGGAUCUACAAUCCAUGUGGGACGAUACUCUACCCUUCAUUAUAUUACUUAUGCCGACUAGUACACUUGUUAAUUUAUGCAUCAACCCACAUAUUUUUGAGUUAAGGAAUAGAAACUUGAUUCACAUGGGAUUGAGAAUCAAGUUUCCAUUUAUUGAACUCACCAUUUUACCCCACUCAUAUUUCAUAAUUUCAUUUUUUUCAUCAAUUAAAAUAUCAUUAUAUUAAUGUUACUGUCAUUAUUCUAAUAAUAAUGAUAAUGAUAAUAUAAUAAUAAUGAAAAUAACAACAACAACAACAAUAAUAAUAACAGCAAAAAGUAAUAAUAAUAAUAAUAAUAAUAAUAAUAAUAAUAAUACUAUAAAUAAUUAUUAUAAUAAUAGUAAUAAUACGUUACAGUCAGUAAUUUCAUCAUUUCACAAGCCACAUCCAAGGGAUGAUCAUGUGCACCUUGCGGAUCUUGUCGUUUAUCAUACCCACCUUUCAAAAAAAGAAGAAGAUGAUGUGGUGUGUGCGUGUGUGUUUAGAACUCUACCUUCAAGUAGUGUUUGGUUUUAAAAAAGAGGAGAGGAGGAUAGGAGUGCGAAAAUUGAUUUUUAUUGUUUGGUUUCACAAGAAAUUUUAAGGGAAAGAAAUUACAUGUCUUUUUAUUUGGAAAAGUAUAUCCAUUGGACUUUAGUGUUAAAAUGUUAAUAUUAAUAGUAAAUCUAAUAAAAAUAAUUAAACUAUAAAUUAAAUUAAACUAGAAAUAAAUUAAUAAGAAAACAUUUAAUUUUAUAUUAUAUAUUUAAUCAAUUCAAUAUUAUUUUAUAAUCAAAAUAACUAACCAACAAGUCGUAUAUCGACGUAGAAGAACACGACAUAUUGACUUGACUUAUCGAACAUUAAGACGACAAAUCAAACAACUCGCCGCAUUGACUUUGUUGACCUCCCAAUUGCUCUUGCGUGGGGUUUCUAUAAAUUUGGCGUCCAAGAUGCUCGUUUUCUGCACCGUUGUAUGUUUUCCAAAAGCGAAGAGUCAUCAAAAGAUCUUUUGAAUUUCAAUAAAACUUCGGUUUAACUUUAUUUAUUUGAUUGUGUUUUUAUAUUAUGUUUCAAUGCUGUCACCAACUCUCAGUACAGUAGUUCCUUCACCUGUUUUAUUGAUCCUAUUUUUUGUGUCAAGUUUUCUCAUAACUGUUUCUUCGGAACCUAAUGAAGAAGCGGAUGCUCUUCUCAAAUGGAAAGCCAGCCUUCAAAACCAUAACCGAUCUCUCCUUUCUUCUUGGAUUAAGGACACCACCAAUGUUUCAUCCAAAAUAAGCCCAUGUGCUUGGUCCGGAAUCAGUUGCAAUGAUGCCGGAAGAGUCGUCAGCAUCAACCUUAGAGAUAUAGGAUUAAAAGGUACGCUUCAUGGUUUCUCAUUCUCAUCGUUUCCUCAUCUAGCGUAUCUUGAUCUCACCGGGAGUGGAAUCUUUGGUACUAUCCCCCCUCAAAUUAGCAACCUUACGAAUCUUAGCAGCCUUUAUUUAGGAUCCAAUCAAUUGUCAGGAAAUAUUCCACCAGAGAUUGGUCUUCUGAGUCAUUUAAAGUUCCUUUUUAUGGACACGAACCAAUUAGAUGGCCCAAUUCCACCAGAAGUAGGUCAGUUAAGUUCUAUGGAGAUGCUUUUCUUGUGGUCUAACCACUUGAACGGUUCAGUCCCUCCUUCUUUAGGUAAUUUGAGCAGCAUUUCUCUAUUGUUCAUUUAUGAUAAUUCAUUUUCUGGUUUCAUUCCUCCGGACAUUGGAAACUUGAAAUCUAUUUCCAAUCUAGAUUUGAGCACGAAUAAAUUUAUUGGUCCAGUCCCUCUUUCUUUUGGUAAUUUGAGCAACUUGAAUUAUUUAUACCUCUAUGAAAAUUCACUUUCUGGUUCUAUCCCAUCAAAUUUAGGAAAAUUGAAGUCUCUUGUUAAUUUACAAUUGAAUGGAAAUCAACUCACCGGUUACAUUCCACGUUCCUUUGGAAAUCUAACCAGUUUAUCAACUUUACGUUUGUCUGGAAACAAGCUUUCUGGUUCCAUUCCAGAUGAAAUAGCAAAGAUGAGGUCUCUUAGCAUUCUCGAUUUGAGCCAAAAUCAAUUUAAGGGGAUUCUUCCACCGUUUGUUAAUAAUUUAACCAACCUAAAAGAAAUAAUGCUCCUUUAUAACAACCUAUCCGGUUCCAUUCCACCCUCCCUCGACAAUCCUGUGUUAACUAUGCUAGGAUUGGGUAAUAACCAUUUUACAAGUUAUUUACCGGAAAAUAUUUGUCGAGGUGGAGCAUUACAGUAUUUUGGCGUUUCUGAAAACCAUUUUCAAGGAACAAUCCCUAAAAGCUUGAGAAAUUGCACAAGCUUAAUCCGAGUACGCGUUAAUGGAAAUAACCUUACUGGAAAUAUAUCAGAAGCUUUGGGCAUUUAUCAUAACCUGACUUUCAUAGAUCUCAGCCGCAAUAACUUCUACGGUGAAAUCUCAUCUAAUUGGGGGAAAUGCCCAAACUUAGGCACUCUCAAUGUUUCGAUGAAUAACAUUACUGGAGGUAUACCGCGUGAGAUUGGAAACUCGUCUCAACUACAUGCACUCGAUCUUUCAUUGAAUCAUAUAGUUGGGGAGAUUCCAAAGGAACUUGGGAAGAUACAUUCUCUAACCAAGCUCAUUUUGCGCGGGAAUCAACUUACAGGACGUCUACCUACAGAAAUCGGCUCAUUCAAAGAACUUGAAUACCUUGACUUAUCUGCAAAUAGAUUCAACAAUUCAGUCCCAAAAAGUCUCGGUAACUUGCUGAAAUUGCACUACUUGGGCUUGAGCAACAACCAGUUUGUCCAAGAAUUGCCAAAGGAAUUGGAGAAGCUAGUUCAACUUUCAGAAUUAGAUGCAAGUCAUAACCAUUUUGGAGGAGAGAUACCAUUUCAAAUAUGCAGUUUGAAAAGCUUGGAAAAGUUGAAUCUCUCCCACAAUAAUCUUUCUGGUUCGAUUCCAAAUUGCUUUGAUGGAAUGCACGGUCUAUCAGUCAUUGACAUUUCUGAUAAUCAAUUACAAGGCCCAGUUCCAAAUAGCACAGCAUUUCGGAAUGCCUCAGUGGAAGCGUUAGAGGGGAAUAAGGAAUUGUGUGGAGGUGUGAAAGGAAUGCAACCAUGCAAAGUUUUCCCGUCACACAAGCAAAAUUCCGGAGCCAAGUGGUUUGCAAUAGUGUUCCCUGUGUUAGGAGCACUAUUUGUUUCAAUGGCGCUGAUAGCAAUUUUCAUUCUUCGAAAGCGGAAGUCAGACUCAGGAGAUCGACAGAGCAGCAGCCAGAACCCUCAGGAAUUGUUUUCUAUAUUAAAUUUCGACGGGAAACUUGUGUACGAUGAAAUUGUUAGAGCAAUAAAUGAUUUUGAUGCAGAGUAUUGCAUUGGAAAUGGUGGACACGGAAGUGUUUAUAGAGCUGAGCUACCAUCUGGGGAGGUAGUAGCUGUCAAGAAAUUUCACUCAUCACUCCCAUGUGAUCAGAUUGCAGAUCAAAAAGAAUUCUCGACCGAAGUUAAGGCCUUGACAGAGAUACAACAUCGAAACAUUGUGAAGCUUUAUGGAUUUUGCUCACAUGCCCGACACUCUUUUUUGGUCUAUGAAUUUCUUGAAAGGGGUAGCUUGGCUGCUAUCUUGAGCAGUGAUGCAGCAGCACAAGAACUGGGUUGGAGUCAGAGAAUGAAUGUGAUCAAAGGUGUAGCCGAUGCUUUGUCUUACUUGCACCAUGACUGCUUUCCUCCGAUUGUCCAUCGAGACAUAUCAAGUAAGAACUUGUUGCUGGAUUUGGAAUAUGAAGCUCAUGUUGCAGACUUUGGAAUUGCUAAGUUUUUGAAGCCAGACUCGUCCAACUGGACUGAAUUUGCAGGCACAUACGGAUACGUUGCACCAGGUACUUAGUAUUCGUUUGUUACCAUUUUGAGGAAUAUUUAUAUGUUAUGUGCGCCGUAACAGAACAAUGCAAAUAGAUAUUGUUGAAAAAAUUAUAUAUUACAUUCAGUAGACUUGUAAAAGCUUACUAGUUUAUGCACAUUUAUCUGAGAAACAGAAUAAACAUUUUUCUUUUAUCUUUUUUGGUCGUUGACCUUGCAGAGCUUGCUUACACAAUGAAGAUCACAGAGAAAUGCGAUGUGUACAGUUUUGGAGUUUUAGCGUUGGAAGUGAUCAAAGGGAAGCAUCCAAGAGAUUUUCUUUCUUCGAUUUCAUCUUCAUCUCUCAACACGGAUAUAGAACUGGAUGAAAUGUUGGACCCGCGUCUUCCAACUCCAACACGCAGUGUUCAAGAAAAACUGAGAUCAAUCGUGAAGGUUGCGUUUUCAUGCUUAAAUGAGAGUCCGGAGUCUAGACCAACUAUGAAGAUAGUCAGUCGACAAUUGCGGAUUUAACCUCAGCUGCAUGCCUGGACUUAGUCUUAAAUUUCUAAGUAUACUUGUAAUUUGCUUGGUUUAUUUCUCUCAUGUACUGUAGUUUGUUUGGUCUAGUUUUCAAGAAUCAGGAGGCGUUGGUUAUUACGUCAUCCAUAUAUACUUGGUAUAUGGUGUACUCUUUUCAUUUUUAAAUAAAAUAAAGUUUAGUUAAAAGAACGCAUGGAGCAGUGGUGAGCACAUUUGAGGACAUGUGGAGUCUGUACAAUGAAGACCAAGAUUAGUAAGACAGUUUGUAAUAAUAAAAAAUAAAUGCACGUACGAGAAUCUAUGUUAAUUUUUAUUACAGUCUCUGAGUUCUAACCAUUUUUUUUUAAAAUUCCUGCCUAGUGGCGUAUGUAUUAUACAAUCUGGGUACCGUAUAUCUAUUGGGAGUCUGAUUCAUACAUAUGAAACAUUUAGUGACAGAAUAAAUUCAAAGGGUUAUUUUUACAUACCUCCCCUGAGAUUUUACGUAAUAACAGUUUAAUAGAAAGUAUCUCCGUAUUUUUACAUCCCUCCCCUGCAGUUAGUAUUUCCGUCAGUUGACCGUUAAUUGAGCAAUAGGAUGACGAAAAUACCCUUUCAAGGCUGACAGGUACAAUUUCCCAGCAAAUUUUGGCAGUGUAAUGAUACGAGCGAGCGUGGGCUAGCAUGCUUUUUUUUUUUUUUUGAAAAGGGAAAGUAACACUUUCAUAACUUCAACAAAGAUAGUACAUCCAUUAUAGGAGCUGGAACACCAACAGCGGAAUCACAUGGGCCACGGGAGGGUUACAGAAAAAUGUUUCAUUGUCUUGUAACUUUCUUUUUAAUUAAUUAAUUAAAAUAAAUAAUUUUUUUUGAAUAUUCCUUGAUUGGGUGGCAAAUUGUUGUCUGCCGGUUGGGAAAGAGUUAAGAACAAAGUUGUAUUUCAAAAUUAUAAAACCUUCAUAAAACCUGAAAAUAAAUAAAACGGGCAAAGUUAUAUAUAUAUGUAUAUACAUCGAGCAUCUAAAAAUAAAUAAAACGGACGGUUUGGUGGUAGAGAAAUGAUUCUUCAUUAAUAUUGUUUUGGCUUUAGACAGCAGUAAAGUUGACUUUUAAUCAAAAGAAUAUGAUGCAGAAAGUUAGAAAAUGACUUCCAUUCAAAGAAAGGAAGCCAUUCGUUUUGUUACUAUUAUUUGUUUAAGGGAAAAAGAAAAGAAAAGGAGCCACAAGAAACUGGUGAUCAGUGAAGGAAGCAAAAUUAAUUCACCACUUACUACUUCAUAUUUAAACUUGGAAGUGGGGGAACUGUAAACAACUCAACAAAUACUCAGCAUCACCAAACAUUGGAACUGUCAAAGAAGUUCUCUCCGAAACCCGUAAACCAAAACCAAAGCCAAACCCAAACCCAUACCCAGUUUUCGCUGCUCAUAUGAAACAAGAGUUGCAGCAACAACAAGAACGAGAACAAGAGAAAGAGGCCAAGAUUAGUGAUAGCCCCGCAAAGUUGAAGCCUUUGCCAAGAAUGCUCAAGAAAAGCAGAACUUGAGCAACAUCAAUGAGGAAGAAAUCAUGUCUCAAGUGUCCGAGAUUUGCAGCGUCAGCGUCAGCGAGAGCCUCUCAACGAUGACUAAUGUCACUGACAUGAGAGACAUUGAAGAGGGCGAGCAAGAAGUGAGGCAACGACCGAGAGUGAUUACUAGAUCUCCGGCAAAGCCGCCGCCGAGAAACGGCUUCAGAAGAGACCGGGUCGUCAACCAAUCCCCCACCAGGAGAUCCGACCAAUCACCCGCCAGACGAAUUGGCAGCGGGUCCCCAGUUCAGAUUCAUAACUCGGGUCGGGUCAAAUUCCCCGGGAGAAGGGACCAGGGCGAAUGCUUGGGAGGAAUGAUUGGAUGAGAAAGGAUGUGGCUCUUAGGGCUCAUUUUGUUUUGUGAAAUUGGGAAUUAGGGGAGCGAAAUCGUGGGCUGCAACGGCGAGACAUGGUGUGGCAUGAAGGAAUCACCGGGAGGGGUGACCGCAUGAGAGAGGACGUGGUUGUUAAGGAUUUACUGUAAUAGUUUUCCCUAAAAAAAAAAUAAGAACCUUAAAAAAUUUUCGAUUUUUUUUUAAUUUUAAAUGAGAUUUUACGAUUUUAGCCUUGUAUACUGAUGCUAUACAUAACUUUGUGAAAUUGCAGGGGAGGAAUGUAAAAAUACAGAGAUAAUUUCUAUUAAACUGUUAUUACGUGAAACCUUAGAGGAGGUAUGUAAAAAUAACCCUAAAUUCAAAUUAAUCCGGGACCACACCAUUUUAUCCUGAGGCCACAAUCUUACAAGGUAAAAUCAAUGAUUUUUAUAUCAAGAAGUGACAUAAAAUUUGUUUCCCAACUUUUUACAUAUAUUAUUUAUUGCAGGAGAACUUUACGUGAAGUGAUUUAAUUUGUAUAAAAAUGAGCUAACUUACUACUUAUUUUUUUGCUAUAAUUUAUAAGUAAUGACGUCUGCACUAAUGAAAAGUUUCAAUUAGAUAUACAAGUUCUAAUGUAGUAUGCUAGUGAUUAAAAAUAAAAUAAAUAAAUAAAUAAAACAUUAUCCUACUGUUUAUUUGUUGGAAACCAAAUGUUUAAAGUAACUUGAUUUACAAGAACCCGGUUCGCGAGUCCACGUUUUGUCUAGGAAGCCUCAGUAGUCUUGCAUUAUCACAUCACAAUUAAUAGAAUCAUCAAAAAUAGCCUUAUUUUGAUAUAAUAAAGAUUUGUACUUCUAAAUUCAGCAUUUGAGUUCGUUACGAUGAAGUUUCUAAGUUUCUUAAUGAACUAAAAUAAUAUCCUUUGUAUUUUCUCAUCAAUAAUAAUAAUAAUAAUAACAUCCUUUAUUAGCCGAGUCAAGUAUAAAAGGUGCUGAUGGGCAAGCAUGUCAAAGCAGGGUGAUUCGCAAUUAUCACAAAUGUGAUCUUAAUUAGCUCUGUCUAAAAAGCUCAUCUUGGUAAUCUUUUUAAUACUCACUAUAUAUAAAUAUACUCUCUUCUGAGAUCAACUGAUUAAAUUUGUCUUUCACCUUGCAGAGCUUACUUAGACAUACGAUUGGAUAUUUGUCUUAUUUUUUCAGGGCAAUUACCGCGACAUUAUUAAGAUUAGACAUGAUUAAUAUGGUGUGAUUAUUUGUAAGAUUAAGGAAUCAAAAUUCACAGUGGGAAUGAUUGAUACUUUUUACUUAUUACAAUAAAAUGGGGAAUCUAAAUAAAUUAUGUGGAACCCACAUAUUUUUGAGUUAAGGAAUAGAAACUUGAUUCACAUGGGAUUGAGAAUCAAGUUUCCAUUUCUUGAACUCACUACUAGAAAAAUGAAAAACACUAAUACUAAGUUUCUGAUACUAAAUAAAAAAGUAUCAAUAUUUAAGCGGUUUUUUUAGUUUUUUACACAUAAAUGUCUGUCUUCAUUGACACUAUACUAUCAUAAUAAAAUAUUGACACUAAUUAGAGGCGUAAUCUUAAUUUUAUUUUUAUUUUUUCUAUUUUCCUAAAUCUAAACGGUGUCGUUCUGAUUGCUAAAAUGUUAUCGCUAUAAAUUAAACACUUGGGGGAAUUUUUUGGCUACUCGUUUCCCCCUCCUUCCAAAAUCGAUUCCCUCACUCUCUUUCUAUAGAAACUGCAAAACUAAAAUCAAUGAGACAAAACAAGAGCAAAUGAAAUAUUGUUUGAAGAAACUAAAAGUAAAUCAAAACCCACAUUCCCAACAAACCCUAAAUCGAAACUCACAUUCUCAGUAAAUCUUAAGUUGAAUCUGAAACAGCAACAAAUCUAGGGUUUUUGUUCAGCAAAUCAAAUCGUUCAAUGGGUCUCAAAUAGGUUGUGCUCGGAUACGCCGCGGCUGUAGAGGCCAUCAUAGUGCUGCCGCUAACACUUCCGCUACUCGACAGCCUUCGAUGCGGGCUAGUUGCUCUGACGCGUAAUCUCAUAAACCUGUUCUUGUUGGUGGUGCUAUUUUGUCUGUUUCUACUCAUGGACAUCUACUGGAAGUACGAGAUGUACCCUCCUUGAGAGGGCAACUCGUGCACACCGACGGAGCACUUGUGUCGCCAGAAGUCUAUCAUGAAGAGUCAACGCAAGUCGCUGUUGAUUGCAUCAGCUUUGAUGUUCUAUUAGUUGCUGUACUCAGUGACUCAUUGUAACAUAUGUAAAAAAAAAAAAAAAUGAGGUGGUUAAAAAGUUAAUAAAAGCAAAAGAGGAAGCUGGAAAACAGGGGAAACAUAUACACGUGGAAGAGAGUGAGAGAGAAGCUGUCAAACCCGACCCAAAAACCUGACCCGUUUGACCUGAAAAUUGACCCGGCCAUAUCUUGCGAUUCCGACCAUCACACCCCAGCCAUCCACAUCGCCGAAAAACAACCAAAACGCCGGCGACCAAGGCUUGAAAAACCUGCGACUUUUCCACUUUGCUCCGCCGGGAUUUUCAUCGGUUUUGGGUGACACCACUAGUUGGAUUUUGUUCCCCACAACUCCCUCUUCAAUUUCCGACCAUCCGUAGCCACCAGAAGUCACUGUUUCACCACCUGUUAAUUGUUGGAGUUUCACGGCUGCUGAGCUAGAUUCCGACGUCGUUGCCGCGCAUGGGAGUUCACCACCGGCACUAUUAGACUCAGCAGGAUUGGAACUUUCAGACUUGAGCUUCCCACCCAAUGUCGACUAAAUUUCGGUGAUCGUUGACCGGCAAGGGCAUUUCAGUAAUUUCAAACUCUGAGGGCAAUUUUGUAAUUUCUGAGCCUAUGGAUAUUUUAGUAAUUCCUGGAAUUGAGGAUUGGGUGUAAUUACGAUUCCGAGGGUAAUUCGGUGAUUUACAAUUUCAGAGUAUUUUAAUGAUUUACGGACUCAAGGGUAUUUUAGUAAUUUUAUCAACACGAGAGUUGUAAAUUAUGGAUAGAUGUUCGUUUCGAGUUUAUUGCAUAAAUUUAGUUCUAAUUCCAUUUUACGAAAAAUAAUUUUGUCGGUUCCUUGAUUUAAGGGGAUCCGCGAGCGAGAACCGAUCCGCGGACGUGCAUGAUAACCGAGCGUGAGCACCGUCACUGUGAGUGGGAUAUACAAAACCUAUUUUCAUAAUUAAUUAUGAUAGUAAAGCAUGUUUGUGAAAUAAGUGUUUUAAAUGUUCUGAUUUAAUGAUUUCCUCGAAAUGGAUUUUAUACACGCAUUGAUAUUAUAUUAAAAUGUUUGGUCAAUGGUUUUCCGUAUCGACAUUGAAUAAAAUAUGAUAGUAUUUUAAAGUUGAGAAAAGUGGAUUUAGAUGUGAUAAUGAAAAGAAAUAUAUGAUUUAAAGUAUGAUUAGAAUGUACAUGAAUAUGAGUAUAAAGAUUGUUUUCAAAAGCAUUAGACAGUACCCUUCCCUCCAGAUACAAUGAUACAGAUGAUAUGAGAUGAGAUGUCUUUGGGGUCCGUCUAAACACACAUAGAGGCUUUGGGCGCUUCUACCAUUUGGGGGCAUAUGCAUGCGGUAUGAUGAUUACAGAGAUACAGAUAUGAGAUACAGACAGAUAUUGAGAUACAAGUGAGAUACAAGCCUUUGGGGCCUGUCUGAGUACACACAGAGGUUUUGGGCCGUGUUCUUGGGCGCUUUUGUCUUUUGGGGACUAGAUUAUGCAUGUAUGGAUAUGAUGAAAUAUUGUGAGAUAUGAGAUGAUAUUUCCCUAUCUAUCCGUGUAGCUCUGGGGCAUGACAGUACCCAGAUAGUACGUCAUUGCCCGUCCAUUGAGGUCCGGAUACGACGAGAUUAUUUCCCAGCGUACUUGUUUGGUGAUGAUUUUCAUAUUUGUGUAUUAUGUAUGAUAUUGUGAUAUGAUUGCCAUGGUUAUUUGGCACGAUAUUAUAUAUGCUUUUCAUGGUUAGUAAUUUGAUUUAAAUGUUAAAUGAUUUACUACUGUUUCUUGCAUAUGGUUUGAUGAAAUCGUGUUUGGAAAUGAUAUAAUUAUUUCUUUUAAAGUAAGAAUUAAUUUUCAAAAUCUACUAUCCACUCACUGAUCUCACUCAGUUUUAUACUCAUUCCGCUUUUAUUAUAUCCCCCCCCCACCAGGAGAUUGCAGGUACACCAGAUCGACCCAGCGACUGUAAAUAUAUUUUGAGUCUUGGUCAUGUGAUGGUGUUAGAAGAUAUAUGUGAUUUUUGUUAGGACGUCUUGGUUAUCUCGUUCUUUUGGGAUUGUAUAAUUUCGUUAUAUUAUUCUUUUGGGGAUUAAGAAUAAAAUGAGGUAUAUUAAUAUUAGUUAUAAUAUUAUCUUUUGAGACUCUGAAGAUAUCUUGAGUAAAACUCAGCAUUUUUGUUGAGGAUGUUGAACAUUAGGGUUUGUUGUAUAUUGAAUUAUUUUGGGAGUGUUAUAUUUAUAAAGGUGACUCUGCCGAAUUUACGACAGAAUCCUUACUAAUAGAAUUAUUAUCAAGUCCAUUUUGAUGAGACUAGAUUGACUCGCCCAAGGGGAUUCGGGGCGGGUCGGUUCACUCAUCUUGUAGUCAAGAUCAAGCAGUUGAAACAAAGGAUUGAGAGGCUCAAGAAUAAGAAUUUGAUAAAUAGGUAAAGCCGGCUGCCUAAUUUUAAUUCCUCCAAUUUUGACAUAUAUAUCGAAGUGAAAUGUAAUAAAAUUUUGGUUGUUGUAACUUUAAAAAUUUGCAUCUUGGAUCUGGGUUGUUAAUUUAAUGGUCACUAUAAUUAUUGCGCCCACAUAAUAGGUUUCAAAUUAUACACGAAUUGUUAUAUUAAUUGUUCUGCCUAAUUUUCUAGCUAAUAACCGAAUGAAAAUCCUAUCACAGAAUAUACAUGUUCAUUUACCAUUUUUGAUUUAGCCAUCUUGAGGUCGUUAACAAUAAUUCUCUUUUAUUUUUGAUAGGUGGCAAGAUUCAAGUGUGUAUAUAAACUGGAACUGUAGUGUUGCAAGGAGUAAGAAAAAUAUAAUUAUUAGAACAACUUUGAUAUGCUAGUGAAAGCACUUGAGCAUGAUUUAACUUUCGUGAUUUCCUCUGUGCAAUUGUGUGGCUCUGAAACAACUAAAGUUUUGAGGAAAUCAUAUUUGAUAUUACUUUCUUUUUUAUGCUAUUUUGGCAAUGUUCAUAUGAUUUGGACACUGUUCAAAUUGGGAUCACAAUUGACAUUUUUUUUCCCUUUGUUAAGAAAGACAAAAGCUAUUGACAGCAUUGGCCAUUUGAUUUUCUUUUCUCCCGAUACAUUAUUCUUAAGCUUUUUAAGUACAUUGUCUCGUUUCCUGAACCUUGCAAUUUUCUUUUCUUUUUUCCCUUGCAAUUUUAUUACAAUUCUGAGUGUUUGAUGCUUACAGGUGGAACUUCAGUUUUUCAGAAAUGAAUAUGCUAAUGCUUGGCUAGAAUGUAAUGUUGCUGAUGAACGUGCCAAAAUAUUGGCUUCUGAUCUUAUUGGCUUCGAAGAGAAGGUAAAAAUUCUUUGAUAUGUUGAAUUUAUUUCCUUGAUUUUCCCCCUUUUCGUAUACUGUCAUUCAAGAAGAAAAAAUAGUUAUCUCCUUUGGCUAUUAAAGGAAGGAUUGCUUCUGCAGAAAGUGUUGUAGAUUUAUUGGCAAAUCACUGUAUUGCAGAAAGUGUUGUUUAAUGUAGUUCAACUUCAUGUAUAUAUGCUUGAUUCAUUCAAAUGUGGCAUUGAUUAGUUUACAUAUUCUGAUGAAAUUUCUCCUUUCAAUGACCAGAAUGUUACUCACAGAUUUGAAAAAAGAAAAUAUAGUGUGCGUAAUUAUUUUCAUAUUGCCUAUUGCUAAAAAGAUGCUGGUGCUCUUAUAUUCAACCCUUAACUUGCUGGAGUAUUUCAUUUUUUUUUUCAUCUUAUCCUUUAAUUAGGAUUUCUAGUAUAUCUCUUGGGACCAAUUAGUUAUGAGGCUCAGUCUACCUCCACUUAAUUCACUUGAUAUUAUCAAGCUAAAACCAUUAAUUUAGAAUCUGAUCGUGAAAACCCUAUGGACCAAGCAUCUCUACUUGCUAUUGUUUGACCUAUUUGCAUUUGAGGCAUUGGGUGGAAAAAAACACAGCUGAUAAUACUAAUUAUGAGUUAGGCCAAUCAUACUUUCUGGAAAUGUGUUCAAAACGGCCAUUGCAGCUAAUGCAAACCAUACGUGUGAAAUUUUUAACAAAUAUUUUGGAUUCCUAAAAGAAAGAUUUUAAAUCUUCUUGAUUUUAAUAAUGAGAUUUUCCCAUUCUCUAUGUAUUGUUUAAUAUACUCCUAGACAUUGUAGAGCAUGCCAUAUGUUUGUCCUUACAAUAUAUUGCAUAUACAAGUUAGUUUAAUAUAUGCCUGCAACAUGUUUAACUGAGUAGCUUAGAGAAACUUGGUUUAGCACGUAUAGCAUCUUUCUUUCUAGAUAUAUUGAUAAAGCCCUGUGUAAAGAAUCGAAUCAUCCAUGUUGUUAUUUCUAAUUGCUUCAUUCCUUCUAUCUUUGGAAUUGGAUGAUCCUAUAAAGCACUUUCCAUUCAAUACAGUUACAUCAUGUGUGUGGACUGUGGUGAUGCAAAGAAUGAUCAGUGUUCUUGGUUGGGAUUGAGUUCUUUGAAGUUGUAAUUUUGUAGGGGAUACUCUAGUUAAAGUUUUUUAGUUUAAUUUAUGUUUUCUAAUUAUUAUUACUAUUAUUGUUUUUAUUAUUAUAAUAAGUUACAAAAUAAAUUGUUACUGAUUGCUAGAUCUAAUUCUACUAAGUAUAAAAAUAAUAUAUAGUUUUUUUAGCACGUACAUUGGUCAAAACUAAAUAAUCAGAGCAAAUGUCAAACUGGAACUUGGUAACAAUAAUAGAAGGCUUCAUUUCAAUUAUCGAAAUUAAGAAUCUGCAGAAGCAAUAACCGUGUGUUGGAUGAUGGUGCUGCUACUACAUAUCAGUUUAUAAAUUACUUGUUGUUGGAUGAUGGUGCUGCUACUAUAUAUCAGUUUAUAAAUUACUUGUAGUUGGUAAGCAAUGUAAUAAGUUUUCAACAAUGUAAUAAUUUUUAAAUAGUUCAAUGCAAUGUAAUACUUUUCAUAUUGUUGAAAGUAUAUUUCAAUUCAAAUGCCGAUUGCAAAUUUUCAAUCUCUAUUAUGUUGAUUUCUAUUUUUUUUAAAUUUUUCUCAAAUAAACAUUGAUACCAUAGUAUUGGUAUAUUGUUAUGCUCUUGUACCAAUAUUUGUUUGAUACCAUAGUCUCGUUAUUGAUGUGAUGUUCGAGCAUCAACAUUUUUUUGAUACUCUAGUGACAUAGAUUUGCUGACACAAAUUUUGUGUCAGCAAAUUUCUUACAUCGUGAUCAGUGACACUAAACUCGGUGUCAAUAAAACAAGUUGCUGGUACUAAAAUAGUAUCAGAGAAGACCAUUUUUUUAGUACUGACUCACCCUCUUACCUCACUCAUAUUUCAUAAUUUCAUUUUUGUCAUCAAUUAAAAUAUUAUUAUAUUAAUGUUAUUGUCAUUAUUCUAAUAAAAAUAAUAAUAAUCAUCAUCAUUAUAAUAAUGAUAAUGAUAAUAUAAUAAUAAUGAAAAUAACAACAACAACAACAAUAAUAACAACUAAAAGUAAUAAUGUUAAUAAUCAUAAUAAUAAUAAUGAUAGUUGUGAAAUGUGAACUAAAUACUCAGUCUCGACAUGUCAUAUGUUGAGUAUGUGUUAGCACGACAUGUCAUUUGAUAAGCAUUUAGAACAAAACCGACAUGAGCCAAAAUGUCGUUCUUUGUUUAAGUAGCUCACAUGCCUGGCACGUGAGCUGAAGAAAAUGUUUUCUCUCUAAACGACUAAGUAAGGAGCCGUUUUGAGCAUGCUUAUUCAAGACACGUUGCAAACACGUGACUGAGGCAGAUUCUGUUAUGUUAGCGGGAAAAGCCGCUGAAGAAGGAAUCCCAGAAUCAGUUAAUAAAGAGCUGGAGUUCUGGGUUUUGUAACAGACCAGAAAAUCGAGAGAGGGCAAGAAAAAGGGAAUGCGAGAGAGAGUUCUGAAUAGGCUUGUAAUCUCCAUUUGUGUUUGCUCUCUGUAAACUCUUGAACAAGCAAUAAAGUGAAAUCACAGAGUUUGUUUCCAGUGGAUGUAGGCAUCAUUCAUUUGGUGUUGAACCACUCUAAAUUUGUUGUGUUUUGUUCUUGAUCUAUUUGUUAUUCUUGAUUCUUAGUGAGUUGAUUUCUUCGUGGUUGGUUCUUGAGUAUAAACCAGUGAGUUAAGUGUUCCUUAGGGUGGGUUUAGUCUUGAUAGUUAGGGCUUAAAACACAACAAAUUGGUAUCAGAGCUACUGCUCUCUGGCUUUAUAUUCAAGAAAUGGGUACCAAGAUCGAUCUGGAAAAAUUUACAGGGCAAAAUGAUUUCAACAUGUGGAAGAUCAAGAUGGAGGCUUUGCUGAUCACUCAAGGUUUGGGAAAUGCCAUCGAACCAGACUUCAAGAAAGAGGGUCUGGAGGGCCCUUUUUCUACAACUCCUGACAAGCAGCUGAGAUUGAUAAAAAGGCAAGAAGUACGAUCAUUCUCAGCCUAGGGGAUUCUGUGAUAAGGGAGGUGGCAAAAGAAAGAAUUGUUGCUGGGCUAUGGACAAAAUUAGAAAAUCUGUAUAUGACAAAAUCUCUUGCAAAUAGGCUAUACAUCAAAAAGAAAAUGUUCUCGUUAAGAAUGAUUGAAGGAUCAUCACUUGAUGAGCACAUUGAUGAGUUCAACAAGGUUGGUGAUGCUCUGGAGACAAUUGAUGAAGGCUUGAGUGAUGAGAGUAAAGCACUCCUGUUAAUCAGCUUAUUGCCUAAAUCAUAUGAGCAUUUUGUUGAUGCCCUUUUGUAUGGGAGACAGACACUUUCUUUGGAAGAGGUUAAAUCAGCUCUUGGCACAAAGAAACUGAAAGACAAGCAAGAAAAGGCUGACAGUGAGUCUGGUGAGGGUUUAAUGGCCAGAGGCAGACCUGAAAAGAGGGAAGGCAAAGGGAAGAAAUAGGGAAGAUCUAAGUCAAAACAGAAACAGCUCAAAUGCUUCCAUUGUCACAAGGAAGGGCAUUUCAAGAGGGACUGCCCUGAGAGGAAGUCCAAGAUUAAAGAUUCAAAGGAUAAAGUAGGGAAUGCAGUAAUUGCCACAGAUGAAUCCAGUUAUGAAACAACUGAAGUACUCAUAGCUUCCAAAGAAAAGAUUCAAUGUGAGUGGGUUCUUGACUCAGUAUGCACCUUCCAUAUGUGUCCAAAUAGAAACUAUUUUACAUCAUAUCAAUCCUGUGAUGGUGGUAUGGUAUUAAUGGGGAAUAAUUCCAUAUGUAAAGUAGUUGGUAUAAGAACUGUGAGUCUGAAAAUGUUUGAUGGUGUGGUGAGGGAAAUCACACAAGUCAGACAUGUCCCUGACCUUAAAAGAAGUCUAAUUUAUGUGGGGAUGUUAGAUCAGAUGGGAUGUAUUGUGAAGGCUGAGAAAGGUGUGUUGAGAGUGAUAAAGGGCUCCAUGGUCAUAAUGAAGGGUAACAAAAACAAUGGCCUGUAUGUUUUGAAUGGACAAACAGUCAUUGGGGAAGCAAGUGUAAUUGAGAGUGGUGAGGAUAAAUCUAAGCUCUGGCACUUGAGGUUAGGACAUAUGAGUGAGAAGGGGCUGAAGGAACUGGAAAAGAAAGGGGUGUUUGGAAAAGAUCAACUGAACUCUUUGGGAUUCUGUGAAGACUGUAUACUAGGGAAGGCUUCCAGGAUAAAGUUUGAAUCUGCAGUUCACACUACCAAAGAAAAGCUAGGUUACAUACACUCAGAUCUGUGGGGACCUGCACAGGUAACCUCUCUAGGUGGCUGUAAAUUUUUCUUGACCUUUAUAGAUGAUUUUUCUAGAAUGGUGUGGGUUUAUGCUCUAAAAACUAAAGAUGAAGUCCUUGAAAAGUUCAAAAGGUGGAAAGUUUUGGUUGAAAACCAAACAAAUCUGAAGGUGAAGGUAUUAAGAACAGACAAUGGGCUGGAAUACUGUAACAAGUUGUUUGAGGAUUACUGUGAGAAGAAUGGUAUUUUGAGGCAUAAAACAGUAACAUACACUCCUCAGCAAAAUGGUCUUGCUGAGAGAAUGAGUAGAACAUUAAUGGAGAAAGUAAGAUGUCUACUGAUCCACUCAAAGUUACCAAAAGCUCUUUGGGCAGAAGCCUUAAACACAGCAUGCUAUUUGGUCAAUAGAUCUCCAUCAACAGCUAUAGGCUGUAAGACACCAAUGGAAAUGUGGUUAGGAAGGGUAGCUGAUUACUCUAAGCUCAGAAUUUUCGGUUGUGAAGCAUAUGCACAUGUGAAGCAGGGGAAGUUGGAAGCAAGAGCUUUGAAGUGCAGAUUUCUGGGCUAUCCUGAGGGGGUCAAAGGCUACAGAUUAUGGUGUACUGACUUCAAACCACCAAAGUGCAUAAUCAGCAGGGAUGUAACCGUUAAUGAAGCUGAAAUGUUGAACAAAAGAAGGAGUUCUAAGCUUAAAGAAAAGAAUCCAGAAGCUGAAGAUGAUAAAAUUCAGUUUGAGGUGGAGCAUGCUGAAGACAAGAAGUCUGAAACACUCACAAUAGAAGAAUCAGGAGAGGUUGAUGAUGGAUCUUAUGAUGAAGAUGGAUCAGAAUCAACUGAGAGUGGUGGUAACACUUACCAACUAGCAAGGGACAGGAAAAGGAGAACAAUCAGACCACCAAAGAGGUAUGCAGUUGCAGACUUAAUUGCUUAUGCUUUAUCAGCUGCUCAUGAGAUCAAUGAUGAUGAACCAAAGACUUAUCAAGAGGCAAUCACAAGCAAGAAUAGCCUGGAAUGGAAAAGGGCAAUGGAUGAGGAAGUUGAAUCCCUCAUAAAGAAUGAAACAUGGAAGUUAAUUAAAAAGCAAAAAAAAAAGAAAGGCUGUAAGCUGCAAAUGGAUAUAUAAAAUCAAAGAAGGGAUACUUGGAGCAGAACCUAGGAGGUUUAAGGCUAGGUUAGUGGCUAGAGGCUUCACUCAAAGGGAGGGUAUAGACUUUACUGAAGUAUUCUCCCCAGUGGUGAGGCAUGCAUCCAUAAGAGUCAUCCUUGCACUUGUGGCUGUGCAAGACAUGCAUCUUGAACAGAUGUUUGGCUAGAUCCCGGACAAUUACUUUGUUAUUUUUGAUUGGUUAUUCGGAAAUAAAUGAAGUCUAUUAUUCAGAAAAAUAAUUACCUGCAAAAAUCGUACUCCAUUUUGAAUUAUUCGUAUCCAAAAUCUUACAAAAAGAUAAUAAUAUUCCGAACUAAUUAAAAAACGACACGUAAGCAUACAAGUCCACACGAAACCUACCUGAAAGCGCAAAAAAAAAAAAAAAAAGAAACAAGAAACACGUUCAUUCAAUUUAUCGCAAUACGAGAAAUGCUUAACAAAAUGUCAUAUCAAUUUCACCAUCAAAACUACGGUAUUUUUUUCUAUAUAUUAAAGAUUUUUUUUUAAAAGCAAAUAGAAACCCAAAAAAAAAAAAAAGGCAACAACUGUACUGGAACUCACCGUCCCCAGUUUCCCAAUGAAUAAAAUAAAUAUAAAGGACUCGUGCGUACCUUCCAUUUCCCUCCUGUUUUUGUCACCCGCCUCUUCCUCAUCUCGCCACCUGUUUCCCCCACUACGCACACAAAAACGUCACCGUUUCAUUCUCACUCCUUCCUGACACCCUCUCCUUUUCCCCACAUUCCUUCGUUUCAUAUCAACUCAAAAGUUCAUUCUUUUAACAUUAAUAAUAAUAAUUUUAUUGAAAUAAAUCAAUCAAAAAGGUAACUCCAAAUAUCCCCUCCAGCUUUUUGUUGCUUCUUAAUUUUGAUCGACUAUGACGAUGUACUAAACUAAAGCUUCAAUUUUUUUCAGUUUUUUCAGUCAACGCUUUUGCUUCAAGAUUUCGUUUUACCUUCCUUGAAAAUUAAAGCUCACCUAAUUGAUACAAUUAAAACUCUUUUUUUAGCUGAAAAUUGAUACAAUUUUCACUUCAUUUUUUCUUAACUUUGUAUCCAGAUUUGCUGCUUUUGUUUACAGUGUUUAUUUUUUUAAUAUUUUUCUGUGGAGCUAAGCUUGACUUUGGUUACAGCUUUAUAAUAUUUUAACAUAUAAUCAGACUAAUUUAUUUAUUUGUUGAUUUAUUAUUUUUUAAAUAUGGUUUGAGACUUCUGAUGUUUCAAUAUUUAUUGCACACGUGUAGUGCAGUGGCUUCAAUAAAUAUGGUAUUGUAAAGUUUAAAGCUUUUUGCAUGUGAAUGAGCUGGUGUGUACACUUUCAUUGAUGUUUAGAUUCAUGUAUGUGGUUAUCUCUGAUCUGGGUACACGUUAGAUUUUAAUUUUAUGGCAUGGUCCAUUUGACCAAAUAUUUUUGUUACUUGAACUGAUGAACACGAAUUUUGAAGUGAAUACGUGUGUUUGAUUGCUGGAUUUUGUAAGAUUCCUUUGUAGAAAUAUUUUAAUCCCACGAACAGUAUGAUUCAGCAAAUAGCUUUGGGAAUGGUAUUGAUUCUAUUCUUGUUUGUUUAUUCAUAUAAGAACUUUGAUGCAACCUUCAGAUUCCUUUUGAACCAUGUAGUUAUAUAUUUGGAUUAGUUUAUAGAUGUUUUUUGUUACUUCCGCUCUUGAUUGCUUAUCAUAUGUUAGUUAAAGAGCAAACAUUAUACAAGUUCUUUAUUGAUUAGUGCUCUUUCGUAUAACGGGUUCGUUACUGAUGUUCACUUUCUUAUUUGACUUUGUUUAUGCAGUUCUUGUAGCGAGAUUGUGUAAUUUGAAUAUUCAGAUACUUCCGUAGCUAAUGGCUUCGCCAGAUAUUGAGUCUCCCUGGCUUUGUGCCGCUGGUGAAUCCUUCCGUGCACGGUCGUUUAAUAUACGCGUGGAGAAGGGGAAUGCAGCUGAUAUUUUACAUGUGCUGGAAGUUCCCACCUCUUCUGUACCCUAUAACUGUAGUAUACCCAAGCCACCCCCUCUCCCAUGUCUAUUAACUCAUGGGUGGCUUUAAGUAUAAGCGAACAAGAUGGUCGCCUAAGGCCCUAAGUUUUAGAAAGACCUCAUUUUUUGAGUAUUAGUAAUAAUUCUUUAGUUAAUAAAUAUUUUUAAAAAAAAAAUUGUGUGGUAGAAAAGCCUAUUAGACAUCUCUCUAACUAAUAAUUAUCCUAUAAUUAAUAAUUAUUUUUUAUAUAAAAACCUAUAACUGGUUAUCUUAUUGUAAAAGAGAUAUAAUUAAUAAUAUUGUCUAACCAUUAAUUUAUGCAUUAUUAGUUUUUCCAAUAAAAAUAAGUAAAUUUUUUACCUUUUCAACUUCUUAAAAAAGAUCAAUUAUUCAACAUUAGAAUCUUUGACUUUGCGUAUUCCUUUUAAUUUCUAUUAAAAAUCUUAUAAUCUAGAAAAUCAUAAAUGAAAAAUUUCUUGUUUUCUUCUCUGCAAUGAAGAUUAUUACAUGCAUUAGUUCAUUCAAAAAGAAAAAAAAAUUAGUUACUUGAAAUACAAAGUUGAUAUCCAUUAUCUAACCACCAAUUCAUGAUCUCAACUUUCUAUGUGCUACCAUUCUAAAUAUUCUAUUUAAAAAUAGUGUUAUUCUCAUUUAUUCGUUUGUUUAUUUUUGUAUAAUUUCUAAUGGUAAAUUUUAGAUUUUGUUUUUGAAAAUUUUUAGAAUCUUCUUCAUUAUUUGUUGAAAUUCAAGAACUAAAACUGAAAUUGAUUUUCAGCUCUUUUUUGUUUUAUUGGGUAUUGAAGUUGCUAAAUAAAAAGAGGCCUCAUGAAAAAAUAAAUAAAUAAAUCGCCUAAGGCCCCUGAUACUCUAAAGUCGGUCCUGUAUUAACUCACCAGUAUACCGGAAUGAGCUGGGAUACAGGACUUGUCCUCGGUAAUAAUAUAGACAUCUGCACCAUUUCCUUCCUUGAAAAGCUUAUCCCAUACAUCCUUUGUUUCCUUUGGAACAAAACUACAAUGUAAAAAUCUAUUGGGAUAUUGAACUUUACCUUAGUUCUCUGUUAAAGUAGAGCUACACCGGGUUUUCUCAAUAACAAUUGCUUUAGUACUGUAAAGUAAUUUCACUUCGGAGAUGUUAUGGAUGUUAAAUAGAUGGUCCAGUGGCUAAGUUAGCAAUUUUAGAACCUGCUUGAAGAGUUGGCAUCUAUUCAACAUAAAUAUACAGUGUUUGGAAUUACUCUGUUUAUGAUGAAUAUAGUUUUUAGAGGAUUUGCAUGUUACCGAUUUAUUGGGUCCUAGAUUCCUUGAAAAUGAAUUAUUAUGGGUGUUGAUGAUUCAAAAAGGGGUCCCAGAUAUAUCAAAAUUGCUUGGUUUAAUUUUUAAGACUCGUAAGGCGUUGGUUAUUACGUCAUCCAUAUAUACUUGGUGUAUGGUGUACUCUUUCAUUUAUAAAUAAAAUAAAGUUUGCUCAUUCCUUAGAGGUUUAAUGACAUCCAUCUCUGUAUAUAUAAAAGACUACGUCCAAUCAGAGUUUUGAUUUUAAAUAUAUUUUAGUUUGAAGAGCGUACGGGGCAGUGAUGAACACAUUUGACGAGUUCGAAUGGGGGAUAUGUUGAAGAUUUUUGUAACUAAAAUGUUGUAGCUCAAAACCAACCGACUUUUUUUCUUUUCAGUUGAUUAAAUUCAUGACAAUACAAGAAAAGCUUUUAGUGUACGAGCCUUAGUAUAAUUUUUUAAAUAGAGCUUAUUUUACUAUAGCUUUGUUAACAACAGCUUUUAUUUUUUAAAAAAUUAUGUUGUGAAAGAAAUGAAAUAAGAUUGUCAAAUAUGCAAAUGAUAUUUUUAAAAUUUUAACAUUUUAAAAAGCUUAUCAACAUUUAUUCUAAAAAAUCCAGAAUUUGAGCUUUUGUUUGUAAAGGUAAAAAACUUAUUCAGUCCUCAAAAACUCUACUAAAAAAUUAUCUAACAACAACAAUAAAUUUUAAAAGAAAUUAUGAGUUUAAAUAAAUACUUAUGGUCAUUAGAUAAACGAUGCUAAACAAAGACUGAAAAAUAAAAAAGAAAUAAUGAAAACGCAACAGAUCAGCUUAUGGGAGACACAAUGAGUUUUACCUUCAUUAAAUACAAGAAAUAAAAAAAAUUGAGAAGCUCCACGCAGGGAGCAAGAAAAGUAGAGAACCAAAAGUUAACAUAAAUAAUAGUUUAAAAAGCCAUUAGCAUUUCUUGAAAGAAAAAGUGGAGCUUAUGCAAGAGGUGAUGACCACAAGUGAAGAUCACCAAAUAAAGUCUGUACAAUGAAGCUCAAGAUUAACAAUGACAAUCUGGAGCAGUAAUGCAACAUCAAAAGAAUUUAUUCGGUUGGAGUCAGAAUGAAUGUGAUAAUAUUUGCUCCACGAUUUCUUUCCACCGAUUAUCCAUCGAAGCAUAUCAAGCAAGAAUGUGUUGUUGUAUUUGGAAUAUGCAGCUCACUUUUCAGAUCCAGCCUUUGGAAUUGCCAAGUUUAUGAAGCCAGACUCGUGCAAUUGGACUGUAUGCGCAAGCACGUAUGGAUUUGUCAUUGUUUCUAAUUUAUAGACAAUGAUCUUUAAAACGGAGUAAACCAUGUUUCUUUUUUUUUUUUUCUCAGUUGACUUUGCGGAGCUUGCUUACACAAUGAAGAUCACAGAAAAACCCGACGUGUACAGUUUCGGAGCGUUACACUGGAAGUGAUCAAGGGUAUCUAAGAGAUUUUCUUUCCUCAGUUUCGUCUUCAUCUUCCAACAUGAACGUGCACGAGUAGUUGCUCUGCUAUACUAGUCAUUAUUAUUUGAGUUCUAAAUAUUUGCCUUCAUUACUCAUUGUUGCACAAACUAAUCGUACACAUCAUGCUAUGUAGGCCUCAAUUCGGAACAAAAGAAUGUUAGUUGAAGACACAACACAAAAUAGAAAAAUUUAGUUCUCAGAUGGCCACAAAAGACUAGCUACGUUUUUGUCCCAAAAAAAUAAGAAAUAAGAAAUAAACUGUUUGUACGGCCUCUGUAAACCAACUGCUUCAAUGCCCCAAUUUCAAAUCUAUCAUUGAUGUCAGAAGGAGUCAAAUUUUGAUAAAACGUUUUUGGGAUUGUAUCUAACAACAUUUUUUUUCCCGGUUAGAUAUCAAUGUUUAUACAAAAGCAAAGAUUUGGAUGACAAUUAAGCUAAUAAUUACGAAUAAUCCCAAGGGGUUGGAACUAAGAUUUAAGGUGAACUGCCACGGAGGAGUCAAAAUCAAUCACUAAAAUAAUUGCCAUAGCCUCAGCAUAGUAAUAAUUAAAAAAUAAUUUCUUGCGCGUGUACAAAGAGGUGAACCCCUCGAAUGUAAACUUGAAAGUGUUCACAAUUGGAUUAGUUAAUGGACAAUUCAUAGUUAUUGUUAAUGUUAAAAGAAAGUAAUAGAUUGGGAAAAAAAAUAAAAAAUUAAGGAUAAUUUACAAUUAAUGUAGUCCUUGUGAUUUAAGGAAAAAUCAAGUAAGCCGGAAAUAAUUAGUACUAUUUUUCAAAUAAGUCCUCUGACCGUGUUUGACCAUUCACCGUACUGCAAAGUAAGUGAAAAAAUCGACUUCUUAGCAGCCCACUUCUAUGAUGCGAUUAAUUUCAUCCAUUCGCUGAUUCGCGUGCUGGUAGUUAGGCAAGUUCAUUUGUUGGCUGGAGAAAUUUGAUAUUUUUGGUACCAAAUUUAUACGUGUGUGUGUGUGUAUUUCCUUUAAUUUGUGAAUUUGGUAUUUGUUGUGAAAAUUUUAAUAUACUCGCAAGCGCACGAAUCUAGAGAUAGAAUAGUGGUAACGAGGUCGAUCCCACAGGGAUUGUUAUAAAUUGAAAAAUCUAAUUUAAAUAUAAAAUUAAUAUCAAUUCUAACCUAGUUGACCAAAUUAAGUUUUAAGAGAAAUUAAACUAAUUAAACUAAGAAAACAAUUAAAGCAAAUGAGAAUUCAAUAAGACAAAAAUUACCAAGGUUUCAGAAUCCACCACUAUUCAACUAAUAAUUAUCUAAUUAUUAAUUAAUCCCCAAUUUUAGAGUGACAACUCGAAAUCAAUCUAUGUCAUCUCAUGGAUAUAACAAUUAAGCCCAAGUAAUUACAUCUAAUGUAGGUUCUUUUUCUGCUUAAUAAUAUGAUAUCUAAACAUCCCAUGUAAACGUAUUGAAUAACAAAGAGUCAAAGUUUUCCUAAGUACUAUGUGUAAACAAUUUAAUGAAAGACAUAGAAUCAAAGAUAAUCAUGUAUAAACUUUAUAAAUCCAAGCAUAGAUUUAAUUGAAUAUUAAUCCUAACAAUCAAUAAUGCAUGACAUAAUUGAUGAAAAGAUUUUAAUAACAUCCAUUUAAUCAUGUGAAAUAAAAACCAUAAUCAUUAAAGAACGUAUAUAGGGAAUUAAAAAAAUAAAAAGAUAAUUAUUUCAUUGAAUAGAGUUUCAUCUUUAACCUCAAUAUAAGUAAAUUAGCUAGACAUACUUGAAUUAGGAGCAACAAAAGAGAUAAAACCAGCCAUGGAAGCCGAACUGCUACUGCUCAGCCUUGCGUCUUGCGUCUGCAGCUCUGGCGGCCCCCUUCUCUCCAAAAGCCAAAAGCUUGCUUUUAUAUUACUCUUUAAAAUGGGCCCCACCGACCUUGUUAUUUCCUUAAGUCAAAAGGCUUGGCCUUUUAAUUUCUUUGCUCACUCACGUGCUCACCAAUUAAGCUUGCACUAGGAUUCCUUUUUCCAAUUGUAAAAGCCAAGUGUGGGCCCCUUUAAGUUGCUUUCCAUGCAUUACAAUGCUAUGCACGCCCAGGUCACUUGAAAAAUUGAAAUUCUUUUUUAGUGCAAAUUACUCUUGGCUUCACAUGCUAUAAACUCUUAAUUGUGUCACGGCUUUGAUUGAUUCUUUCCCAAACUUGUUAUUCUUUAUGCACUUUUUAUCCAUAAUCUCCAAUUAAUUCCCUAUUCAAUAAAAAAUACAAUUAAUUAAAAAUAAGAAAUAAAAAUAACUAGCAAAUAUAUAAUAAAGGGUAAAAUAUGUAUAUAAAUUAUGUUCAUCAGUAUUACUUCUGAUCAAGUGUGCGAAACAGAAACAACGGUAUUUAUUACAGAAAUAUUUCUAAUUUGCAGUAUGGAAAGCUUGGAGAUGUUAAAUCUAUCCCAAAAUAACCUGUCAGGUUCAAUUCUAAGUAAUUUUGAAGAAAUGCAUGGCUUGUCAUUGGUUUAUGCAUCUCCUACAUUGAAUUACAGGGCCCAAUUCCAGUUGACAGAUACACAGCCAGAAAAUAAAUAAACUCCGUAUGGACAAACUUGACACUCCCGCGGCCAGAUAUGUUCCAAAAUCUACUUAUAGCCAUAAUUUUGAUACAAAAGCCAAUGGAAUUAUUGACCCUUAUAAAUUAUGAAUUACAUCCUAAUCUAGUUGCUUAAUUUUGGAUAGAAAAUCUUGCUUUGAUCAUUAUACCGCUUAGAAAUAUCAAAUUGGGAUAAAAUUUUAUAUCACAGCUUUCUAAAUAAUUUACUUAUCAUUCAAAUAUAAAGUGGCCAGAGGACAUGCCGAGCGUCAAAAUGAAAGGAGAGAGGAGUAGUAGAUAAGAUACGGGUUAGAAGGAGUCAAAAUUUGAUAAACUUUUUUGGAUAUUAUCUCACAAGUCACAACUUUUUUUCCUUUUCCCCUGUUUGGAUCUCAGUGUUUAUAUAAAGCAAAGAUGAGCGAUGGUGUCUACCAGAUUAGUUCUCUGGAGUUUAGAUCACCGGGGUAACACAGACAUUGACUCCUUCACUUCUCAAUUGCUCUUUUGCUUCCGCUGUAAUUGUUUUCUGCAACGUUGUUAAAUUAUAAAUGAGUGUUUGAUAACCUUUUCAAUUUCAAUCAACUUUUGUAUUACCUUAAUUAUUUUGUUUCCUUUCUGCGUAAUUGAUCUUGUGUUUUUAUAAUAUCAAUGGUGUCACAAACCUUGAAUACAGCAUCUUUUACUGUUUUGUUGAUUCUAUUUUAUACGUGUUUGUAUUAGAAUUUUUACUUAUCAUUGAAAAACCCGGGGAUGAAAUCUCAUACGUACUAAUUAAUUAAAUUUAUUUCAUAAUAAUAAACUAAAUUAAUUUUUUUUAAUAAUUUGAUAACUUUACCUUAAAAGAAAAACUUUGAUAUGAAUUAUAACACUUACUAUGGCAUGAACAUGGACGCGUUUUUUCCCAAUCCAAAGCUUAUCCUAUGUUUGGCAAGGUUUUAUAUACUGGGAGAGGGAUAAAUAGAGAAAAACAUAUCCAUUGGAACCGUACCUUCAACAGGAUAAGUUGGGAAAAGCAAUCAAUAAUUUAACUAAUUAAUUAAAAUUAUUAAAAAAAAAGUUGAAGGUGGGACAAAAUCAAAUUUAUUUUUUAUCCUUUACCUCCCCAUGAUACUAUUCAGUCAGGGCCUAGAGACAAAUUAAAUUAAUUAUUACUAAGAUAACAAUAUUAUAGGUAAAUCAAUUUAUUCUAAUUCAAUUAUUUAAUGAUACAUAUAUUACAUAAAUUAAAAAAAUUAUAGAAAUUUUUAUUUAUAUUUAAUUAACUUCCAUUUACAUUGAUUCAAAUAAUAAGCAGUACCAAAUUUUUUUUUGUUAAUAAUAUAAAAUAUGUUAUUGGCAAUAAUAAAAGAAUGUAUUACAAAUAAUAAUACAUUUAAAUAUCUUGUAAUUUAGAUGUAUAUUUUUAUUAUUUAUUUCAUGUGGGAAUCCUCCUUGUUUUUCAGCUUCAAGUUCGUUUGAUUUAUUUACUUCCAUACUAGGCACAGUAUAUGGUGUUCUCAUCCUUUUACAAUGUAGUUCUGGUUGUAAUAACUAAUGAUUAGAAUUUUCCAGAUAAGUCCUCUUACCGUUUUUAAUCAUUAACUAACAAUUCAUAUUUUUAACGUUUAUUAAGAAUUUUAGGUUUGUCUAUAAAUAAAUGAAAGGAAUUAAUAAGAAAAUUAAAGAAGGAUGAACAAUUUUGGUAGAGUUAGGAUGUAAACGAAAAUAUAAACAAUUAAUUGUGGCAUUAAGUAUGAGAAAAACUCAAUCUAGACCACUCAUAUUUUGAUAUAUCAUUUGUCAUUAGAUCUUUAAAAGUCUAAUAAACUAAGGGUUACAAAUCCUUUUUUUUUUCUAACGUGCUCGAGUUCUACAGUACAUUGGAGAAGUCCUAAAAAAUUGAUCAAGGCAACCUGGCUACAAUUGAUAGAAAGGAAACGUUUAAAGUGGCUUGAUUAAUUUACAAGAACCCAGUUCGCGAGUCCAUGGUUUCUCUAGGAAGCCUCAGUCGGCUUGCGGUACCACAAUUAAUAGAAGCAUAAAAAAUAGCUUGAUGUAACAAAGAUUUGUGCGUUCUUUUAAAUUCAGCAUUUGAGUUCGUUAUGAUGAAGUUUCUGAGUUUCUUAAUCACCUAGAUAACAUCCUUUAUUGGCCGAGUCAAGUUGCUUCAGUGCCUAAUCCAUAUUAAUUCCUUGCAUUUUAAUGAAACAAGGAUAAAUCAAGUUCAACAAGGCAAAUCAUAUGCAUCCUCACUUCAGGAUUUUUUACCACUCGUAUUCUGAUAGAUCUUUAAAAGUCUAAUAAACUAAGGGUUACAAAUCCUUUUUUGUCUAACGUGCUCCUUUAAAUUCAGUAUAAAAGGUGCUGAUGGGCAGGUGUGUCAAAGCAGAGUGAUUUGUGAUUAUCACACCAGUGAUAUUUACUAGCUCUGAGUGAAAAGAUCAUCCUUGUAAUCUUGUUAAUCGUCUGCUUAAACAUACUGAAUAUUUGCCUUCCUUUUUCCUUCAGGGUAAUUACUAAAAGUUUUAUAGUCUUGGGCAUGAUUUUAUUGUCAAUGUAUAAAUUUAUUCUUUGCUUUUUACGCUUAAUUCCGCAUGAUUUCUCUCAAAUAAGCAAAUUAAUUCGCAAAUUCGCAAAUUAGUAUACCGGAAAUCUGGCUAGGAUCGAGAAAUAAAACUUAGUUUUGUUUGUUAAGCUGGUUCAUAUGAAUAUGAAAAGAUAUUGUAAUUCAACUUUUAAAGUCUCUUUAAUUUGUCUCGAACAUUUUAAUAACUUAAACAAAGUAUGUACAUUUGAUGACAAAAAAAGAAGGGUAUUGGAAAAGCCAACCCCAAAAUAUUUAGUCUUUCCGCUCUUUCUCUGGCAUAAUUUUCGAGGAGACAAAAUGCCCAGCUAACAAGUUAAUUUGAUCUGUUAGGAUCGAAAGAAACGUUAAUUAGUCAAUUCGUCCAUUAAUCUUGGUCACAAAUGUUUAUUCUAUGUUCUGGGACUACUUUCCAUGGACUUUAAUUGUAGUUCGAAGGAGAAUGGCUAUCAAUACAAAGAUUUUUUGAACAGAACCGCAUGCAACAAGUGAACCUUUUAUUUGGAAAACUCUUCCCUACUUGAUCAGGCUUUGACUCAUACGCCUCUCAAAUGCUUGUUUAGAAAAAGCUUGUGGGCACGAUCCCCAUACCCCUAGAAACACUCCACACCUUCAAAAUGCAAAAGGUAUAUGAGGAGGAAACGAUAGGAGAGCAAGGCAAAAAAAAAAAAAAAAACACUAAUUCAAAACAAAGUCAAUACCUUUACAAGAAUUCCACAUCUUUGCUAACUUAAGCAUCGGAGUGGAAUUCGGAAAUCUCAUUUUCCAAUUGUCCCAUUUCACAUUUUGGUUUAUUAUGUGCGCAAAUGACUUCCAUCUACCGCACUUGGUUCAGUUCACAUAGAAAAGAAAUAGGUAUUAACAAUCACAUAUAUUUUUUUAUUAUAUUUCCGAUAUGACUUUUCAUGUCCUUGCGUUGUAUAAAUUAAAAAAAAAAGGAGAAAGAGAGAGAGAAUUGAAGAAUCUUCCCGGAAAAACAUUAACGUCAAUUCAAUCCCAGAAAUUGUGCAAUUCACGGUAAGCUAAUCCGCCUUAACAAAGCUUGAAAACGUGCGUGCCGAGAAUUUUUAUUAUAAUUUUUUUAUUGCUAUUUAAAUUAGGUAGUUGCGAAUGCGAACUUGAAAAUGACAUAUGCAAUUUUAUGAGCUGGCAUUGAUUACAUUGUAAACCAUGCAUGCGAUCUUCACUGUCAGCCAUCAAUGAUAAUGGAGGUUCUUGUGUUGAGUUUUAUUACAGUCUCUGAUUCAUACAUAUAAAGCAUUUAGUGACAGAAUAAAUUCAAAGAAUUAGACUGUAAUUUUUUUAUAAAAAUUAAUUCGGUUCUCUUAUCUUGGGACCAUACCUUUUUAUCCUGAGCCACACUCUUACAAGGUGAAAUCAAUAGUUUUUAUAUCAUGAGUGACAUAGAAUUUGUUUCCCAACUUUUUACAUAUAUUAUUAAUUUAAAGAGAACUUUACAUGGCGUGAUUUAAUUCAUAUAAAACUGAGCUAACAUACUUUUUUUUUUUUUGCUAAAAUUUUUUUAGUAAUGACGUCUGAACUAACGAAAAUUUUCACUUACAUAUUCGAGUUCCAACAUAGUAUGCCAGUGAAAAAAAUAAAACGUCAUCUUACUGUUUAUUUGAUGAAAACCAAAUGUUUAAAGUGACUUGAUUUACAAGAACCCGAUUAGCGAGCCCAUGCUUUGCGUAGGUGCUUCAGGCCUCAGUAGCCCUGCGUUGUAAUAAUUAAUAGAAGCAUCAAAAAUAAAAUUUGUUUUGAUGUAACAAAGAUUUGUACUUACUAAAUUCAGCAUUUCAGUUCGUUAUGGUGAAGUUUCUGAGUUUCUUAAUCAAGUAAAAUAGCAUCCUUUAUUAGCCGAGUCAAGUAUAAAAUUAAGGUGCUGAUGGGCAGAUGCCAAAGCAGAGUGAUUUGAGAUUAUCACACCAGUGAUCUUUGCUAGCUCUGAGUGCAAAGAUAAUGUUUGUAAUCUUGUUAAUACUCUGUAUAAACAAUACUCUCUUCUGAAAUCCGUUGAUCAUAUUUGUCUUUCACCUUGCAGAACUUGCUCACACAAUGAAGAUUACUGCAUAUUUGUCAUUUCUUUUUUCCAAGGAAAUUAUUAUGACAGUAUUGAGAUUUGAAAUGAUUGUUUGCAAAUUUUAUAGUUUAAAAUUAAGUAUGGAUUUAUUAUCAUAGUAUGUUUAUUCUUUGCUUUAUGCUUAAUUCAUCUUGACUUGCUUACAGAUAAGUAAAUUAAUUUGAAAAUUAAGCUCGAAGUGUUGUAUCCAUUCUUCCAAUAUUAAUUACAAGCAUUCAAUAGGAUGCAACUGUUACAAGGUGCAAAUCAAAAUUAUGGUAACAAUGUUAGUAAAUUGGAAAGCUAGCUAGUCUCUACAAAUUCAAUAUAGUCUUGUCUAUUAAAUUGGUGGAUACGAAGGUGAAUAGAAAUUAUAAUUCAACAUUUAAAGUCUUUCUGUCUCACUCAUUUUAAUAUCUUAACAAUGUACAUUUGAUGACAAAAAAGAAGGGUAUAGAUAAGCCAACCCCAAAAUAUUUUGAAUUUCCAUUCUCUCUCUGGCGUAAUUUUCGGGGAAGCAAAUGCCCAGUGAACAAAAGUUUGAUCAAUCAAUGAUUGGAUCCAAAGAUACGUUAAUUAGUCAAGUCUUUCCAUUAAUUUUGAUCACAAAUGUUUAUCCUAUUUUGUGGGACGACUUGCCAUGGACUUUAAUUGUAGUUGGAAGGGGAGUGGCUAUCAAUACAAAGAUUUUUUUUCACGGAAUCAGAAUUGCGUGCAACAAGUGAACGUUUUGUUUGGUCAAUUUUAAAAUCGUAGAUGUCUUUUAAGACUUUUGCCUUAAGCAACGGGGAAAACUCUUCCCUACUUGAUCAGGCAUCGAUCAUACACCAGUUAAUUGCUCGUCUGGAUUCGAUAUAAUAUUGGUUCGUGUGAAAAAAAGCUACUCGUGGAUUCCACCUAAUAACUCCAAUAUUUUUUCCUGAAAUUAAAACCAUAAUCUUUAGCCUUUAACCAUUUAGACUUUGGGCACGGACGAACGGUGUGUUAUGUAGUUCAUAGUUGAAGUGAAAACGGUCUAAAUGUGGUGUGUGUGCGUGUUUAGAAAUGUACCUUUAGGUAGCGUUUGGUUUUAAGAAAGAGGAGGAGAGGAGGGAUAAAAAAUGGAGAGGAGUGGAGAGGUAAUGAGAGGAUAGGAGUGCAAAAAUUGAUAUUUAUUGUUUGGUUUAAAAAAAAAAAUUAAAAGGGAAAGGAAUUACAUGUUUUUUUAAUUUGGACAAGUAUACCCAUUGGAAUUUAGUGUUAAAAUGUUAAUAUUAGCAGUAAAUAUAAUAAAAAUAAUUAAACUAUAAGUUAAAUUAAUCUAUAAUAUAAACUAAUAAGAAAACAUUUGAGUUUAUAUUAUAUUUUUAAUUCAUUCAUUAUUAUUUUAUAAUCAAAAUAACUAACCAACAAGUAGUGGAUGGACGACUACAAGUCGUAUAUCGACGUAGAAGAACAUGACAUACGGCUCAAACGGUGAUUGAUUUACUGAACUGCAACCAAAGGAACCAUUUUUUGGAUAAUUUCAGAGCAAUAGUAUUCAGACUACUAUGUAAAAAACAUUCUAAUCUUGGAAAACUUUUCCACCUUAUGAAACAUUGGAAAAAUCUUCCCAACUUGACGCAUCGACUUGUUGACCUCUCAAUUGCUCUUGUGUGUGGCUUCUAUAAAUUUGGCGUCCAACGUGCUCGUUUUCUGCACCGUUGUAUGUUUUCCAAAAGCUAAGAGUCAUCAAAAGAUCUUUUGAAUUUCAAUAAAACUUCGGUUUAACUUUAUUUAUUUGAUUGUGUUUUUGGAAUAUCAAUGGGGUCACCAACCCUCAAUACAGUUGUUUCACUUGUUUUGUUGAUCCUAUUUUUUGUGUUAAGUUUCUUAAUAACUGUUUCUUCAGAAUCUAAUGAAGAAGCCGAUGCUCUUCUCAAAUGGAAAGCCAGCCUUCAAAUCCAUAACCGAUCUCUCCUUUCUUCUUGGAUUAAGGAUACCUCCAAUGUUUCAUCCAAAAUAAGCCCAUGUGCUUGGUCCGGAAUCAGUUGCAAUGAUGCCGGAAGAGUCAUCAAGAUCAGCCUCCCAGGUGUCGGAUUAAAAGGUAAGCUUCACGACUUCUCAUUCUCAUCGUUUCCUCAUGCUUAUCUUGAUCUCAGUAGGAGUGGACUCUUUGGUACUAUCCCGCCUCAAAUUAGCAACCUUACGAAUCUUAGCAACCUUUAUUUAACAUCCAAUCAAUUGUCAGGAAUAUUCCUCCAGAGGUUGGUCUUCUGAGUCAUUUGAAGUUCCUUUACGUUGAUUCGAACCAAUUAGAUGGCUCAAUUCCACCAGAAGUAGGUCAAUUAAGUUCUCUGGUGGAGCUUUUCUUGUUCUCUAACAACUUGAACGGUUCAGUUCCUCCUUUAGGUAAUUUGACACACAUCUCUUUAUUGUACAUUCGUGAAAAUUCAUUUUCUGGUUUUAUUCCUCCGGACAUUGGAAACUUGAAAUCUAUGUCCAUCCUAGAUUUGAGCAGUAAUCAAUUUAGUGGUCCAAUCCCUGUUUCUUUCGGUAAUUUGACCAACCUAAAAAACCUAGACCUCCUUUAUAACAACCUAUCCGGUUCCAUUCCACCCUCCCUCGACAAUCCUGUUUUAACUAUGCUAGGAUUGGAUUUCAAUCAUUUUACAAGUUAUUUACCGCACAAUAUUUGUCGAGGUGGAGCACUACAGUACUUUGGUGUUUCUGAAAACCAUUUUCAAGGAACAAUCCCUAAAAGCUUGAGAAAUUGCACAAGCUUAAUCCGAGUACGCCUUAAUGGAAACAACCUUACUGGAAAUAUAUCAGAAGCUUUGGGCAUUUAUCCUAACCUGACUUUCAUAGAUCUCAGCCGCAAUAAUUUUUACGGUGAAACUCAUCUAAUUGGGGGAAAUGCCCAAAAUUAGGCACUCUCAAUGUUUCGAUGAAUAACAUUACUGGAGGUAUACCGCGCGAGAUCAGAAACAUGUCUCAACUACAAGUACUCGAUCUUUCAUUGAAUCAUAUAGUUGGGGAGAUUCCAAAGGAACUUGGAAAGUUAAAUUCUCUAAGCAAGCUCAUUUUGAGAGGGAAUCAAUUGACAGGGCGUCUACCUACAGAAAUCGGCUCACUCAUUGAACUUGAAUACCUCGACUUUUCUGCUAAUAGGCUCAACAAUUCAGUCCCAGAAAUUCUCGGCAACUUGCUGAAAUUGCACUACUUGGGCUUAAGCAACAACCAGUUUGUCCAAGAAUUGCCAAAGGAAUUGGAGAAGCUAGUUCAACUUUCAGAAUUAGAUGCAAGUCAUAACCAUUUUGGAGGAGAGAUACCAUUUCAAAUAUGCAGUUUGAAAAGCUUGGAAAAGUUGAAUCUCUCCCACAAUAAUCUUUCUGGUUCGAUUCCAAAUUGCUUUGAUGGAAUGCACGGUCUAUCAGUCAUUGACAUUUCUGAUAAUCAAUUACAAGGCCCAGUUCCAAAUAGCACAGCAUUUCGGAAUGCCUCAGUGGAAGCGUUAGAGGGGAAUAAGGGAUUGUGUGGAGGUUUGAAAGGAAUGCAACCAUGCAAAGUUUUCUUGUCACACAAGCAAAAUUCUAGAGCCAAGUGGUUUGCAAUAGCGUUCCCUGUUUUAGGAGCACUAUUUCUUUCAAUGGCGUUGAUAGCAAUUUUUAUUCUUCGAAAGCGGAAGUCAGACUCAGGAGAUCGACAGAGUAGCAACCAGAACCCUCAUGGAUUGUUUUCUAUAUUGAAUUUUGAAGGGAAACUUGUGUACGAUGAAAUUGUUAGAGCAACAAAUGAUUUUGAUGCACAGUAUUGCAUUGGAAAUGGCGGACAUGGAAGUGUUUAUAGAGCUGAACUACCAUCUGGACAAGUCGUAGCUAUUAAGAAAUUUCACUCGCCACUUCCAUGUGACCAGAUUGCAGAUCAAAAAGAAUUCUUGACCGAAGUUGAGGCCUUGAAAAAUAUACGACAUCGAAACAUUGUGAAGUUUUAUGGAUUUUGCUCACAUGCCCGACACUCUUUUUUGGUCUAUGAAUUUCUUGAAAGGGGUAGCUUGGCUGCGAUCUUGAGCAGUGAUGCAGCAGCACAAGAACUGGGUUGGAGUCAGAGAAUGAAUGUGAUCAAAGGCGUAGCUGAUGCUUUGUCUUACUUGCACCAUGACUGCUUUCCUCCGAUUGUCCAUCGGGACAUAUCAAGUAAGAACUUGUUGCUGGAUUUGGAAUAUGAAGCUCAUGUUGCAGACUUUGGAAUUGCUAAGUUUCUGAAGCCAGACUCGUCCAACUGGACUGAAUUUGCUGGCACAUACGGAUACGUUGCACCAGGUAUUUUGUAUUCGUUUGUUACCAUUUUGAGGAGUCUGCGGUAACAGAACAAUGUAACUAGAUAUUGUUGAAAAAAUUAUGUAGUACAUUCAGUAGACUUGUAAAAGCUUACUAGUUUAUGCACAUUUAUCUGAGAAACAGAGUAAACAUUUUUUUUUUUUUUGGGUCCUUGACCUUGCAGAGCUUGCUUACACAAUGAAGAUCACAGAGAAAUGCGAUGUGUACAGUUUUGGAGUGUUAGUGUUGGAAGUAAUCAAAGGGAAGCAUCCAAGAGAUUUUCUUUCUUCGAUUUCAUAUUCAUCUCUCAACACGGAUAUAAAACUUGAUGAAAUGUUGGACCCGCGUCUUCCAGCUCCAUCACGCAGUGUUCAAGAAAAAUUGAUAUCAAUCGUAGAGGUUGCGUUUUCCUGCUUAAAUGAGAGUCCAGAGUCUAGGCCAACUAUGAAGAUAGUCAGUCAACAAUUAACCUCAGCUGCUUGACGGAGUCCUAAUUUUCUAAGUAUACUUCAAAUUUGCUUGCCUUAUUUUUCUCAUGUACUAUGGUUUGUUUGUUCUAGUUUUCAAGAAUUAGGAGGCGUUGGUUAUUACGUCAUCCAUAUAUAAUUCGCAUAUGGUGUACUCUUUCAUUUGUAAAUAAAGUUUGCUCAUACCUUAGAGGUUUAGUUAAAAGAACGCCUGGGGCAGUUGUGAGUAAAGUCAGUUUGUAAUAAUUAAAAAUAAUAAUUUCUUUCGACAUGCACAACAGGUGAACCCCUCAAAUGUAAACUUGAAAGUGUGUACCAUUGUAUCAAUUAAUGGGUGGCUCUUACUUAUUGGUAAUGUUAAAUUAAAUGUUAAAAGAAAGGAACAGACGGGGAAAAAAAAAAAUUGGGAUAAUUUAAAUGCAGUUGACACAAAGAGAAAUAAAGUAAAAUAAAAACUUUUUCUCGACAACGGCGCCAAAAACUUGACACAACUUAAAAGUAAUUUUUAACUCUCAAGUAUAAAAUUGUAUUGUUGUAUUAUAGCUCGGUGAGUCCGAGGUCGAUCUACAGAGAAAAUUUUUAAUUUUUAAUUUUAUUUUAUCUAAAAAUUGAAAAUGAAACUUAAAUAUAAACAACUUAAUUUAAAUAAAACUAUGAAAAUGAAUUAGUUAGGGUUGUGGAUCCACUCUUAGUAGCAAAUAAAACUUAAUAAAUUCUUUUUGCCAUUUUUUUAUAUUUAUUGCCCAAGAGAUUAAUUAUAUAAAUUAUUUUUAUUUUCCCUUUAAUUUUAUGAUGGAUUAAGUAUUUAUUGUGCCAAAAUUUAAUUUGUCUACAAUAAGUCAAAAUACCUUUUUACCAUGCCUUAUAUUAAGAUAUUAAGAAUUUAUUGUGCCAAACUCCUUUGUUUGUCUACAAUAAAUCAAAAUUUUAAAAUAUAAAAUAUGUAUAAAAUUAAAUAGAAAAUAAUUUAAUUUAUAAAAUUAAAAAUAGAAUUUGAUUAAAUCAUAUUUAUUUCCUAAGAGUUUCACCUUACCCUAACUAUUAUUAUUUAGUCAAGCAUAAUUGAAAUAAAAAGAAUUAUUAAAAUUAAAUUACUUAUAAUUAAAAUGAAUAAAAACAACUAAAAUGAAAAUAAAACUAAAUUUAUUUAUAAAAAUAAUUACAAAAAAUAUUAAAAACACUCAUGGAAAACAAGAUUACAAGAAGAUUAAGAGAAAUUAAGAAGAAGAGAGAUGUAGAGAGAUAUCAAAAACAUAAAACUGAGGCUCUAUUUAUAGAAAAAUAAAUUUAUGAUCCAGUAUUUCGCGGUCUAUCAUAAGCUUCAUGCAUACGCUCCUCACAACCAUUAGAUGAACAUCCAACGGCUAUUCAAACUUCAAAAGUCAACAUCACAUGUGGCAUCAUUUGAGACAUCGAUUCGGCCAAAGAAUGGCUGAGAUUUGGCGGGUUAAUGGGUGGAUUGAGUCAACCCGAAUACAAAGAUUUGAAUCCUACAACUUGUUUCACCAACCAUUGCCAUGUGGCAUAAUCGUAGCUAUUGAAUUAUGAACGAUUGAGAUUUAGUCAAAAUUACCAGCUAUCCCAAGUACUCAUAUCUAUUGUAAGCUCAUUUUAUCAUUCAUUCACUGCUCGAUUCACAGGAAAAGUCAACCUUUUUUUUACACAAGCCCAAUUUUAAGCCAAACUUGACUCAUCUUAAGGUUUUUGGAUCUCUGGAAUCCAAAUUUGACAUCUAUUUAUCUUUUUGGAGCCUUGAAUUACGUGAAAUUAAUAUUUUACCUAAUAAACACACAAAAAUACAUAAAUUAGAUAUAUUUAACACAUAAUUAAUAAUUCCUAAUAUAUUGUAUGAACACAAAUAUUAAUCAUACAUAAGCACAAAAUAACAUUAUUAUCGCUUGAUAAUUAAACAAUUUUUAAUACUAAUCAGCAGUCAUUGAAGGAACUUAUUGCUCUCACCAAUUGUCUUGAAUGCUCUAAUGGCUUACACUUUGUAGAAUCGCCAAUGUUGUGAUAACAACUUUGAUGGUUAAAGUUUGAUUGUGAAUCUCGGUUGAAUGAUUUAAUUUAUAUUUGAUUCUUAUACCAAGCGAACCUUUACCAAGUUAAUCUUUUUUCCGUAUGUUUAGUUUUGUUAUGUCAAAGUUAGUUGAUGUCCUAUAUUUGAUCAAUGUGGAUGGCUAAUCAAAAUUAAAGAAUCCUUGAACGAGAUUGAGGGCUCGACAGAGAUACGACAUCAGGGCAUUGUAAAACAUGGCUUACAUUCAAUUUUAGUUUAUGAAUUUCUUGAAAGGGGUAGCUUGGCCAUAAUAUUGAGCAAUAAUGCAGCCACAAAAGAGUUAAGUGGGCUGGAGUCAGAGAAUGAAUGGGAUAGAAGGCGUUGCCGAUGCCUUGUAAUAUUCGUUUGUUGCCAUUUUGAGGAAUAUUAUUAGGGGAUUGCCACUUUCCCAUUAUUAGGGGGUUGCUACUUUCCCCCUACAGUAAUUAACAUAUACAAUUUAUCCUCUUGCUGUUUUUAUAAUGACCAAAAACCCUCCUGACAGCAUAAGUUUACAAUAUUACCCUUAUUUUUAAUUACUCUUUUAUUUAUAUUUAUUAUAAAUUAAAUAAAUUACAUUAAUAGAAACUAAAUAAAAAAUUAAGUAUUGAAAAUAAAAAAUAUAUGUUUUGAUAUGAGCAAAAAAAUUAAUAAUAAAUUUUUUUCUUGUAAUUAUUUAUUUUGUGAACAUUUUCUUAUAAUAAACAUUUUGUAAUAAAUUUUUAUUUGUCAUUCAAAAUUUCUAAUAAUAAUUUUUUUAUCAUUUUAUAAUAACUUUCUUAUAUAUUUAUUAUAAGAAACUUUUCACAAAAUAAAUAAGUACAAAAAAAAAUUUAUUAUUAAUUUUUUUCUCAUAUCAAAACAUAUAUUUCUUGUUUUUAAUGCUUAAUUUUUUAUUUAGUUUCUAUUCAUGUGAUUUAUUUAAUUUAUAAACCUAAAUAUAAAUAAAAGAGUAAUUGAAAAUAAGGGUAAUAUUGUAAACUUAUUCUAUCAGGGGGGUUUUGGCCAUUAUAAAAACAAUAGGGGGGGAAAUGAUAUAUGUUGAUUACUGUAGGGGCAAAAUUGGUAAUCUCCCAAUAUUAUUAUGCAACACAUUCUAUAGAGAUAUAAAAGCUUACUAAUUUAUACGCAUUGAUCUUUAAAAAGAGAGUAAACAUUUUUUUUUUGUCCUUGACCUUGCAGAGCUUGCUUACACAAUCAAGAUCACAGAAAAAUACGACGUGUACAAUUUCGGAGUGUUAUUAUUGGAAGUGAUCAAGGGAAAAAUUUAAAUGCAAUAUAUAUAUAUUUAAAUGCAAAAUUAAUAUACAUACAUACAUACAUACUUACAUACAUACAUACAUACAUAUAAAUUAUUUUUUGAAGAAUAAAAUAAUUUGAAACAAUAUAUUUACAUAUAUUAUUUUUAUUGUUUACCCUCAACUUAUUAUUCUCCAAAAAAAAAUAGUAUAUGUAUAUGUAUUUUGCUUUUAAUUUUUAAAUUAAUUCUGAAGAGUUCUGAAAAAAUUUCUGAAUUAAUUUAAAAAUUAUGAUAAUUCCCUUACUUUUUCAAAUAAUUUUGCAUGUAAUUUUUAAUUAUUACCAUUUAAGAAAUUAUUUAAUUAAUUAAAUUAUUAAAGAUAUUCAUCUUCCAGACAUCAAAGAAACACCGAAGGUAAAAUACUAAGAUCCGCAAAACAGUUUGACUCUCAAGAAAAUUUGGAUAUAGUUUAAAAAUCAAGUGGGAGGAUUCGAUUAGUUUAGUCAAACAAGAGGGUUUAGCUAUUUUUUUCCAUUAAACAAGUGUCGAAUGCAUCUUUAUUUAUUAUUGAUACCAAGUGUCCGACUCAGACUGGAAGAAUGAAUCUGAAAUCGUCUUAAGGCAUGGAAGAAUCAAUGCAUAAUGUGUGUAUGGAAGAAAAAAAAAUAAUAAGGCAAGUGGUAACUGAAAUAAGGAUGAACUCACAUUAAACAUAUUCCAUGUGUUUCACGUUGCUAAAAAAAAGAACAACAUUUUCCACGUACGCCAUGUGCAGCAAUAAUCAUGCCUGUCUACACAGAAGCACAGUUCACGUUUGAACUUUUUCUUUUUUCUUUUUUCCCCAUUUCACAUACCAUAACCCCAUCCCAUCCUAUACGCAAAAAGAAAUUAAAGCUUCCACAUUGUGAGGGGAAUCGAUCUUAACUAAGCUAUGUGAGCUUAGAUGGAUUAUAAUUUUUACCAUUCAAUUGUGUGUUUUUUUCUGGAAUGAUUGAACAUCGAUGAUGAAAUAAGGUAUUAAAAAUCUAUCCAAGAUUAAAAAAAAAAAAUCCAAGAAACUGUGUGCUUUCUAUAGCAGAUAUAAGAUCCUUACAGGUGAUUCGGAUUAAAUUUUUUUCUUUUAAAAAAGGCCUAACAAAUUAAAUUUACAAAGUUUUAGUGAAUUAAUGAUUUUUAACAUUUUAGUAAAUUAACUUUGUGAAAAUUUUAAUUAUUCACAAAUGCCCUGUUUUUCUAGUAGUGAAUAAAAGCAUAAAAAAUAAAUAAAAAAAAGACCUAAUUCUAGUUUGUCCACUUCCGAAUUUUCUUCGUUUAUCUUCUUUGUGUUUUCACUAAGCUUUACUUGACGCCUUGACUCGUUUACUCCAAAUAGCCAACCCGAUUUCUGUCGUAUAGUUUCUAUAAAUUUAGUUCCCGAUUGUGCUUGUUUCAUGAACCAAUGUUCAUGUCGAUGCCAAUGGGGCCACUCACUCUGCAUACAGUAGUUUCUUCUCUUGUUUUCUUGAUCCUAUUCUUUGUGUCAAAUUUUUCUCUUCCUGUUUCUUCUAAUUCUAAUGAAGAAGCUGAUGCUCUUCUCAAAUGGAAAGCCAGCCUUCAAAACCAUAACCGAUCUCUCCUUUCUUCUUGGAUUAACGACGCCACCAAUGUUUCUUCCAAAAUAAGUGCUUGGUCUGGAAUCAACUGCAAUGAUGCUGGAAGAGUCAUCAACAUCAACCUCACAAAUACAGGCUUAAGCGGUACACUUCAUGAUUUCUCAUUCUCAUCGUUUCCUCAUCUUGCUUAUCUUGAUCUCAGGCUUAAUGAAUUAUUUGGUAUCAUCCCGCCUCAAAUCGGUAAUCUCUCCAAGCUCCAGUUACUUUCGCUACAUGCAAACAACUUUUCUGGAAGAAUACCGUCUGAAAUUUGCCUUCUAACUCACUUGAAAGUUCUUUUCUUGCACUCCAACAAUUUGAACGGCCCAAUCCCUCCUUCUUUAGGUAACCUGAACAACUUGGUUAAGUUGUUUCUUCUUAAUAAUUCACUUUCUGGUUCUAUUCCUCCAAAUAUUGGAAACUUGAGGUCACUUUUAGAACUAGAUUUGAGUAUAAAUCAACUUAGUGGUUCAAUACCUCCUUCUGUGGGUAACUUAAGUAGCAUGACUCGAUUGUAUCUUUAUGGUAAUUCAUUUUAUGGUUCCAUUCCACCAAAUGUAGGAAACUUGAAGUCCCUUUCUGAUUUACAGUUGAAUGACAAUCAACUCAUCGGUUAUAUUCCACGUUCCUUUAGUAAUCUAACCGGGUUAUCAAUUUUACGUUUGUCUAAAAACGAGCUUUUUGGUUCCAUUCCAGAUGAAAUAGGAAAGAUAAGGUCUCUUAGCAUUCUCGAUUUGAGCCAAAAUCAAUUUAAAGGGGUUCUUCCACCAUCUGUUAGUAAUUUGACCAACCUAAAACAACUAGACCUCCUUUAUAACAACCUAUCCGGUUCCAUUCCUCUCUCCCUCGACUAUCCUGUGUUAACUAUGCUAGUAUUGGAUGAGAACCAUUUCACUGGUUAUUUACCCCACAAUAUUUGCCGAGGCGGAGCACUACAAUAUUUUAGUGUUUCUGAAAACCAUUUUCAAGGAACAAUCCCUGAAAGCUUGAGAAAUUGCACGAGCUUAAUCCGAGUACGCCUUAAUGGAAACAACUUUACUGGAAAUAUAUCAGAAGCUUUGGGCAUUUAUCCUAACCUGACUUUCAUGGAUCUCAGCCGCAAUAAUUUUUACGGUGAAAUCUCAUCUAAUUGGGGGAAAUACCCAAAAUUAGGCACUCUCAAUGUUUCGAUGAAUAACAUUACUGGAGGUAUACCGCGUGAGAUUGGAAACUCGUCUCAACUACAAGCACUCGAUCUUUCAUUGAAUCAUAUAGUUGGGGAGAUUCCAAAGGAACUUGGGAAGUUAAAUUCUCUAACCAAACUCAUUUUGAGAGGGAAUCAACUUACAGGACGCCUGCCUACAGAAAUCGGCUCACUCAUUGAACUUGAAUACCUCGACUUUUCUGCUAAUAGGUUCAACAAUUCAGUCCCAGAAAUUCUGGGCAACUUGCUGAAAUUGCACUACUUGGGCUUAAGCAACAACCAGUUUGUCCAAGAAUUGCCAAAGGAAUUGGAGAAGCUAGUUCAACUUUCAGAAUUAGAUGCAAGUCAUAACCUUUUUGGAGGAGAGAUACCAUUUCAAAUAUGCAGUUUGAAAAGCUUGGAAAAGUUGAAUCUCUCCCACAAUAAUCUUUCUGGUUCGAUUCCAAAUUGCUUUGAUGGAAUGCACGGUCUAUCAGUCAUUGACAUUUCUGAUAAUCAAUUGCAAGGCCCAGUUCCAAAUAGUACAGCAUUUCGGAAUGCCCCAGUGGAAGCGUUAGAGGGGAAUAAGGGAUUGUGUGGAGGUUUGAAAGGAAUGCAACCAUGCAAAGUUUACUCGUCACACAAGCAAAAUUAUGGAGCCAAGUGGUUUGCAAUAGUGUUCCCUGUUUUAGGAGCACUAUUUGUUUCAAUGGCGUUGAUAGCAAUUUUCAUUCUUCGAAAGCGGAAGUCAGACUCAGGAGAUCCACAGAGUAGCAGCCAGAACCCUCCGGGAUUGUUUUCUAUUUUAAAUUUUGAAGGGAAACUUGUGUACGAUGAAAUUGUUAGAGCAACAAAUGAUUUUGAUGCAGAGUAUUGCAUUGGAAAUGGUGGACACGGAAGUGUUUAUAGAGCUGAACUACCAUCUGGGACAGUCGUAGCUGUUAAGAAAUUUCAAUCACCACUCCCAUGUGAUCAGAUUGCAUAUCAAAAAGAAUUCUUGACCGAAGUUGAGGCCUUGACAGAGAUACGACAUCGAAACAUUGUGAAGUUUUAUGGAUUUUGCUCACAUACCCGACACUCUUUUUUGGUCUAUGAAUUUCUUGAAAGGGGUAGCUUGGCAGCGAUCUUGAGCAGUGAUGCAGCAGCACAAGAACUGGGUUGGAGUCAGAGAAUGAAUGUGAUCAAAGGCGUAGCUGAUGCUCUGUCUUACUUGCACCAUGACUGCUUUCCUUCGAUUGUCCAUCGAGACAUAUCAAGUAAGAACUUGUUGCUGGAUUUGGAAUAUGAAGCUCAUGUUGCAGACUUUGGAGUCGCUAAGUUUCUAAAGCCAGACUCGUCCAACUGGACUGAAUUUGCAGGCACAUACGGAUACGUUGCACCAGGUAUUUAGUAUUCGUUUGUUACCAUUUUGAGUAAUAUUUUUAUGUUGUGUGUCGUAACAUAACAAUGUACCUAGAUAUUGUUGAAAAAAUUAUGUAGUACAUUCAGCAGACCUGUAAAAGCUUACUAGUUUAUGCACAUUUAUCUCAUAAACAGAGUAAACAUUUUUUUUUUGGGUCCUUGACCUUGCAGAGCUUGCUUACACAAUGAAGAUCACAGAGAAAUGCGAUGUGUACAGUUUUGGAGUGUUAGUGUUGGAAGUGAUCAAAGGGAAGCAUCCAAGAGAUUUUCUUUCUUCGAUUUCAUCUUCAUCUCUCAACACGGGUACAGCACUUGAUGAAAUGCUGGACCCGCGUCUUCCAGCUCCAUCAUGCAGUGUUCAAGAAAAACUGAGAUCAAUCGUGGAGGUUGCGUCUUCAUGCUUAAAUGAGAGUCCGAAGUCUAGACCAACUAUGAAGAUAGUCAGUCGACAAUUGCAGAUUUCAGCUGCCUUGACUGAGUCUUAAUUUUCUAAGUAUACUUCUAAUUUACCUGGUGUCUUUUUUUUUUUUUUUUCUUCUUUCUUCUAAUUUGCUUGGUUUAUUUUUCUCAUGUACUGUAGUUUGUUGGGUAAUUUUCGGAUACCUCCCUGAGGUUUACCCCUGCUACACUUAGAGAGAAAGUAUGAAUAUAUUAACAUAUAGCACCCCUGACGUAUAUAAGCGUUAGGGAGCCGUUUGGUUUGACUGAGUCAUAAUUUUCUAAGUAUACUUCUAAUUUACUUGGUGUCUUUUUUUUUUCUUUCUUCUAAUUUGCUUGGUUUAUUUUUCUCAUGUACUGCAGUUUGUUGGGUAAUUUUCGGAUACCUCCCCUGAGGUUUACCCCUGCUACACUUAGAGAGAAAGUAUAAAUAUAUUGACAUACAGUGCGUACCACUGUAUUAAUUAAUGGCUGGCUCUUACUUACCAAUAAUGUUAAAUUAAAUGUUAAAAGAAAGGAAUAGAUAUGGGGGAAAAAAUUAAAAAUUGAGGAUAUAUAAUUUACAAUGUAGUCCUAGUGAUUUAACCAAAAAUCAAAUAAAGCAAUAAUAAUUAGUUUUUUUUUUUGAAUGAUUUGUUUUAGCUUUGAGUAAACGAUUUGAAGGAACUUAUCGCUCUCACCAAUUGUCUUGAAUGCUCUAAUGGCUUAUACUUUGUAGAAUCGCCAAUGUUGUGAUAACAACUUUGAUGGUUAAAGUUUGAUUGUGAAUCUCGAUUGAAUGACUUAAUUUACAUUUGAUUCGUAUGCCGACCUCUACCAAGUUAAUCUUUUUUUCUGGAUGUUUAAUUUUGUUAUCUCAAAGUUAAUUAGCUGAUGUCCUAUAUUUGAUCAAUGUGGAUGGCGGAACAAAAUUAAAGAAUUCUUGAACGAAGUUGAGGCCUUUACAGAGAUACGACGUCAGAGCAUUGUAAAACAUGACUGACAUUCAAUUAUAGUUUAUGAAUUUCUUGAAAGGGGUAGCUUGGCCAUAAUCUUGAGCAAUAAUGCAGCCACAGGAUAAAAGGCGUUGUCGAUGCCUUGUAAUAUUCGUUUGUUGCCAUUUUGAGGAAUAUUAUCAUCCAACACAUUCUAUAGAGAUAUAAAAGCUUACUAAUUUAUACGCAUUGAUCUUUCAAAAGCGAGUAAACAUUUUUUUUUCUUUUUUAUUUGUCCUUGACCUUGUAGAGCUUGCUUACACAAUCAAGAUCACAUAAAAAUGAGGUGUACAGUUUCGGAGUGUUAGUAUUGGAAGUGAUCAAGGGAAAGCAUCCAAGAGAUCAGAUGUUUUUUUCCGCAGUUUCAGCUUCAUCUUCCAAUGCCGCUUGAUGAAAUGUUGGAUGUUCAGAGCAAGUUGAUCAUUACUGUUUGAAUUUUAAAUAUCUGCCUUCAUUUCUGCUGCACAAGUUAAUUAUACGCAUCAUGCUUAUGCAGGCCUUAAUUCGGAGCAAAAGAAUGUUAUUAGUUGACAGAAUGUGCAACUAGAGAAGGAUUUCAUCCACCAAUUCAUAGUUAAUUAGUCUCUCUUCAACACAAAAUAGAAAAUUUAGUUGACAGAUGGCCACAAAAGACUAGCUUCGUUUUUGCUAAAAAAAUAAAUAAAAUCUGCUUCUAUGGCCCCUGUAAACCAAUUCCUUCAAUGCCCCCAAUUUCAAAACUAUCAUUGAUAUAGAGCCAUUGAACCUGGGCUUCAUAUUCAACUUUUCAGCGUUCCAUUUCUUGCCUGAAGUUUUUGAGAGCUUGGACGCACUUAGGGUGCGUUUGGGAUUGAGGUGCUGUAGCUUUUAAGCUACAGCUGCUGUGAAAAAAAAGCUGUAAUUAUGAAAUAAAAGUUAAUAAUAUAUAGUAAAUAUAAAUUUUAAAUAAUAAUUUUAUCAAAAUUAUUAAAGAUAUAAUAAAUUUUAUAUUAUACAAGUGAAAAAUUAUAUCAACAUAGCUUAAAAGCUACAGCAGCUAGUGUUUACCAAACACUUUAGUGCUGUAGCUUUUAAGCUACAGCUGCCCAACCUCAAUCCCAAACGCACCCUUAGUCUUGACAGUACUACAUAACCCUCGCGAGAUAUGUCCCAAAAUCCCCUGGGCCAUAAUUUUGCUACAAAACCCGACAGAAUUAAUGAUCCUUAUUAAUUAUGAAUUACAUCGUCCUUUGGUUGCACAAUUUUGGAUAAAAAAAUUGGACCAGUUUCGGUGAUCGGCUGAGCUUGUGUGGACUAUUAAGCACUAAAUCAAUAGUUGAGAUUUGUCCAACAUGAGUUUCACGUGGAUCCCAAUCAACUCUUGACCAUAGAUUCUGUACCCUACACAACAUGCUUAUGGUUUAAAAAUAAAAUAAAUCAUGUUAAUGCUUUGAAUCAAUACUUAAUGCAUUGACAAUCAUUUUCUUUGUGCACCGACUUGUCGAUAAAGAAAGUUUAAUGGUCCAUCUAUUAGUUUACAUCUGCUUAAUUUGAUUGGAAUGAAACGAAAUUAAUAGUUUCUUUGUUUUAAAAAAUAAAUAACUAUAAUUUCUUGAAUAUUCGAUGAAUAAACAAAAGAAUUGUGAAUGAAGUUUUGUUUAGUAUUAAGGUAUUGUUAUCUUUAAAUCACAAUUAUCAUGAAAAAUAAAGGUAUAAUAAAAAAAAGAAAUUGAUAAUUUGUAAUAAAUAUAAUUUUUAAAUAAUAAUUUUGAUAAAAAUAAUAAAGAUACUGUAAUUUUUCUAUCAUUAAAAUAAAAUCAUUUCAACUUUCAAGUCAUAGUGAUGAUAGAAUUAUAAAUUUUUAUAUAAAUUUAUUUUAUAUAAAUAGCUGCGUCAUAAAUUAUUAGUUAGAUAAAAAUAUAAAAUAAUAAAAUAAACUAUGUGAAAGAAAAAAUAUUUAAUCUAAUUAAUUUAAUUAUGUCAUGUUAAUUUAUAUAAAAUAAAGUCUUCUAUUUAUGUUGGCGUAAACCAGCACCGAUACACACAGUAUUCUAUUUGCUUGAGUGCUCUAUCCAAUUUUUCCGUCCAAUAUGAUUACUCUUAAAAUAAAGGAAGCCAUGGACCCCACGAACGAGACAUCACGUGGGCCCACUAACCUUGAUGAUAACAUCUUUUUCAUGUAAAAAAAACACCCCCGCUUUACAACGACACCGUCUUUUCUUUGUCUUUCCUUUCGUUUUCGUCAGCCUCCACCAACACUUCAAUAGCCGCCCCAUUUUCUUACACUCCUAUCCAUUGUCCACGCGUCCGACCAUGAUUGCUUCUCCGGUUCUAAUCUCAAGAUUUUCGUCAAAUGGACGUACGAGAUGGGCCCCAUCUCUGCGCAGACCACACCGUCUACUCUCUUUGUGAAAGGAAAAUAAAACUAUUAAAAUCUCUAAAUCAUUCUAUCUUCUCGUGAUAAAUUGAAUUCAACUCUUUUUUUAAUCUUUUAUUUAUAAAUUGUAAAUAAAAAAAUCAAAAGCAUUCAACUGAAUAUUCCUUUUUAGAAAUUAUAAAAACAGAAUUAUACAGUGGUGAACUUCCUUGCACGAACAUGACCUUGAUUCAAUUUAUUGAAUAUACGUAUAUGUUACUUUAAUAUACUUUUUUCUUAUAGUUUACAAAAUGUAGUGCUUAUUUUCUUUCUUAUACCAAACAAUAGAUGUGUAUGUAGGUUGAAGCAAAUAUAAUUUUAUAAACUAACACUAUGUUGUAUCGUUUUUGGUAAAAUAUUUAAUGUUGACAUCUUAUGACAUUAUUAUUAAAUCUUCAAUAAAGAUUCUUCAUUGUAUUGAACAAUUUUCUAUAUAAUAUAAAUUAUGUAUUUUGUCAUAAUAGAAACUGUUAAGAAAGAUUGUCUCAACUUUAUAUUAAGAAUUUGUAUUCAUAAAUAUAUAAUAUGAUCUGAACCUUAAACAUUAAAAUUGUUUCAUAACUUAGUUAUCAAUAAAAGAUUUAACAAUUUUUUAAUUAUUGAUUGUAAAUAUUAGCACAUUAUAAUACAAUAUUAAAAUAACCUUAAAGUUAAUUUAUUAUUGUCACAUUAUAAAUCUAUAGAAUUAAUUUGAAUUAGUAAAAUUAUUAAGCCAAAGUUAGAAAGAUAUAUCAAAUUUGGCUAGAACUACCUAUUAAAGAAACAUAUACGUAUUAUAUAUGGAUACAUUAUGUGGCAAAAAAAUGAAAACUUUGGCUAGUCAACCAAUUAAUCAAACAAGGUCCCCUCAAUAUAAUGAGAACUUGACCUUUUGCUUUAUAUUAGCAACAAGUUGAGUGUUGUGUGACUUAAGAUUAAAAUAUUAAUUAAACUACAAAAUUAUAUCAUUUAAGAAAUUAUAUUUAGGUAUUUACUUAAUUAAAAUUUUAGUUAGCCACCGAGUGAUUUAGAUUUAGAAUUUUAGAUAAGACUCUAGUUGAUCUCUCAUGUGAGAAUGUUAAUUCACUAAGCAUCAUGUGGCAUUUUCUUUAAAGAUUUUUGAAUUGUUUGAUGGUUGUGAGAGUAAAAUUUAAAUUAAUAAAAAUAAAUAUAAUUAUCAUGUUAACGGGACCACAUCUUAGUCGCUAAUUCAUAUAAGAAUAUGAAUUCAAAUAUCACAUAAAUGAAAUUAAAAAAAAAUAGAUUUAUUAACAUCGCAGUUACAAGUUGACUUUAAAUUUUUAAUGAAUCUGUCAUUAUAUUUUUUUCGCUGAAUAAUCAUAUUAAUAUUUAAGUUAUUAGAUAAGGGUCCAACAUUAACAUUUGAAGUUUAUGCUUUAAUAAAUUGUGUAAAUUCGAUAACAAAAACAUUAAAUUCAAAAAAAAGUAAAAUUUACAUGUUGUUCAGCUAGUGAUGCAGCGGAAGUUUAAUGUUCAAAAUAUUCCGUUGAUUCUAGAGAAUACCGGAAUAAAAGAACAACUAAAUUCACGUUGAUUCAAAAGAAUACCGCGAACUUAGGGGUUAAGACUCGUUGAUUCAGAAUACCGAGAAUUAACUGUUCAAAUACUCACAAAGAGAUUUGAAAAUUGAAAUAUUAUUGAACUCAAAAUUCUACCUUCAAAGGCUACAAGAGGGAGCUAUUUAUAAUAGUAGUAAUUAUCCUAAUUCAUGAAGUAAAACAAAAUCUUAAAUUGAAAGGGAAACAAAAUUCUAAAUUAGAAAUGAAUUAAAAAGUCUUUAAACUUUAGUUAAUAAGGAAACUAAUCCUAGUAUAAUAUGGAUUCCUACUCUUCAUCAUUCCCCCCAGGGUAGAGAGAAUUCGCCCUCGAAUUCGGAGUGUCAGCAACCACAUCUUCAUCAUGGUCACCUCUAUAAGGAAUAAGAUGCUUGACAGUAAAUACAUCUGCGGUGCGGAUAUGACUAGGAAGCUUUAAUCUGUAGGCAUUAGGAUUUAUCUUCUCUAUAAUCUCCAAAGGGCCGAUUUUCCUGGCAGAAAGCUUGUUGUACUCACCAACCGAGAAUCUAUCUUUAGUUAGGACAGCCCAAACAAGAUCACCCACUUGAAAUUCCAAAACUCGACGUUUUUUGUCUGCCACAAUUUUAUAACCUUCGGUUGUCUGCUUCAAAGACUCUUGCGUAGUUUCAUGAAUUUUCUUAAGUUGCUCAAUAAAGUCUUCUGCUUUACUACUUUUGCGAACUAAAUCUGGAAUUGGAGCCAAGUCGAUGGGAGCUCGUGGAUUAUAUCCGUAAUUCACCUGAAAAUGGCUUAAACUAGUACUGCGCUUAACUGCACGGUUAUAAGCAAACUCGACUUGAUAUAACUUUUGAUCUCACAUCUUCAGGUUAUCGCCGACUAGACUACGUAGAUGGUUGCCUAAAGAACGAUUGACAACUUCGGUUUGACCAUCUGUUUGUGGGUGGUAGGCACUACUAAAAUUCAGGCGAGUGUUAGUUAACUUCCAUAAUGUCUUCCAAAAAUGGCUAAGAAAUCGUGUAUCCCGGUCAGAUACUAUAGAACUCGGUAAACCAUGCAAUCUAUAGACUUCCUUGAAGAAUAGACGAGCAACAGUCAAAGCGUCUGUAGUCUUUUUGCAGGCAAUGAAGUGAGCCAUUUUCGAGAAUCGAUCAACAACAACAAAUAUUGAAUCCAUACCCCUCUGAGUGCGGGGUAAUCCCAAAACAAAAUCCAUGCUAAUGUCAGCCCAAGGUUGUAUUGGAAUCGGCAGCGGCAUAUAUAACCUAGCAUUAGUUGCUGCGCCCUUGGAAACUUGACAAAUGCGACAAGUCUCGACAUAGUGAUAGACUUCACGCCUCAUAGUAGGCCAAAAAUAAGUGUUGCCGAUUAGAGCCAGAGUUUUGUCACGACCCAUGUGCCCUUCGUUAUGUAACUCUAAAAUAAUUUUCAAUCUCAAACUUGAGUCAGGAACACACAAUUGAUUACUCUUGAAAAGGAAUUCGUCAUGUAAAUGAUAAUCUGAGCGAAACCCUACAACAACGUCUUCUAAUAUAGGAGCAAAGUAAGGAUCAGAAGCAUAUAACUCUCAAAAUGUGUCAAAUCCGAGAACUUGAUUAUGCAUCUGUGUCAAUAAAGAAGUUCGUCGACUAAGUGCAUCUGCUGCCCGGUUGGAUUCACCAGAGGUAUGCUUCACCACAAAAGUAAAUUGUUGAAGGAAUGUUGUCCACGUGGCAUGUCUGUGAGAGAGCUUGUCUUGACUAUUGAGGUAUUUUAACGCGGCAUGGUCAGUGUAUAAAACAAAGUCUUUAUGAAUUAGAUAAUGUCGCCAAUGUUUUAACGCUUGGACUACUGCGUAAAAUUCCACGUCAUAAGUGUUGUAGUGUGCCUUUGCUCCAUUUAACUUCUCACUGAAAUAAGCUAUAGGCUUACCCUGUUGGCUAAGAACAGCUCCAAUGCCGACCUUAGAAGCAUCACAAUGUACCUCAAAAGUGAGCGAAAAAUCUGGUAGAGCAAGUACUGGGGCAGUAAUCAACUUUUCUUUGAUAAUCUUGAAUGCCUUAGUAGCUGCCUUUGUCCAAGAGAAUUGUCUUCCUUUCAUGCAAUCUGUGAUUGGUGCCAUAAUAGUACUGAAAUAAGGAAUGAAUCGCCUGUAAAAAGAGGCUAAUCCAUGGAAACUUCUGGUGGCGGAUAAAGUAGUUGGCUGAGGCCAAUCUCGAAUAGCAUCCACUUUUGAUUGGUCAAUAGAUAUACCAUCCUUCGACACCACAUAUCCAAAAAUAAUACUUUCUCUGUCAAGAAAAUACACUUGUUUACUGCUGUGUAUAAACUUGUUGCUCUUAAGGCUAAAAGCACUUCUCUCAAAUGUUGUAGAUGUAACUCGUGACUGGUGUUAUAUAUAAGUAUAUCAUCGAAGUAAACAACCACAAACUUUCCAAUGAAAGGGCGAAGAACUUGAUUCAUGACUCGCAUAAAAGUACUCGGAGCAUUGGAUAAGCCAAACGGCAUUACCAACCACUCUUAUAACCCUUCGCGAAUUUUAAAAGCUGUUUUCCAUUCAUCUCCAGGCCGUAUUCGAAUUUGAUGGUAGCCACUUUUCAAAUCAAGUUUGGUAAAAAUUGUUGCUCCACUGAGUUGAUCUAACAAGUCAUCUAAUCGAGGGAUUGGAAAACGAUAUCGAACUGUAAUUUUAUUGAUAGCUCGACUGUCCACGCACAUCCUCCAAGAACCAUCUUUUUUUGGAGUCAAUAAAGCAGGGAUUGCACAGGGACUAAGACUUUCACGGAUAAAUCUCUUUUCUAGUAACUCUUCCACUUGGCGCCUUAAUUCUUCAUGUUCUGUAGGACUCAUACGAUAAUGAGGUCGAUUUGGUAAUGUAGAACCUGGUACCAAAUCAAUUUGGUGUUGUAUAUCCCGAAGAGGUGGUAAACCCUGUGGUAGCUCAUUGGGGAACAAAUCUUGAAAUUCUGUCAGAAUAGGUGUCACAGCUUCAGGAAUCUUCGAAUCACUGUUACUCUAUUUUCCCAAUAAAAUGUAGACUCUCUUUGUCUCUGCUACAACAUCUAUAAAUUGUUUCUUGCCUAACAAAUAAUUACCCAAAUCUUGCUGGAGAGUAAACUCCUUGUUAGGUAGGAGAACGAUCUUGGUGUUGUUAAACAUAAAGUUGUAGGUGUUUCUCUUCCCAUCAUGCACUACGUUUCGAUCAUAUUGCCAAGGUCUACCCAGUAAUAGAUGACAAGCAUCCAUAGCCACAACAUCACACUAAAUUUUGUCUUUAUAAAUUGAACCAAUGGAUAAGGAAACUAAACAACGUUUUGAUACUGUCAUUUGAUUUCCCUUCUUCAGCCAUGUGAGCUUAUAUGAAGUUUGAUGAGGUUCUGUCUUUAAAUUUAGCUUUGUUAUGGCUUCUUCCGAAAUGACAUUCUCGCAAUUGCCUGAGUCUAUGACCAUACGACAUACUUUACCCCCAAUUGUGCAAGUAGUCUGAAAGAUAUUUUGUCGUAGCCACUUGUCUUUGUCUUGCCCUUUAGGAGUGAAGAAUGCACGGUUCACGAUCAACAUUGGUCCGCUAUCACCAUGUUCUUCAACAGAUUGAGCGCUACCACUACUAUCAAAAGUUGGCUCUACAGCGAACUCUUCAAUUUCUUCCUUCUGAUAGUCUUCGCUUUCCUCUGUGCCUACGAAUAAGCCUUUACCAUAUUUUCCUCCCUUUUUACAUUCUGUCAUUCGGUGCCCAUUUUCUCCGCAAUUAAAACAGCGUAAUCCCGAACCCGAGGAUUGAGUUUUGCUGCUUUGACCGAUUUCACUAGGUUUACUAGUUUUAUUUGGAGGAUUUGGAGGAGUGAAAUUACGAAAUUGGGAAGUCGGGUUUGAAUUAUCACAAACAACACUUCGAGCACCCUGAAAGCUUGAGUCAUUUGUACGUCGACUAAAUUGCUUCUCCAACUGCAAGGCUUGUUGGUGUGCCUCUGAAACAGAGUAUGGGUCAAAUAAAUUUAAUUGGUCUUGAAAUUGAGAUCGUAGGCCUCCAAUGUAGCAGGAAACCUGUUGUUCUUCUGUCUCUGUCAAGUCAUUGCGUGCCACCAACCAAUGAAAUUCUGUAGUGUAAUCAUCCACUGAUCGAUUACCUUGCCUUAAAUUCUGUAGCUGUUGGUAUAACAGUUUGGCGUAAUUAUGAGGAAAGAAUGCUCCACGCAAGUGCUUCUUGAACUUUUCCCAAGAAUCAAUCUUCUUUUUGCCUUGCCUAAUCCUUGUGAGCUUAGUUUGUUGCCACUAAGCUGCUGCUCUUCCACGAAAUCGAGUUGCAGCAAGCGAAACUAGUUUAUUUUCAGGAACUUCUUUGUAUUUGAAAACUUCCUCAAUGGCGUUAAUCCAAUCCAAUAAUUCUUCAGGUUGACCACUUCCUUGAAAUUCGGGAAUGUCAAUUCUCAACCCAGAUUCCCAUCUUCUGUCAUCAGUAGACUCAGUUCUAGGUCGACGCCCAAAGAAUGGGUUAGCAAAGCUUCCACUUGAUUUGUCUUCACGUUCUGGAGUACGAUGGUGUUCGUCAAGUAACUCUGUCAUUCGUGCCAUUUGUGCAGCUAGUAUAUCAAUUCUGGCUAUCAUACUAGCCAGGGCUUCAUCUUUAGAAACAUCUUCUUGAUUGUAAGUUGCAGUAUGAGCAUCACGAGCUUUUCUUGGAGGCAUCUUAUCAAAUUCGGGUUUAAAAAGGUAGUGGGGCUAAACUGAAAGUAAAUAAAAAUUUUAGGCCGAAACUGUAAUUAAGCAAAAGUUUUAGAUUUCUGAUGACGGUAGUCGGAAAUCGAGUAAGGAUGGGUGGAUCUGAAAGAUUUUGGGUUGGUAAGUAUGAUGGUGGUGGUGGUUUGUCCGAAAAAGUGGUGUUUUGGCCGGAAAUUGUAGAUAAAGCCGGCGGUUUUUGAGGGCUUCGGUUUCCGGUGGUUUGAGCGUCGAUCGGCGGUGAGGAAUGGUGGGAAAGGUUCAGUUGAUGGAGAGGAAUGGACUGAUGGUGAUACCGGGUUUUGGUUCUGAUACCAAAUUGAUGCAGCGGAAGUUUAAUGUUCAAAAUAUUCCGUUGAUUCUAGAGAAUACCGGAAUAAAAGAACAACUAAAUUCACGUUGAUUCAAAAGAAUAUCGUGAACUUAGGGGUUAAGACUCGUUGAUUCAGAAUACCGAGAAUUAAUUGUUCAAAUACUCACAAAGAGAUUUAAAAAUUGAAAUAUUAUUGAACUCAAAAUUCUACCUUCAAAUGCUACAAGAGGGAGCUAUUUAUAAUAGUAGUAAUUAUCCUAAUUCAUGAAAUAAAACAAAAUCCUAAAUUGAAAGGGAAACAAAAUUCUAAAUUAGAAAGGAAUUAAAAAGUCUUUAAACUUUAGUUAAUAAGGAAACUAAUCCUAGUAUAAUAUGGAUUCCUACUCUUCAUGAGCUAGUCUUGGAAUGACAGAGUACUUGUUCAAUACUUAUUACGACCAAAAUAAAAUUUUUUGAUUCGCCAUGUCUUUCAAAUUUGUAAUCAAAUGGCAGAUGUUUUAACUAAAUUUGUACUCUGUUGCUUUGAUUUUUAUGUUUGGCUCGAUCCCAGCCAAUUACUUUGUUAUUUUUUAUUGGUUAUUCGGAAAUAAAUGAAGUAUUAUUCAGAAAAAUAAUUACCUGCAAAAAUCGUACCCCAUUUUCAAUUAUUCGUAUCCAAAAUCUUACAAAAAGGUAAUAAUAUUCCGAAUUAAUUAAAAAAAAAUGAUGCAUAAGCAGGCAAGUCUACAAGAAACCGACCGAAAAGCGCAAAAGAAAAACAAAAGAAACACGUUCAUUCAAUUUAUCGCGAUACUAUAAAUGCUUAACAAAAUGUCAUAUCAAUUUCACCAUCAAAACUACGGUAAUUUCUUAUAUAGAUUAAAAAAAAUUAAAAGCAAAUAAAAACAAAAACAAAAAAGCAACAACUGUACUGCAACUUACCGCUCCCAAUUUUCCAAUGAAUAAAAUAAGAGUUAUUUUAAAAUACCUCUUCCGAGAUUUGAUAUAAUUUCAGUCGGAUGGUGAAAUUGAUUGUAUUCUCACUUAUCUUCUUUAUAGUUAUUAUACAUACACGUAUAAUGUUAGUAUUUGAAGGCAAAAAUAUAAAAGACAUGUUGAAAAUCUAAAAAAAAAAAGUAACAAUUAAAAAUGGUUUGAAAUUCAUUAGAUAAUUAUAUUAUCUAAUUACACUAAAUAUCAAUUGUGUAAAAGAGUGAAUUUUCUCUUUCUCCAGCACAAAAAAGUAAUGGAAAUGUCUUGCUCUCACAUCAAGAAUCAAAGCAUUUUCCACUCCACUCCCCUACUCUUAGUUGCUAGAACAAAAGCAAAUAAACACAAAGAGCAUAUAUAACCCAUGAAGAAGACAAGCAUGGGUGGUCGGAAAAGGCCACCGACCAGUGACGAUUGACGGCGAUCGGAAUAUGCCACUGGUAUUGGAGUUUGUAAGAGGUUAGUUACUUUAUCAAAGUCUAAAAUUUUUAAAUACCUUUAAUUUUCUUAUUUUUGGAGAUUUCAUAAGUAGUUGUUGAUUGGGUUUGAUUUUCUUGUUCAUUGGGUUGAUGGUGGAAAAAUUGAUUAAAAGGAGAAUGGGUUCAACAAUAUGUGGGCAUGAGUUGAAAAAAAAUUGUUAUUGGUUGUUUUUUGUUUGUGAUUUACACCAUAAAUAGUAUAAUAAAGUAUAUAAAGCCAAUAAUUUGUGAUUUUUAUGACAAAUAAGUAUGUAAAAUAGAAGUAGUCUUAGCUGUAAUUUUUAUUUUUUUUGGCCAAAGUUUGCUAAAGUUGAUCUGUUUAUAAAUUUGUAGUGUUUUUGUGCGCCCAACGCACAAACACAGUUUUUGUGUUUUUGAGAGACAGGGGCCUGUCCCCCGUGCGACAGACCCACGUUGCACGAACACAGUUUGUGUUUUUGGGCGACAACAUUGUCGCCUGUGUGACAGGCUUAUGUCAUCCGAAUUCAGUUUCUGUGUUUUUGGGCGACAAUGCUUGUCGUACAGGCGACAACCCCUGUCGCCCAAAAAACACAGUUUGUGCUUAAUAUUAAUUCAAAAUAAAAAUAGUAAACUGACACUCACACACACAUAAUUAAAACAUAUAUAUACAUUAUUAUUAUCACAAUUAUUAUUAAUAACUUUAUUAAAAUGUAUUACUAUUAUCAUUAUUUUUCUUUAUUAUUGUAAAUGUUGUUUUUGUUUUUUAGUAAUGUCAUUAUUAUUAUUAUUAUUAUUAUUAUUAUUAUUAUUAUUAUUAUUAUUAUUAUUAUUAUUAUUAUUAUUAUUAUUAUUAUUAUUCUUUUUCUUCUUCUUCUUCUUCUUAAUUAUUACUUUGUUUUCACUUAUUAAUGUCUGCAUAUUAAAAUAUGAUCGGGACGAAAUGCCAACUGAACCGUCUGUUGUUUCACUAGAACCUACAGCAGAAAUGGACUGAUUUGACUUAGCAAACGAGAAUAAGUUUGCUCUCCCUGAUUUGAAUGGUGAGGUUCACAUUGAGCAGGUGACAACAAUAGAAGCUUCUCUUGAGAGGAUGCCAGCAAAUGACGAUGGAGAUCGCUAUGCGGAUGAACCUACAGAAAAGGAUAUUGAAAAUGAUUUGCCUCACGCUGAUAGCGAAUGAGAAUUUAAUGAAGUUGUUGGCGCUGCGCUUGAAUUUUUGUAUAUUCUGUAUAAAUGUGAUACUAACGAACUCACAUUAUAGUGACAAUGCCAUGUAUAAAGUAUAACUCAACUAUCACAGUAUAUUGUUAGUGUAGUUGAUCUUUUUGUUCUUUUUGUGUAUAUGAGUGAUUGUUGGAUGUAUAGGUUGAUGAAAUUCAGUCAAUUUGUGACUAUCACCAACUGUAAGCUGCGGAAAUGCACAUGUCGCCGUAAUUUAAAUUAUGAUGUCGUUCUACUUAGUGUUAUUUUCUAAUUCAAUUAACUCAUACUAAUGUUUUUUUUUCCUUUUGGUACAAAUUUAAAUGUUUGUUAUUUGUGUUGUUGGUUUGGUGAUAUACAACUUGAUGGUUUGGAAUUUACUUAUUUCUUUAAACAACUAAAAUACUACUGGGUUAGUGGUGAUGGAAUCCUUUAAUGUAUUUUGGAGACUGGUAUAGUCUGUUGCUGAGAAAACUAAAUUAUAUUUUAGUGGUUUUGAUUUCACGCGACAGUUUCUGUCUCCCAAGAGACGAGCAUUCGUCACUCAAAAUUAGUUAAACAAGUUUUAUGUAAUUUGGUGAGACAGCCACCUGUCUCCCGGGAGAUGAGCAUUUGUCACUUAAAAUUACAGAAACAAGCUUUCUGUAAUUUGGGGAGACAGACACCUAUCGCCCAGGAGACAGUGCCUGUCACUUAAAAAGUAGGCGCGAUUGCGAUAGACCCUGUUGCGUGCGCGAUUUUACAGAAAUCCAAAAUAGCCUCUUAAGCUUGUUGUCGCAAACUUUUUGUGCUAGAUGAUGAGCUUACAAAACAGGACUUUGCAUGAAUGCACCAUCAACACCUUAAUCUACCUAAAAUGAGACAAAAAAACCCUAAUAGAUAUUUUGUCGAGCACCUUAUAUGCCAUUUAUUAACUACCAAUUUCAUUAAAUCAUUUUUAAUAUUUACUCGACAAUCAAUCCUAAUGCUCAUUUAUAAUCAUCUAUACACUCAUAUGUCAUCAAUAAAUCUUAGUAUAUGUUACUUUAAUUCAACUGAUAUUCCUGUUGAGAAAUUAUAAAAACAAAAAUUAUACGGUAGCCAACUUCCUUGCAUGAACAUGACCUUGAUUCAAUUUAUUGAAUAUACGUAUAUGUUACUUUAAUAUACUUUUUUUUUUAUAGUUUACAAAAUGUAGUGCUUAUUUUCUUUUGUAUACCAAAUAAUAGAUGUGUAUGUAGGUUGAAGCAAAUAUAAUUUUAUAAACUAACACUAUGUUGCAUCGUAUUUGGUAAAAUAUUUAAUGUUGACAUCUUAUGACAUUAUUAUUAAAUCUUCAAAAAAGAUUCUUCAUUGUAUUAAACAAUUUUCUAUAUAAUAUAAAUUAUGUAUUUCGUCAUAAUGGAAGCUGUUAAGAAAGAUUGUCUCAACUUUAUAUUAAGAAUUUGUAUUCAUAGCUAUAUAAUAUGAUCUAAACCUUAAACAUUAAAAUUGUUUCAUAACUUAGUUAUCAAUAAAAGAUUUAACAAUUUUUUAAUUAUAAAUCAUAAAUAUUAGCACAUUAUAAUACAAUAUUAAAAUAAACCUUAAAGUUAAUUUAUUAUCGUCACAUUAUAAAUCUAUAGAAUUAAUUUGAAUUAGUAAAAUUAUUAAGCCAAAGUUAGAAAGAUAUAUCAAAAUUGGCUGGAACUGCCUAUUAAAGUAACAUAUAUGUAUUUUAUAUGGAUACAUUAUGUAGCAAAAAAAAUGAAGAUUUUUGUAACAAACUUGGCAAAUAUCUAAAUUGCUAUGUUGAUACUAAAUAAUUAAUCGCUUUAAGAAUCCAUUUACUUUUGGUGUAAAUCAAAAGGAAGACGAUAGAUUCACGGAACUUCUGCCUCAAAAAAGCAAACGAUCCAAAUUGGAUAAAUAGUCAAUCAAUUAAUCAAACAAAGUCGUCUAAAUAUAAUGAGAACUUGACCUUUUGCUUUAUCUCAGCAACAAGUUGAGUGUUGUGUGACUUAAAAUUAAAAUAUUAAUCAAACUACAAAAUUAUAUCAUUUAAGAAAUUAUAUUUAGGUAUUUAUUUAAUUAAAGUUUUAGUUAGUCACCGAGUGACUCUUAAGUGAGAAUGUUAAUUCCUUGAGCAUCAUGUGACACUUUCUUUAAAGAUUUUUGAAUUGUUUGAUGGUUGUGAGAGUAAAAUUUAAAAUAAUAAAAAUAAAUGUAAUUAUCAUGUUAAUGGGACCACAUUUUAAUCAUUAACUCAUAUAAGAAUAUGAAUUCAAAUAUCAUGUGAAUGAAAUUUGGAAAAAAAAAAUAGAUUUGUUAACAUCACAGUUACAAGUUGACUUUAAAUUUUUAACGGGUCCAGCUACUAUACCCAUGAGGUUUGGUACCCCAUUCUUUUGUCUUUUUCAAAUCCAUCGUUGGAUUUAACUUGAGAGUUGUAUAAUGGUUAGAUGUGAUUAUUGGGUCAUUAACAUUAAAAACCCUUGUUGUUCAUGCAAAAUAAGAAAAAUCAAAAGUUUUAUAAUUAUGACAUAUAAGUCCACAAUAUUUAUUUUUUUACUCUAUUGAACUAGGUUUUCAAUUAAAUGACUUAUUCUUACAUUUAUUAAUAUCUAUUUAAAUUAAUAAAUUUACUUAUUAAUUAAUUAAUUAAUUAAUAUAUUAACUAAUUUAUUACAUAGUUAAACUAUGUAAAUUAUUUACUAACCAUAAUUGAUGAUAAAUAUAAAUAUGAUUUUUUUUUUUUAAUUUAACACGGCAACCAAUUUCCUUUCACCCGUGUGAGCAGAGUUCAAACCCCAUAUCUUUUUCUUUUUUUUUCUCAAACAAGAGAUUUUAUAUGUAAAGUAGAUGGAAUACACAAAAUACGAAAAUAAAUUUAAUUUCAUAUUCUAUGUAGGUAAUGUUUUGUUAUUUUUUUAUAACAUAAUAUUUAAUUAACAUACUAAAUUAUUUAAUUAUGUAGUAAAAAUAUUUUAAUUUACUAAUAAUAAUAAAGUGUUGUUUAUGAAUUUGUAAAAUCAUUUUUGUUUGUUUGAGCAAUGAGUUUUGUAUUUUUGAUUGAAUUUUUUUCCUAAAAUAAAAGGAGUAAAUUUAAUUGUAUACUUAAAUAAAUUUAAUUGAGUUUUUGUCCUGAAAAUCGUGGCUUCCAUAAGCAUUAAUGCAAUUAAAAAUUUGUAGGGGUAGGACUAAUAUGUGAAAAUUUAAAACUUUUUAACUUUUUUGUUUUUAGAAUAAAUUACAGGACUCUAUUAUAAUUGACCUUAAGAAAAAGACAAAAAGGUGUACCAAACCCUAGUUGCAAAGUAGUUUUGCCCCCAACAUUAACAUUUGAAGUUUAUGCUUUAAUAAAAUUGUGUAAAUUCGAUAACAAAAACAUUAAAUUCAAAUAAAAGUAAAAUUUACAUGUUGUUCAGCUAGUCUUGGAAUGAUAGAGUACUGGUAUAGAAUUAUGAUGUUCAAUACUUAUUACGACCAAAAUAAAUUUUUUUGAUUCGCCAUGUCUUUCAGAUUUGUAAUCAAAUGGCAGAUGUUUUAUCAAAAUUUGUAUUCUGAUGCUUUGAUUUUUAUGUUUGGCUAGAUCCCAGGCAAUUACUUUGUUAUUUUUUAUUGGUUAUUUGGAAAUAAAUGAAGUCUAUUAUUCAGGAAAAUAAUUACCUGCAAAAAUCGUACUCCAUUUUCAAUUAUUCGUAUCCAAAAUCUUACAAAAAGGUAAAAUAUUCUGAAGUAAUUAAAAAACGACACGUAAGCAGACAAGUCCACACGAAACCUACCUAAAAGCGCAAAACAAAAAAUAGAAAGAAAAAGAAACACGUUCAUUUAAUUUAUCGCGAUACGAUAAAUGCUUAACAAAAUGUCAUAUCAAUUUCACCAUCAAAACUACGGUAUUUUCUUAUAUAUAUUAAAGAUUUUUUUUUAAAGCAAAUAAAAACAAAAAAAAAAGCAACAAUUUCCCAAUGAAUAAAAUAAAUAUAAAGGACUCGUGCAUGCCUACCAUUUCCCUCCUGUUUUUGUCACCCGCCUCCUCCUCAUCUCGCCACCUGUUUCCCCCACUACACCCCCCAAAACGUCACCGUUUCAUUCUCACUCCUUCCUCACACCCCUCCUUUUCCCCACAUUCCUUCGUUUCAUAUCAACUCAAAAAUUCAUUCUUUCAACAUUAAUAAUAAUAAUUUUAUUGAAAUAAAUCAAUCAAAAAGGUAACCCCAAAUAUCUCCUCCAGCUUUUUGCUGCUUCUUAAUUUUGAUCGACUAUGACGAUGUACUAAAGCUUCAAUUUUUUUCGGUUUUUUCAGUCAACGCUUUUGCUUCAAGAUUUCGUUUUACCUUCCUUGAAAAUUAAAGCUCACCUAAUUGAUACGAUUAAAGUUCUUUUUUUAGCUGAAGAUUGAUACAAUUUUCACUUCAUUUUUUUUCUUAACUUUGUAUCCGGAUUUGCUACUUUUGUUUAAAGUUUUUUAUUUUUUUAUAUUUUUCUGUGGAGCUAAGCAUGACUUUGGUUACAGCUUUAUAUUAUUUUAACAUAUAAUUAGACUAAUUUAUUUAUUUGUGGAUUUAUUAUUUUUUAAAUAUGGUUUGAGACUUCUGAUGUUUCAAUAUUUAUUGCACACGUGUAGUGCAGUGGCUUUAAUGAAUGUGGUAUUGUAAAGUUUAAAGCUUUUUGCAUGUGAAUGAGUUGGUGUGUACUCUUCCAUUGAUGUUUAGAUUCAUGUAUGUGGUGAUCUCUGAUCUGGGUACACGUUAGAUUUUAAUUUUAUGGCAUGGUUCAUUUGACCAAAUUUUAUUGUUACUUGAACUGAUGAACACGAAUUUUGAAGUGAAUACGUGUGUUUGAUUGACUGGAUUUUGUAAGAUUCCUUUGUAGAAGUAUUUUAAUCCCACGAAGAGUAUGAUUCAGCAAAUAGCUUUGGGAAUGGUAUUGAUUCUAUUCUUGCUUGUUUAUUCAUAUAAUAACUUUGAUGCAACCUUCAGAUUCCUUUUGAACCAUGUAGUUAUAUAUUUGGAUUAGUUUAUAGCAUAUCAACUGUUGAUUGUUGCAUUUAGAUGUUUUUUGUUACUUCCGCUCUUGAUUGCUUAUUAUAUGUCAGUUAAAGAGCAAACAUUAUACAAGUUCUUGAUUGAUUAGUGCUCUUUCGUAUAACGGGUUCGUGACUGAUGUUCACUUUCUUAUUUGACUUUGUUUAUGCAGUUCUUGUAGCGAGAUUGUGUAAUUUGAAUAUUCAGAUACUUCCGUAGCUGAUGGCUUCGCCAGAUAUUGAGCCUCCCUGGAUUUGUGCCGCUGGCGAAUCCUUCUGUGGGUCAUUUAAUAUACGCGUGGAGGAGGGGAAUGCAGCCGAUUUUUUACAUGUGCUGGAAGUUCCCACCUCUUCUGUACCCUAUAACUGUAGUAUACCCAAGCCACCCCCUCUCCCAUGUCUAUUAACUCACCAGUAUACCGGAAUGAGCUGGGAUACAGGACUUACGCAACGAAGAUCACAGAAAAACCCGACGUGUACAGUUUCGGAGUGUUACACUGGAAGUGAUCAAGGGGAUACAAGAGAUUUUCUUUCCUCAGUUUCGUCUUCAUCUUCCAACAUGAACAUGCACGAGUAGCUGCUCUGCUAUAUCUAUUGGUUGCCUUCAUUACUCAUUGUUGCACAAGCUAAUCGUACACAUCAUGCUAUGUACGCCUCAAUUCGGAACAAAAGAAUGCUAGUUGAAGACACACAACUCAAAAAAGAAAAAUUUAGUUCGCAGAUGGCCACAAAAGACUAGCUACGUUUUUGUCCAAAAAAAAAAAACAAAAGAAAUAAACUGUAGUUCCAUGACCCACUUUCAAAACUAUCAUUGAUAUAGAACCAUUAGUUCCAUCUCUCGCCUAAAGCUUCGGGAGAUAUGGUAAAAAAUCUCCUUAUCGCCAUAGUUUUGCUACAAAAGCCAAUAGAAUUAAUGAUCCUUAUAAAUUAUGAAUUACAUCCUAAUCUAGUUGCAUUAUUUUGGAUUUAAAAAAAAAUCUUGCUUUGAUCAUCAUACCGAUUGGAAAUAUCAAAUUCUAAGGCUCGUCAUUAAUUGGGACAAAAUUUUAAUUACAUCUCAACUUUGUAAAUAGAAGUACUUAUCAUUGAAAUAUAAUUAAAGUAGCAAGAGGCCGUUUGAAGUGUAAAAUGAAAAGGAGAGAGAAGGGUAGCUAUAGAUGGAUAAGAUAUGGGUCAGAAGGAGUCAAAAUUUGAUAAAACCUUUUGGGAUUGUAUCUAACAACAUUUUUUUUCCCGGUUGGAUCUCAGUGUUUAUACAAAAGCAAAGAUUUGGAUGACUAAAAUGUGACGCUAUACUUAUAAAGUAGAGAUAUAGAGUUUAUCACCAGUGUAACAUAUACAUGGUCUUUACACAAUUCACCAUGUGACAGAUGAUAAGGUAAAUUAUCAAUUAAAAACAUGACAGUUUGUAGUAAUGUUAGAUCAUAUGAUAUGCUUAUUGAGUUAAUGGUCAUGUUCGGUCCAAUUGAAUAAGUCUAAAGUAUUAGUAAAGUUGAAUAAGUCUAAUUUAGUUGAGAUAUUAUCAACUUAGUUUGUCAAGUAUCCAGUUCCUGAUUUGUUGGGAUUAUUUUGUUUCAUUCCUGUUUAUGUGUUUGUCUGGCUUGUAUAAAUAAGCCAUUGUUGAAUGAUGAAGGCAUGAAUCAUUUUAUCAAAGAAAUACUUGUGUUACAUCUUGGAGGGAUUGGCUUCCUCGAAUUAGCCAACUGUUAACGUUACCAAGUGCAAGGGCAAGAUAGGAAGAGACAAGCAGAAUAAAAAUAGCUUGCCUGUAUCAUCAUAUGUCACACUAGUUGAGAUUGAAAUUAAAAAUUAAGAAGUCCUAUACUCAAAGUGGUUCUAACACAUUGUAGAUGCAAUUCAAUGCUUGAAUGGAUAUUUGCGAGGGAAUAUGAUCCUCUCCUAAUAUGAGCACUACUAAGCUUUUAAACAAUGUAAGAACUUGUUUUCUCCAGAUUAAGAAAUUAGAUCGAUCUAGUUUUAUUGGAUUACUAAAUGAGAAUGAGAUCUGUGAGGAUUGAUUUGCAUUUGUUGAAUUUGAAAGUGUUGUUGUGUUGCUGGAACUAGCCAUACUGGCUCUGAUACCAUGAAAGAAAUUAAGAAAAUUGUUGUUUGGUUGCUGAGAAAAUAUCUCAGAAAAUUUCCAGAGAACUUCCAGAAUACCUGUAUUUAUUUUUCUUAAAUGGAAAUGUUAUAAUUACAACUUAUUUAUACUUGAUGCUUAAGCAUUACUAGAGCUAAUGAUUAACUGAUUCAGAAGAAUCUACACAUGCUCAACUACAGCUCGAUAUACAGAGUAAACAUAACAAACUCUCAACUACUUGAGCUGAGGUGGCAGCUGAGCUGUCAUUCUGCUCAUACUCAUCUGACGCCACCAGCUUGCUGGUUUUCCUUAGCUUGAGCACCUUCCUCUUUUCUGCACAGUGAGCUUCUCUAACAGUUACCAAGUCCAAGUGGUUCUAACACAUUGUAGAUGCAAUUCAAUGCUUGAAUGGAUAUUUAUGAGGGAAUAUGAUCUUCUCCUUAUUUGAACUCUACUAAGCUUUUAAACAAGGUUUACUCGACAUCGAAACAUUGUGAAGUUUUAUGGAUUUUGCUCACAUGCCCGACACUCUUUUAUGGUCUAUGAAUUUCUUGAAAGGGGUAGCCCAUGUCUUACUUGCACCAUGACUGCUUUCCUCCGAUUGUCCAUCGAGACAUAUCAAGUAAGAACUUGUUGCUGGAUUUGGAAUAUGAAGCUCAUGUUGCAGACUUUGGAAUUGCUAAGUUUCUGAAGCCGGACUCGUCCAACCGGUCUGAAUUCGCAGGCACAUACGGACACGUUGCACCAGGUAUUUAGUAUUCGCUUGUUGCCAAUUUGAGGAAUAUUUUUAUGUUAUGGGUGUGGUAUCAGGACAAUGUACCUAGAUAUUGUUGAAAAAAAUUAUGUAGUACAUUCAGUAGACUAGUUUAUGCACAUUUAUCUUAGAAACAGAGUUUGCUUACACAAUGAAGAUCACAGAGAAAUGCGAUGUGUACAGUUUUGGAGUGUUAGUGUUGGAAGUGAUCAAAGGGAAGCAUCCAAGAGAUUUUCUUUCUUCGAUUUCAUCUUCAUCUCUCAACACGGAUACAGCACUUGAUGAAAUGUUUGACCCGCGUCUUCCAGCUCCAUCAUGCAGUGUUCAAGAAAAACUGAGAUCAAUCGUGGAGGUUGCGUUUUCAUGCUUAGAUGGGAAUCCAGAAUCGUGACCAACCACGCAGACAGUCAGUCAAUUACGAAUAAUCUAAUAAUUACGAACAAUCCCAAGGGGUUGGAGACUAAGAUUUAAGGUGAACUGCCACGGAGGAGUCAGAAUCAAUCACUAAAAUAAUUGCCAUAACCUCAGCAUAGUAAUAAUUAAAAAAUAAUUUCUUGCGCAUGUACAAAGAGGUGAACCCCUCGAAUGUAAACUUGAAAGUGUUCACAACUGGAUUAAUUAAUGGACAAUUCAUAGUUAUUGUUAAUGUUAAAAGAAAGGAAUAGAUUGGGGAAAAAAAAUUAAGGAUAAUUCACAAUUAAUGUAGUCCUUGUGAUUUAAGGAAAAAUCAAGUAAGCCAGUAAUAAUUAGUACUAUUUUUCAAAUAAGUCCUCUGACCGUGUUUGACCAUUCACCGUACUGCAAAGUAAGCGAAAAAAUCGACUUCUUAGCAGCCCACUUCUAUGAUGCGAUUAAUUUCAUCCAUUCGCUGAUUCGCGUGCUGGUAGUUAGGCAAGUUUAUUUGUUGGCUGGAGAAAUUUGAUGAUUUCGGUACCAAAUAUAUACAUAUGUGUGUGUGUGUGUUUUUCCUUUAAUUUGUGAAUUUGGUAUUACUUCUGAUCAGGUGUGCGAAACAGAAACAACGGCAUUUAUUACAGAAUAUUUCUAAUUUGCAGUAUGGAAAGCUUGGAGAUGCUAAAUCUCUCCCAAAAUAACCUGUCAGGUUCAAUUCUAAGUAAUUUUGAAGAAAUGCAUGGCUUGUCGUUGGUUGAUGCAUCUCCUACAUUGAAUUACAGGGCCCAAUUCCAGUUGUAUAUUUAAUAACCAAUUUUAUUUAAACUUUAAACUUGUAUAUUUAACAAUUCUCCACAUGUCAAUCAUUUAAACUUGUACAUUUAUAACCAAUUUUCUAUGUUAUUUAUUAUGGUAUUAAUAACCAAUUUUAUUUUUAAAAUUAUAAUUAUUUACAAUUUUUUUUAUGUGUAGAUGUCUUUUUUAAAAAUUGGUUAUUGAUAAAAAUUUAAAUAGAGGAAUGAGACAAUGAUGAUAUAUUUAUAAUUUUAUUAACAAUAUAUGGACAAAUUGGAUAAUCUAAUAAUUUUUUUCAUAUGUUAGAAGGGUAUAAUGGUAAUUACAUACUAAAUUAUAAUUAAUGGGGAUGUAAAUAAUUUUUUUGAAAUAUUAGGGGGUUUUUGUCAUUUUGCCUAAACGUUAAGGGUACGUUUGUCCUUUUCCCUGUAUAAAGCAAAGAUUCGAUGACUAAAACAUGACGCUACUUAUAUAAUAUAGAGAUAGGCCAAUGCUAAGUUACAUUCAUGUAAUUUAGGGGGAUCCAUAGAGAUAUAGAUUUAUGGGUUCUGAUCUAGUGGGUCACGCGUGAAGGCCCACGUGUCCAUAAGAUGAGCGAUGGUGUCUACCAGAUUAGUUCUCUGGAGUUUAGAUCACUUCUCAAUUGCUCUUUUGCAUCCGCUGUAAUUGUUUUCUGCAACGUCGUUAAAUUAUAUACGAGUGUUUGAAAACCUUUGCAAUUUCAAUCAACUUUUGUAUUACCUUAAUUGUUUUGUUUUCUUAAUAUCAAUGGUGUCACUAACCUUGAAUAGAGUAUCUUUUACUGUUUUGUUCAUCCUAUUUUAUACGUGUUUAAUUUUUUACUUACUGUUUGUAUUAGAAUUUUUAUGUAAUUUGAUAACAUUACCUUAAAAGAAAAACCCGGGGAUGAAAUCUAACACUUACUAAUUAAUUUAAUUUUGUUUCAUAAUAAUAAACUAAAUUAAUUUUUUUUAAUAAUUUGAUAACCUUACCUUAAAAGAAAAACCUUCAUAUGAAUUAUAACGCUCACUGUGGCAUGGACAUGGACCCUUUCUUUUUUUUUUCUUUUUUUCUUUUUUUUUGGGGUCCAAUCCAAAGCUUGUCCUAUGUUUGGCAAGGUUUUAUAUAAUGAGAGAGGGAUAAAUAGAGACAAGCAUAUCCAUUGGAACCAUACCUCUAACAGGAUAAGUUGGGAAAAGCAAUCGAUAAUUUUAACUAAUUUAUUAAAAUUAUUUCAAAAAAAAAGUUGAGGGUGGGACAAAAUCCAAAUUUAUUUUUUAUCCCUUACCUCCCCAUGAUACUAUUCAGUCAGGCCCCUGAGGAAAAUUAAGUUAAUUGUUACUAAGAUAAAAAUAUUAUAGGUAAAUCAACUUUUUUCUAAUUGAAUUAUUUAAUGAUACAUAUAUUACAUAAAUUAAAAAAUUAUAGAAAUUUUUAUUUUUAUUUAAUUAAAUUCCACUCACAUUGAUUCAAAUAAUAAGCAGUAACAAAAAUUUUUUGUUAAUAAUAAUAUAAAAUAUGUUAUUGGCAAUAAUAAAAAACUGUAUUACAAAUAAUAAUACAGUUAAAUAUCUUGUAAUUUAGAUGUAUAUUUUUAUUAUUUAUUUCAUGUGGGAAUCCUCCUUGUUUUUCAGCUUCAAGUUCGUUUGAUUUAUUUAGUCUCAUGUAGCAGUGGUUGAUAAUUGUGUAGGUUAUUACGACUUCCAUACUAGAUACAGUAUAUGGUGUUCUCUUCCUUUUACAACGUGGUUCUUGUUGUAAUAACUAAUGAUUAGUAUUUUCCAGAUAAGUUCUCUGACCGUUUUUAAUCAUUAACUAACAAUUCAUAUUUUUAACGUUUAUUAAGAAUUUUAGGUUUGUCUAUAAAUAAAUGAAAGGAAUUAAUAACAAAUUCAAAGAAGGAUGAAGGAUUUUGGUAGAGUUAGGACGUAAACGAAAAUAUAAACAAUUAAUUGUGGCAUUAAGUAUGAGAAAAACUCAAUCUAGACUACUCAUAUUUUGAUAUAUCAUUUGCCAUUAGAUCUUUAAAAGUCUAAUAAACUUAGGGUUACAAAUCCUUUUUUUUUCUAUCGUGCUCGAGUUCUACAGUACAUUGGGGAAGUCCUAGAAAAUUGAUCAAGGCAACCUGGCUACAACUGAUAGAAAGGAAACGUUUAAAGUGGCUUGAUUAAUUUACAAGAACCCGGUUAGCGAGUCCAUGGUUUCUCUAGGAAGCCUCAGUCGGCUUGCGUUACCACAAUUAAUAGAAGCAUAAAAAAUAGCUUGAUGUAACAAAGAUUUGUGCGUUCUUUUAAAUUCAGCAUUUGAGUUCGUUAUGAUGAAGUUUCUGAGUUUCUUAAUCACCUAGAUAACAUCCUUUAUUGGCGGAGUCAAGUAUAAAAGGUGCUGAUGGGCAGGUGUGUCAAAGCAGAGUGAUUUGUGAUUAUCACACCAGUGAUCUUUACUAGCUCUGAGUGAAAAGAUCAUCCUUGUAAUCUUGUUAAUACUCUCUAUAUACAAUAACUGUACUCUCUUCUGAAAUCGAUUAAUCAAAUUUGUCUUUCACCUUGCACAGCUUGCUUAAACAUACUGAAUAUUUGCCUUCCUUUUUCCUUCAGCGUAAUUUGCAUGACAAUAUUGAAAUUUGAUAUAAUUAAUAAAAGUUUUAUAGUCUUGAGCAUAGUUUUAUUGUCAAAGUAUAAAUUUAUUCUUUGCUUUUUACGCUUAAUUCUUCAUGACUUUCUCUCAAAUAAGCAAAUUAAUUUGCAAAUUAUGCUCAAAGAGUUGUAUCCAUUUUUUUAAUGUUAAUUAUAAGCAUUCCCUCUAAAUGAAAAUGAUCAAACUGUUACAUGGUCCAAAUUAGAAUUACGGUCACAAUGUUAGUAUACCGGAAAUCUGGCUAGGAUCGAGAAAUAAAACUUAGUUUUGUUUGUUAAGCUGGUUGAUAUGAAUAUGAAAAGAUAUUGUAAUUCAACUUUUAAAGUCUCUUUAAUUUGUCUCGAACAUUUUGAUAACUUAAACAAAGUAUGUACAUUUGAUGACAAAAAAAGAAGGGUAUUGGAAAAGCCAACCCCAAAAUAUUUAGUCUUUCCGUUCUUUCUCUGGCAUAAUUUUCGAGGAGACAAAAUGCCCAGCAAACAAGUUAAUUUGAUCCGUUAGGAUCGAAAGAAACGUUAAUUAGUCAAUUCGUCCAUUAAUCUUGGUCACAAAUGUUUAUUCUAUGUUCUGGGACGACUUUCCAUGGACUUCAAUUGUAGUUCGAAGGAGAAUGUAUAUCAAUACAAAUAUUUUUUUAACAGAACUGCAUGCAACAAGUGAACCUUUUGUUUGGAUAAUUUUAAUAUCCUAGAUGUCGGGUUCCUCUAUGAUACUGUAAUUUUUUUACAGCAUCAAUAAUGUUUUUAAUUGUGUACCAUUGGAUUUAAUCAAUGGUACACAAAAUUUAUAGGUAAAAAAAAAUAAUAAUAAUGGUAAAUGGUUAACAAACGUGCAAGGGGUGGAGAAAUUUGUAAAAUAACUGUAACCACCCUUAGAGUUUGAAAUAAUUGCACUUAAAUAGCAUAUUUUAUUUAAAAUUAUUUUUCAAUCCCCCUUUAAAUUUAAAAUGUGAUAAUCUUUUUUAAAUAAAUCUUCCAAAAUCUAUUACCAUUAAGUAUAAAAUAUAAUGGUAGGUUAUUUAACACAAAUCAAAUAAAUAAGUUGCAAUUACAAAAUUUAUAUAUGAUAUAACACUAAUAAAUAACACAACUAAAUACAUAUACUUAAGUAAAUGUCAUAGUUACAUCAAUAAACUCAUUGUUGAGAUUGCUUGUAACAUAAAAAUUACUUGAUAACAUAUGUUUUAAUAAAAUUUAAUAUCAUAUAUUAAAAUACUCAUUAUUUUAUAUAAUAUUAAGGGUCAUUGUAUAAUUGAUCAUGAAGUAUGUAUUAUUUUUAAUACCCAUUUAACAUACUUAUUUUCUUAACUUUAUAUUUAUCUUAUAGUUAAUAUCCUUACAUGGUAGGAGUUUUGAGUUUUAUAAGCUUAUAUAUUUUCUUUUUAUUUUCAAAUAUCACUUUGUUAAUUUCAUAAAAGUUAAAUCGAAUAUAUAUUCCUAAUGAGCUUUAGUUUAUGAAUCGUGAAAGAUUAUUUUAUUGAUAUCCUUUGAUUGUAAUUAUAAAAUUUUAUGUUAUGAAGAGUAAUUACUUUUGUUAUGAUAGUUAAUAGUGACAAUAAAUAAAAUAUUGCCUUCAAUAAUAUUUAUGUGGGAAAAAAAGUGAAAGAAAAUAAUUUAUAUUUUUAGAUUUUUAUUAACAUGGUAGGAAAUUAUCUCAGCCUUAUAAAAUUUAACAUUCACAAGCUUAUUUUCAUUUUAUUUUCAAAUGUCACUUUGUUAAUUUCAUAAAAGUUAAAUCUAACACAUAUUCCUAAUUAACUUUAGUUUAUGAAUCAUGAAAGAUUAUUUUAUUGUUAUUCUUUGAUAGUAAUUAUAAAAUUUAUAUGCUACGAAGAGUCAUUACUUUUAUUAUGAUAAUUAAUAGUGACAAUAAAUAAAUUAUUACAUCAAAUAAUAUUUAAUGGACAAAAUGAGGAAAAAAAUCAUUGUAUAUUUUUAUAUUUCCAUUAUAAAGAUAUGGUUUGUGAUACUUUAACUUAAAAUUUUGGCACAAUAUUUGAGCCACUAAUAUCUCAUAGUCUAAUGGUUGAUAUUGAAAGUGAAAACACCAUUUCAUAAUGUUAUAUCCUCCACCAUUGAAUUGCAUGAAAUAAAUAGUUUAAUUUUUUGAUAAAAAUUUAAAUCAAAAUAUUUCUCACUCUAUAGUUAUAUAGACAUAUAUAUUUUUCAAUAAUAAUUGGUGAAUAAAAUAUUUCUCAUUUGCUUUGACUCGUAUAGUCUUAUUAAUAAAACACAUAUAAAAUAGUUUAUUACAAUACUUUCUAUUAUCAUUAUUGUUUGGGUUCCUCUAUGAUGCUGUAAUUUUUUUACAGCAUCAAUAAUGUGAUGUCUUUGAAAACUUUUGCCUUAACCAAUAAAACUCUUCCCUACUUGAUCAGGUUUUGACUCAUACGCCUCUCAAAUGCUUGUUUAGAAAAAAGCUUGUGGGCACGAUCCCCAUACCCCUAGAAACACUCCACACGUUCAAAAUAUAAAAGGUAUAUGAGGAGGAAACGAUAGGAGAGCAAGGCAAAAAAAAAAAAAAAAAAACUAAUUCAAAACAAAGUCAAUACCUUUACAAGAUUUCUACAUCUUUGCUAACUUAAGCAUCGGAGUUGAAUUCGGAAAUCUCAUUUUCCAAUUGUCCCAUUUCACAUUUUGGUUUAUUAUGUGUGCAAAUGACUUCCAUCUACCGCACUUGGUUCAGUUCACAUAGAGAAGAAAUAAGUAUUAACAAUCACAUAUAUUUUUUUAUUACAUUUCCGAUAUGCUUUUCAUGUCCUUGCAUUAUAUAAAUAAAAAAAAAAAGGAGAAAGAGAGAGAGAAUUGAAGAAUCUUCCCGGAAAAACAAUAACGUCAAUUCAAUCCCAGAAAUUAUGCAAUUCACGGUAAGCUAAUCCGCCUUUACAAAGCUUGAAAACGUACGUGCCCAGAAUUUUUAUUAUAAUUUUUUAUUGCUAUUUAAAUUAGGUAGUUGCGCUUGCGCAUGCGAACUUGAAAAUGACAUAUGCAAUUUUAUGAGCUGGCAUUGAUUACAUUGUAAACCAUGCAUGCGAUCUUCNNNNNNNNNNNNNNNNNNNNNNNNNNNNNNNNNNNNNNNNNNNNNNNNNNNNNNNNNNNNNNNNNNNNNNNNNNNNNNNNNNNNNNNNNNNNNNNNNNNNNNNNNNNNNNNNNNNNNNNNNNNNNNNNNNNNNNNNNNNNNNNNNNNNNNNNNNNNNNNNNNNNNNNNNNNNNNNNNNNNNNNNNNNNNNNNNNNNNNNNNNNNNNNNNNNNNNNNNNNNNNNNNNNNNNNNNNNNNNNNNNNNNNNNNNNNNNNNNNNNNNNNNNNNNNNNNNNNNNNNNNNNNNNNNNNNNNNNNNNNNNNNNNNNNNNNNNNNNNNNNNNNNNNNNNNNNNNNNNNNNNNNNNNNNNNNNNNNNNNNNNNNNNNNNNNNNNNNNNNNNNNNNNNNNNNNNNNNNNNNNNNNNNNNNNNNNNNNNNNNNNNNNNNNNNNNNNNNNNNNNNNNNNNNNNNNNNNNNNNNNNNNNNNNNNNNNNNNNNNNNNNNNNNNNNNNNNNNNNNNNNNNNNNNNNNNNNNNNNNNNNNNNNNNNNNNNNNUUAAUUUAAAGAGAACUUUACAUGGAGUGAUUUAAUUCAUAUAAAACUGAGCUAACAUACUUUUUUUUUUUUUUUGCUAAAAUUUUUUUAGUAAUGACGUCUGAACUAACGAAAAUUUUCGCUUACAUAUUCAAGUGAAAAAAAUAAAACGUCAUCUUACUGUUUAUUUGAUGAAAACCAAAUGGUUAAAGUGACUUGAUUUACAAGAACCCGAUUAGCGAGCCCAUGCUUUGCGUAGGUAGCCUCAGUAGCCCUGCGUUGUGAUAAUUAAUAGAAGCAUCAAAAAUAAAAUUUGUUUUGAUGUAACAAAGAUUUGUACUUACUAAAUUCAGCAUUUCAGUUCGUUAUGGUGAAGUUUCUGAGUUUCUUAAUCAAGUAAAAUAGCAUCCUUUAUUAGCCGAGUCAAGUAUAAAAUGCUGAUGGGCAGAUGCCAAAGCAGAGUGAUUUGAGAUUAUCACACCAGUGAUCUUUGCUAGCUCUGAGUGCAAAGAUAAUGUUUGUAAUCUUGUUAAUACUCUGUAUAAAUAAUACUCUCUUCUGGAAAUCCGUUGAUCAUAUUUGUCUUUCACCUUGCAGAACUUGCUCACACAAUGAAGAUUACUGCAUAUUUGUGAUUUCCUUUUUCCAAGGAAAUUAUUAUGACAGUAUUGAGAUUUGAAAUGAUUGUUUGCAAAUUUUCUAGUUUAAAAUUAAGUAUGGAUUUAUUACCACAGUAUGUUUAUUCUUUGCUUUAUGCUUAAUUCAUCUUGACUUGCUUACAGAUAAGUAAAUUAAUUUGAAAAUUAAGCUCGAAGUGUUAAUCCAUUCUUCCAAUAUUAAUUACAAGCAUUCAAUAGGAUGAAACUGUUACAAGGUGCAAAUCAAAAUUAUGUUAACAAUGUUAGUAAAUUUGAAAGCUAGCUAGUCUCUACAAAUUCAAUAUAGUCUUGUGUAUUAAAUUGGUGGAUACGAAGGUGAAUAGAAAUUAUAAUUCAAUAUUUAAAGUCUCUCUGUCUCACUCAUUUUAAUAUCUUAACAAUGUACAUUUGAUGACAAAAAAGAAGAGUAUAGAUAAGCCAACCCCAAAAUAUUUAGAAUUUCCAUUCUCUCUCUGCCGUAAUUUUCGGGGAAGCGAAUGCCCAGUGAACAAAAGUUUGAUCAAUCAGUGAUUGGAUCCAAAGAUACGUUAAUUAGUCAAGCCUUUCCAUUCAUUUUGAUCACAAAUGUUUAUCCUAUUUUGUGGGACGACUUGCCAUGGACUUUAAUUGUAGUUGGAAGGGGAGUGGCUAUCAAUACAAAGAUUAUUUUGACGGAGUCAGAAUUGCAUGCAACAAGUGAACGUUUUGUUUGGGCAAUUUUAAAAUCGUAGAUGUCUUUUAAGACUUUUGCCUUAAGCAACGGGGAAAACUCUUCCCUACUUGAUCAGGCAUCGACUCAUACACCUCUCAAUUGCUAGUCUGGAUUCUAUAUAAUUUUGGCUCGCGUGGAAAAAGCUACUCGUGGAUUCCACCUAAUAACUCCAAUGAUUUUUCCUGAAAUUAAAACCAUAAUCUUUAGCCUUUAACCAUUUAGACUUUGGGCACGGACGAACGGUGUGUUAUGUAGUUCAUAGUUGAAGUGAAAACGGUCUAAAUUUUAGCCAACACUCGGUUUAUGAAAACAUAUAUAGUUGUGAUCAAGAUUAAUGGACAAAUUGGUUAAGGCUUUUUGGAUCAUAAACAAACUUGUGUACUGGGCGUGCCAUUCAAAGAAAGGAAAAAUAUUGACCGUACCGCGCCGGGUGUUAGUUGCUAGGCAAGUUCAAUUGUUGGCAUUAGAAAUUUGAUUUUUGUUGAACUACUUUUGUGGAGGAAAGAAAAAAAAAAAAAAAGCUCUCUGCCCACUGCAGAACUGAUGUAAAUCUAAACAGGUUUAGGGUUUAUUAAAUCAUAUACUUGGGUGAGAUUCCAAAAGAACUUUGAAAGUUAAAUGAUCUAACGAAACUCAUUUUUUGGGGGUAAAGGAAUCAACUUACAGGACAUAUACUCCAGAAAUUAGAUUACUUAUUAGUUGAACUUACGUACCUCUGCAAAUGGAUUUAACGUCAACGUACUCAAUCCCAAAAAGUCUAACAACGCUUGAAAACGUGCUGAGAAUUUGUAAGAUUCAACACCGAGUGGACUGACUCCAUCAGUUGCCCCACAAAAGUUAAUGCAGUCCGCAAUAGUUGUACGCCAAAGCAUUAUAAUUUUUCUACUGCCAUUUAAAUUGGCUAGUUGCGAAUGAGAACUCGAAAAUGACAUACGUAAUUUUAUGAGCCACCAAUAAUAAUGGAGGCUCUUAUGUUGAGUUUUAUUACAGUCUCUGAAUUCUAACCUUUUUUCUUUAAUUUUUUUAAAUUCCUGUACGCUGGUGGCGUAUGUAUUAUACAAUCUGAGUAUAUCGAUUGGGAGUCUGAUUCAUACAUAUGAAACAUUCAGUGACAGAAUAAAUUCAAAUUAGACUCGGACCACACCAUUUUAUCCUGAGGCCACACUCUUAUAAGGUAAAAUCAAUAAUUUUUAUAUCAAGAAGUGACAUAAAAUUUGUUUCCCAACUUUUUACAUAUAUUAUUUAUUGAAGGAGAAUUUUACGUGAAGUGAUUUAAUUUGUAUAAAAAUGAGCUAACUUACUGCUUUUUCUUUUUUUUUUUGCUAUAUAAGUAAUAACGUCUGCACUAAUGAAAAGUUUCAAUUAGACAUACAAGUUACAACGUAGUAUGCUGGUGAUUAAAAAAUAAACAAAUAAAUAAAACAUCAUCUUACUGUUUAGUUCAUGGAAACCAAAUGUUUAAAGUAACUUGAUUUACAAUUAAUAGAAGCCUCAGUAGCCUUGCGUUAUCACAUCACAAUUAAUAGAAGCAUCAAAAUUAGCUUUUGAUAUAAUAAAGAUUUGUACUUCUAAAUUCAGCAUUUGAGUUCGUUACGAUGAAGUUUCUGAGUUUCUUAAUGAACUAAAAUAACAUCCUUUAUUAGCCGAGUCAAGAAUAAAAGGUGCUAAUGGCCAGGUGUGUCAAAGCAGAGUGAUUCGUGACAAUCACAAAUGUGAUCUUAACUAGCUCUCUGUGAAAAGCUCGUCUUUGUAAUCUUUUUAAUACUCUCUAUAUAUAAAUAUAGGGUAAAAGCUCGUUUAGUCCCUAUAUUUUGAAGUUAGUAUCCUUUUAGUCCCUAUAUUUUUAAAAAUACCUCAAACCAUCCCUACCAUUUAAUUAUUGACACUCUUGCCAUUAUCUUCUGUUCCUUUUAACUUAUUUUUACAAUAUUACCCUAUUACAAUAAUUUUUUAGACAUUAUUAAAAAGAAAAAAAUAAAUUGUCAGUUUAACACCAAAAAAUAAAAUAAAAUAAAAAAUAUAUUAAUUUUUGUGGAGCAGUCUCUUGAGUUAAAAUAUUAAUUUUUCUAAAAAAAUUGAUAAUGUAAUUUUUUACAACAUUAAUUUUUUAGACAUACGUGAGCUUCCACAAAAAUUAAUAUAUACAUUUUUUGUUUUUAUUUUAUUUUGGAGGAUAAUUUGAUAAUCUAAUUUUUUAUUAAUAUCCAAAAAAGAAACAUUAUUGUAAGAGUGUAAUAUUGUAAAAGCAAGUUAAAAAGAAUAAAAAAUAAUGGCAUGAGUGUCAAUAUUUUGCUACAGGGACGUUUUGAGGUUUUUUUAAAAAUAUAGGGACUGAAUAGACACUAACCUCAUAAUAUAGGGACUAAACAAGUUUUUACCCUAUAAAUAUACUCUAUUAUGAGAUCAACUGAUUAAAUUGGUCUUUCACCUUGCAGAGCUUGCUUAGACAUAUUGGAUAUUUGUCCUCUUUUUUUUAAAGGGCAAUUAGCACGACAUUAUUAAGAUUAGAUACGAUUCCUAAUCAACUAAAAAUUUUAAAGCGUGAAUUUAUUGUCAAAGUAUUAUUCUUUGCUUUUUACGCUUAAUUCAUCAUGAUUUGAUCUCAGAUAAGUAAAUUAAUUUGUUAUGCUCAAUGUGUUAUAUACAUUCUCCUAAUAUUAAUUAUAAGCAUUCUAUCUAAAUGAAUAUGAUCGAACUGUUACAUGGUCCAAAUUAAAAUUAUGGCCACAAUGCUAGUAAAUUGGAAAGCUAAGCUAGCAUCGCUAAAUUGAACUUAAGUUUUCUUUGUUAAACUGGUUGAUAUGAAUAUGACAAGAAAUUGUAAUUCAACUUUUAAAGUCUCUCUGUCUCAACCAUUUUAAUAUCUUAAUAAAAAGGUACAUUUGAUGGCAAAAAUAUUUAGACUUUCCAUUCUCUCAUUGCCAUAAUUUUGGGGAGAUAAGUGCCUAGUAAGCAAGUUUGAUUAGUCGCUGUUAGGAUCCAAAUAAAUGUUACUUAGUCAAUUAAUUUGUCCAUUAAUCUAGACCACAAAUGUUUAUUCAAUUUUCAUAAGUCAACCCCAGACCUUGGACAUGGAUUUUGUUUUAAAAAAAUUGUCAUAAUAUGAGAAUCUAAAAAUUUAGAUUUAUGGUGUGUUUACUUGUGAAAUCAGGAAAUCGAAAUUCACAGUGGAAGUGAUUCUUAAAUUGUUAUUUUUUACUUGUUAAAAUGGAAUGGAGAAUUAUAAUGAAAUAUGCAGGAUCCACAUAUUUUUUAGUCAAGGAAAAGAAAUCUGAUUCACAUGGGAUUGAGAAUCAAGUUUUCAUUCCUUUAACUCACCAUUUUACCCCCCUCACAUUUCAUAAUUUCAAUUUUGUGCUCAAUUAAAUGUUAUUAUAUUAAUGUAAUAAUAAUAAUAUUUAAACUAACAAUAAUAAUCAUAAUAAUGAUAAUAUAAUAAUAAUGAAAAUAACAACAACAACAAUAAUAAUAACGAAAAGUAAUAAUAUUAAUAAUCACAAUAAUAAUA